rnacentral:lncRNA from 1 species
GCUGCGGCGCAUCAAUCCCCACCUCAAAUUGCCCCCCACCGCCAGCGCCUGGCGCCGAGGAGAGAGAGGAAGAGGGGACAGAUUCUCCGUGUCGUCGCCGAGUUUUGUCCGGCAGAGAGGGCAAGGGCGAGCAGAGCAGAGGCGGCGAGAUGACUCAUAUCCUUCCCAACCCCGAUUAGAUCUGCGCGUUUUCAUCAUCUCUUACGUUUGAUUGCUUGAUCUGUUGUUGUUUCGAUUCCGUUCUUGCUCUGUUGCUUCCUCCUUGACUCGGCGCGCACGCGGCAACCAGAGGGAACGCGACCGUGAGCGCGCGGCGGCGCGGAAGCCCAACGCCAAGGGGUCCCAGGACGGGCUCACCCCGGAGCAGCGCCGCGAGAGGUGCGUGUCAUCGAUUUGAUUCCAUCCCCCCCUUACGUUUUGCUUGACUCGAUCGGUCUCCGAUACGGCCGAAUCUCGGUCGGUUGGUUCUGACCCUCUUCUUUCCGAUCCGGUUUGUGGGAUCUUUGCUGGCAGGGACAAGAAGGCGCUGGAGGAGAAGGCGGCCAAGAAGGCGCAGCAGGCGGCGGGCGGCGGCACCGGGACCUCCACGGACAACAAGAACAAGGGCGGCGGCAAGAAGUAGGGGCCGCACUGGGCGCCCGCGGCGCAACUCUGUACGAUUAUCGAUGCCAUUAGCUUGUGUGCCUUCGCAUCCACGUAGAUGCGAUGUUUGUUGGGUCAUAAACUCAUUCGUCGUCUGCAAGCUUGCAGUUACUCUGAUACAUCAUGAAUUUGUGAUGGCAAUAAAUACGUGGCGUUUUGGUUUUGUGGGUUAUGUUCUGUUUGCCUUUGCGUUCCGUGGUCUGUGUGAUUGUGCUAUCGUUGGACCUCUUGAGUAUCACAACUAGCAUACAAGAUGCAUGAUAAUAAGAGAUGUCUUGCUACUUGUAAGCAUCUGUCUACUAGCUUGUUGAAACUGGAAAGUUGAUUAUGCUGUUGUGCUGUCUAUUUUUUUUUCACGGUACUGUCAACCCCAUUCGUAAAUGAAUGCUGUGAGUAGAGCUGCUUAAAUAGCUUAUGCUUGUUAACGUCUGGCCGGCCGCACCGUGAGAGCCCCGUCCUCGCGACACAAAGGCAAGGUGCAUGACUGCCCCUCCAAGCACAGGUACGUACCUUCGUCCUUAUCAAUCAAAAUUGGAAGCACGCGGCGACCGCGUUUCAUUUGAUCUCCCAGGACGGAGUUCGUCGAUCUGAUCGGAGCAGCGACAGGCAACGGCGUCUGCGUGGCGACUGCCACCGGUGUGUUGGAGCCGCGCUGACUUGAGUUUCCCAUCUAUCUGCGCACGAUCAACAGGACCGUGUCAGAAGAGCCAAUCUCCACGACAUAAGGGCGAGGUGCACGAGCAAUGCCGUGAGUGGCUGAUGCAAUUCUAGGUCAGUCAAACUGCAUCAAAAUCAAAAUCAAUAUUUUUCUGUGUGCUUCUUUUCUUAUCAAACUGUCAAAAAUAUUGUUCAGUCUAGGACCAGGUCUCAUUUAACUGGCAAAAAUAGGAUGAUGGCAAGCAGUCUGAGAAUGUACAUACAUGAUUAGAUUGGUUCAGUGGGGAUUAGAUAAAAUCCUCAUGUUGAAAGAAUCUGCUUUCUGAAACAAUUUUUUGUCUGAAUGUAGCAAUUGUGGAGCCAUGGUAUAUUGCCUACCAAUUUUAACUUUGUUUCACGGAUAGAGAUUUCACUGAUUAUUACAAGUACAACCCCCUUUUACAGAAAGAGAUUGGUGUCCUGGAUGCUGUUCGGCUCUUGAGUUCUUUAUGCAUAUCAAAACAUCUGUCUAGAUGUUGUUCGGCUCUAUCUGAAUGGUAUUUGUAACCUCUGAAUUUCCAUUCAUUCAAGGUUGAAGGUUGCAAUGAUGGUAGCUUAGAAGAGGUAAAAAGACCCUUAGCACUACUUAAAUAUUCCUUGGUAGUAAGUUAAUAUCGUUGCUGGCAAACACCCUAUACACUUCUGAUCAUGCUGGACCAAUUGUUGAACUGGGUCCGAUGUCAGAGUGGCAAUUGAUCAAGAAAGAUGGCAUUUUGCGGUUCUUUUCUGAUUUAGAACUGAUCAAGGGACAUGUACUCCGAUUGCACUGAAGUGGUUGAACUUCAGUUUCUCCGAUGUCAGAGUGGCAAUUGAUCAAGAAAGAUGGCAUUUUGCGGUUCUUUUCUGAUUUAGAACUGAUCAAGGGACAUGUACUCCGAUUGCACUGAAGUGGUUGAACUUCAGUUUCUCUGAUGUUUCAACUUUCAAUAUGGUAUCUGUAGCUGAAUCUUUUUUUUUAGUUUCUGAAAUUCUGAAACCAGGAUGUACUUGAUCAAUACUAGCUAUUCUGGAAUUCUGAAAACACUAUUGUCGAAUAACUAGCUAUUCUUCAGGUCAAGAAGGAAUUGGAGGGUUUGAGACAGCCCGUAGAGUAGCCUAAACAUAUCCUAGCUUCUUGAACAAGUCUCUUGCUUCUUGAACAAAUGUUUCUCCAGGUGGCCUGCGAAUGGAGGGAGUAUUCUGUUACAGCAUGUGUGGCUGUUUUAUGAAGGUCUCAAGACACAUCAACAUCAAAGUGGAGAACAAGAUGGUAAGGACAGGUUGCACAGGGAGCUUGAUGGCAUUCAGGUUGAGCUGCAAGCCUCUGAAGAAGCUACCAAGAUGUUACUACCUUUGUCAACUGAGCUAGUAGCUGAUCAAAAGCUUUGUCUGAAAGUUCCAGUAUUCUGUUCGGAUUCUUUGGGGGUAUGAGCCAUAAUGACGUGCCUGUAACUAACUAUUAUCAUUUCAGAAGGGCCAUCCUUCAGCUAAUAUUUGGCCUAGUUCGUUUUGGAACUAAUUCAUUGAUAUUUGGUUCAUCUUGUAAAUCAUGUUUGGUGCUUCUUGGAGCUUUACAAAAAUGCCUGUCAAUUGGGACUGGGCUCCCAAAUCAGCAGACCAAAGACAGAACCGCUGCUAAAUCACACAAAUCCUGUACAAAUCAAACAAUGCACUUCGAAUCGCCAACCAAAAAAAAAAUCAUCAAACCAAACAAUCCGCAAUAGAUCAAACCCUAACCAGAUCAAGCAGAUUUGAAACAAGCUGAUCGGAGAGAACUUCAAAUCAAAAGCCAACAGCAAACCCUAGAGUUCUUACCCCACAAGUCAGUCAUAGACGCAGAUCAAAACUCGGAUCAGCGGUCAACAGAUGCCGGACGGUGCAGAUCAGAUGGGGCGCGCCAUCGGACAAGCAUAAAAUCAAGGGCACUCGAGUGCAGAUUUCCGUUAAACAUUGGUGCUCAACCUCGUUACAGAAUACAAAAAAAAUGCCGACCACCACACCCACGUUAAAAAUGCCGACGCCCACCGACGUCACAGAGGGUGCCUUUGGUUGGACUUUUGAACCUGCUUUUGCUUUUGCAAAAGUCAAAAGUCAAAAGCAAAAAAGCUCUAUAUGCUUUUGCCCAAAAGCUGCUUUUGGUGUAGUACAAAUGCAAAAGCACCCUCCUCCCUGCUUUGAGGUGCUUUUGGGGUAAAAAAUUACCCACCUGCCACUCUUUAUGAAAGGUAACGGUUCUUUUUUUUCCGAUCUAUUUCUAGCGCAAGUCUUCCGUCAACCGUCCGCCUCCCGUAUUCUCCAGCGCCGCCCCCGGCGGACCGUCUCCCUCCGAGUCCCGGUCGCCGGCCCUCCGGCCCCAGUCGCCGGCUGCCGCCCCAGUCGCCAGUCUGCCUCCUGAUCCGGUCGCCACCCCUGGAUCACCCGCCACACCGCGCCCCCGGCCGCCGCACCCGGCCGUCCGCCUCCAGCCUCGUAUUUCGUAUGUACAUGUUCCUGCCGCCGACGGCCGUUGUAUUCUGCGCGUCUGCUCUCACGUCCGUCUCGUUGAAGGUGAGUCGCUGGGACUUGGCUCGAUUUCAUCGACAAUUUCAUCUGUCGAUGGUAAUAGUUGCUGCCGUGGUAGUAAUGAUGGCUAGUAGAUCAGUAGCAAUGAUAGGCAGUAAUGAUGAUGAAGUAGCCCCUGUUGCCGUAGACGUUGAUGGCUAGUAGAACAGCAGCACUUUCUAUUUACGAUUUGACAGGGAGUAAUGAUGAUGAAGUAGCUCCUGAGCUCACCGAAUCAAACUGGUAGCUUUCUAUUUACGCAUUGUAGGUCUUCUUAUCAAUGUUUGAACUGGUAGCUUUCUUUUCGUGGAAGGAAAAUAGAAACCCCAGGAAGUUUACAACCUCAUUUUCAUUUUAUCUAAGCUAUUUAAUAGUUUUUAAGAUGGUAGUGGCUCAAAAUUGUUCACAUGCAAUUCUUAUAAUUUAUUGAAGUCACAAUAUCUAUCAUUAGUCAUAUGAAUUGAAUCAAACAAUAUUUUUGGUUGGCUGAAGAAUGGGUGAUAAGGCGGAUUGGGGUGAUGCUUUUUUAAGGCAUUUGAUUGAUGCCUGCAAAGAAGAGAUUGAAGCCGGGAAUAGGCCGAUGGGAAUUUUUACUACUACCGGUUGGAAGAAUGUUGUUUCAAAGUUUGCAGAAAAAUCCGGUGACAAGAGAACAAAAAAAACAAUUGAAGAACAAGUUAGAUCUUCUUAAAAAAGAGUAUUCAACAUUUAUGGAGUUCAAGAAUUGUGCAACUGAUCUUGGAUGGGAUGAGGCAAAACAAACUAUUGACUGCUCAGACGAAUGGUGGGACGAACACCUUGCUGUAAGAACUAUGUUGUCAUUGUAAUUAUAUUCUUCCCAUUCUUCAUUAUGGUGUGCCUUAUUAAACUUUUUUUUUCUAAUUGUAGAGAUGCAACAAUCGUGAGAAAGGAAUCAAAUGCCACCAUGUGAAGUUUCGAAAACAAGGACCCAAGUUCCUUGAUGACCUGCAUAUCUUGUUUGGCAAGGCACAUGUAAGUGGGUCUUCUGCAUCCUGUCCUGGAGAUAUAUCAUCCGAUGAGGCAAGUGAUGAGGAUGUGGAUGAGGUAGCAAAACCUAAGCAGAAGGAUAUGACAGUAAACCUAGGAAAAAGGAAACGUAAGGGUACCUCCAUUGGUGUUGAAGAGAAGGAUGAGAAGAGCCCAUUCUUUCGUUUGUACAAGACCACUUGUUUGAAGAUAGAAAAUGCUGCAGAGAGGAUCUCCACAAGUGUUGAAGCAUCAUCAGCUCCUCCAACCAACCUAGUUCCUACCAUUACAGAGACUAUGAAGAUGGUGAAAGAAUGUGGGGUGCAAGAAGGAACUGCUCUAAUGCACACAGCCGCCUCCCUAAUUGUUAAACCUGAAUUUAGGGAGCUCUUUAGCUCUCUAGAAACAACUAAAGGAAGGCUCGAUUUGAUUGAGAGGGAGCUAGAAAAGGAGAUGAUGAAGCGCCACUGAUUUGUUUCCAUGUUUGUCAGAUUAUUUUAUUAUCAUAUGUGACAAGAAUUUUCCUAUGUUGAACCAUAAUUUGUUACCCUAUGUUGAACCAUAGUUUGCUUGGAGAUGUGAAAUAUUAUUUAUCUAUUAUUGUGUUAUGUUGAGCUUCUUCAUUUAGUAUUGUCAAGAAAGUUGUUGUAUUUAAUUAUUAAUAUACUAAUGUCUCAUGUAGAUGGAUGAUAGAUUGGGAGAUGUAGCCAAAGGAGGACAAAAAGGACUACUACUGCUAGCUAAACUUGCACAACAUGCUGGUGCUAUGGGAGAAAUGGGAAACUUGUAUACUAAGCGGUAUUUGCAUAAAGCUGAAUAUAGGGAAACGUCAGAAACUGGAAUUCAAUGGGUGAUGAGGUGUAUGUCACGUCCGAGGUAUUUUUAUAAGAUGUUUCGGAUGAGCACCGAGAUUUUCGAUAAACUUCAUGACUUGCUAGUCUCUACUUACGGAUUGACCUCAACCAACAAUGUUUCAUCUACUAAGUCAUUGGCAAUGUUCUUGUGGAUCGUCGGAGGACCGCAAUCUUUUUCACAAGCUGAAAAUCGUUUCACGUGGUCACUUUGGACAGUUCACAUGAAGUUUCACGAAGUGUUGAAGUGUUUGCGCAAGUUAGCUAAGGACAAUAUUAAACCAAGAGAUCCCACUUUUUCUACGGAGCAUAAAAGGGUGAGAGAGGACCGUUUUUGGCCAUACUUUAAAGAUGCAAUUGGAGCAAUAGAUGGUUCACAUGUUAAAGUGGUAGUGCCAGUGGACGAAGUGGUUAACCACACAUGUCGUCAUGGAUAUACAUCUCAGAAUGUGCUAGCUAUUUGUGACUUUGAUAUGAGGUUCACCUUUACGGUUGCCGGGUGGCCGGGUUCUGCACAUGACACACGUAUCCUCAAUCAUGCAUUGGCAAAUUUUCCUUCAUUCCCCGUACCUCCUAAAGGUAUACAUGGUUCCUUCAUCAAAUUAGCAAUACUUGUAUUAUUAUCUACCUUACUAACUUGGUUUUGUAGGAAAGUAUUAUCUUGUGGACUCGGGUUACCCAAACCGAAUUGGGUAUCUUGCGCCUUUCAAAGGAAGCACGUAUCAUAUACCAGAAUUUCAGCAUCGUUCGGGGCCUCCCCAAGGAAAGUACGAGAUGUUCAAUUUAUUGCAUUCAUCUCUUCGUAAUGUCAUUGAAAGGUCUUUUGGAGUCUUAAAGCAGAAGUGGCGUAUUUUGAAGGACAUGCCAAGUUUCUCACCUCGUACUCAGAAACAUAUCAUUAUGGCUUGUCUUGCAUUGCAUAAUUUUAUUCGUGACAGCAAUUUGUGUGAUAAGGAGUUCAAGAGAUGUGAUGAUGAUGAGGAUUACUUGGUACAACAUACAUGUGGUAUGAGACAAACACAAGGAGAUGAUAGUGACGAUGUGGAGAAUGAGGAUACCAUGAAUACCAUUCGUACUAGGAUAGCUGAUGCUUUGGUUAGUGCGAGAGGAGGAGAGUAAUGUUGAGGUAUGGCAUCUUUGUAUAGAACUUUUGAUGGAUAGUUCUAUUUAUGUGGACCAAUUACUUUAAUGGAUGAAAAACAUAUAAAAUUUAUUUUUUUCUUCCUAAAAUAGUGGUUUACAUUUGAACUAGUGAACGCAUUAUUUUGUUACGAGCAAUUUGCAUAUAAACAAACUCACAGAUCUUUAGGGGCAUUACAGGUAUUUCUUACACAACCUACAGUUUCACAGCUCCUCUAACCAAACAGUCUUCUGCUUUUCCCACAGCUGCUUUCUCACAGCUGCUUUUCCACAGCCCACAGCUCACAGCAGCUUUUCCAAAAGCCACAACCCAACCAAACGCACAAAGAAUACAGAAAAAUACCAACCCUACAGACCGAGCAGUGCUAUAAAGUACCAAAUUUUCAAGGAUGAACAUGAGACUGAGAGCACAAGUCUUACUAACACAAGCUAGAGAAAAUAACUAAAUAGGGGGGACACCGGAUAGAUUCUCAACAGGGUUUAGGUUUAGAGUAAGGGGUGCUUGGCAGCACUCCACUCCAUAAAAAAUAGCUCCACUCCACCAAUUUCACAAAACUUCCUACCAAACACGUCCUGCUCCACAAACUCCAGCUCCAGAAAAAACGUGGAGCUAGGGGUCAGGUCCACGUUUUUCCUAGAGUACCUCAGGGGUGCUCCAAAAAUAUUAGUUUCAGUCUUCCUCGUGGAGUUAGGGGUUAUUUACCCACCUUUGCCACUCGUUACACAACAUACCGGUUUGUGAAACAAAACAAAACACCGUUCUCUCGUCGUCCCCUCCCAUUCUCCCAUCACCCCCUCCUCGAGCUAGCGCCGCCGGCCCCAAUCUCCGGUGAAAAUGGCUACCGACGCCGCCUGUGCACCCCAUGCCGCAUCGUGAUCCGUGCAUUUCCACGUCGAACGCCGACAGCGCGGGGCUAGACACGUCCUCGAGAUCAGCGGGCGACGAUGCAGUGGGCACCGGUGGGCUCAGCGGCUGUGGCGCCUCCGUGGGGGCCUCCUUCUUGCUGUGCUGCUUCCUCCUCCUCUUGUGCUUUGUUCUUGCCCUCGGACGGCGCCUCGGCCGGCAGCAGCGUCAUGGGCGCCUCAGUUGGGGGCGUGGCUGUUGGCGGAGGCGCCGCUGUGAGCAGGAGCACCGUGGGCGACAUGGAGGGAGGUGGCGUCACGAUAGGGGGAGGCGUCGCCCGCGGGGGCUUGGCCGGUGCGACCGCAGGCGCGGCUGGCGGCAGCUUUGACAGCGGGACCGGGGUGGCAGCCGACGCGGGGGUCACUGGGGUUGGCGGCAGGUUCGCUGGCGUCGGGGCUGCAGGCCGCAGGGCCUCAUUGUAGAGAUCAGCAUAACCAGCAUCAUUGAUGGGAUCAAGCAUGGAAGGGAAGGGGCGCGCUUGCUGCCCGCAGGAAGAACUCCAAUAGACACUGACACGUGGAUCCCACAACAAGGGUAUAAUAGACAAUGCACACCAAAUCCUCAUAUUUCUGGAGCUGGAGCAAUACAAUCUGCAUAACACAUAUAACAGCUCCAUGUUUUUCUGGAGUUGUGGAGUGGAGCUAGUGAAAUGGAGCUGGCUUUUUGAGGCGGAGUGCUGCCAAACACCCCCUAAGUUAUACCCUACUUACAACAUAUUGCUCCAUUGCUCCAGAUUAUCUCAUCAUAUUAGCUAGUUUCACCAACAAAAGUUCCUAGAACUCUGCAAUUAACAAUUAUUACCAAAACACAAUUGCAUAUUGCCAGAUCGUGAUAAGCACUAUAGCUUGUGGCAGUACAACACAACAAUAACUGACUAACAGGAAUCGGCGUACGGAUAGCACAGGAAUUCUCAGAAACUAGAAAGUGUCAAAACUGGAUUUUCCCAAUACACUUUCAAGGCUCAGGCAUUUUGAUAGUGAUGCAGCUUGUAUAGUAGAACUUUCCCACCAGCGUGUCCAACAGAUAGAAAACCGCUGCCUGGACUGAAAUCCAGGCACCGUGGAUAAUGAAGGCUGAAACGAGGCCCUGGCCAGUUCUGGAACACACUGAAGGAUGGGACGUGCACGAGCCUCAUUCCAUUCCUCUCCUUUCUCGAGGUGAUCGCCAAAAUCUGGGCAUCAUGAUUGAACUUCAUCUCGCCAACAUCGGUGGUUAGGUUUUCAAUUGUCUUCAGUGGCUUCCUCUUCCCACCAAGAAAAUCAUCCCUCUUGUACACGUUCACAAUACCACUAGUGGAGCCUGUGGCAAACAAAGAGCUGUCCUGUGAGGUGCAAAGUGAAACGCCAGACAGGGAACCGUCGUCCAUCGCCUUGUGGAUACACUUCCUUGUUCCAAGAUCCCAGUGAUAAACAUGCCCAUCUCCACCACUGCUCAGUAGCUGGUUUCCACCAUCUGCAAAUGCCAACGAACGCACACUUCCAUUCAUCUUGAGGGUUCCAAUGAGCUGCUUUGUCUUGGCAGAAAUAAGGAGGAUGUAUCCUUCAUUACCGACGAAAGCAAUGGUUCUUGAGUCAGGUGAUAUCUCAAAGCUCUCCAAGCUUUUCUCCUCACGCCCUGUCAAAGGUCCAAUCUUGCUAACAGAAGCAUUUACCAGAUCAAAUGAGUAGAAGAACUUUCUCCUGCCUGAAAGGAUCACUUCAGAGCCAUCAGGUAGAAACGAGGCCUUGAGUACUGGACAGUCCCCAAUAAAUAUGCUCUGGAUCUUGGGGUUUCUCUUUCCAUCAAUUUGGAAAAACCUCAAAUGCUUAUCCAACCCAGCAGCAAGCAUCAGCUGCCCGUUCCUAUGAAACUGCACUGAAUUAAUAGGGCCACUUGAAGGAUCCUGGAUAUUGGCAUCUACAAGCCUUGAGAACUCCAGCAUCCCAGGUAAAAGCUUAACAGUAUCCUUGACAACAAGCUCAUCGUUAUUCUGAAGGAUAUCAUCAACACCCCCCUCAUCAUCAGACUCACCAUCUGAUGCUCCAGGAAGAGGAGUCUUCCGGUCCAUAUCAGCCCAAGCAGUGAAGGGGUUCAAUUUGGCAUGCUGACCACGCAACCGAGCCUCAUAUUCUUUCCCUGAUAUUAAAUGCUCAUCAGCCUCUUUCCUGAGCUUCCUCAACCUUGCAACCUUCACAAUGUCCACCUCUGUCCUCUCCUCUUCCUCAUCUACCCACACAGGCUUUCUCCCCUUGAUUAUCACCCCAUCUUCCUCAUCAUCAUGAGCCAAGUCCUCCUCAUAAAUAGGCAAGACAUCCGCACCAUCAGCAGCAGAUCUAUCCGUGAAGAACAAAGGCGCACCCCUGUCAGGAGCUGCCACUGCAGCCCCUACCUCAGUGCCAAAAUCCAGUGGUGCGUAAAGGGCACCAAACAGCGAGCUCUCCAGCUGCCGCAUCUCCUCUUCCUCCUUGUUCUGCUGGGCCUCCGGCAUCUUAGUCCUCUUCUUCCUUUCUUUAUUGUGAUUCUUCAACUUGGCUCCCUUCCCAACCUCUCCAUCGAUAGCAACAGGAGAGCCGAUUCCCUCAUUUCCAUCAUCAGCUCCACUUUUCUCAAGGCGACGCUUCUGGGCGUUCUGGGAUAUCAAGCUCAUCUUGCCUCGAGAAUUGGCCUGCCAAAACAACAAAAUUCAGUCAAAAUAGUUGCAUAAAACAAAUGUACAAAACUUCUAUAGUUGGGCAUUAGGGAGCAUAAGCUACUAGUAAAUAUCAAACAGCCUUAAAAACUGAGACAUAACAUGCCAAUAAAAACGAUUUUACCACACAGAGAUGAGUAUUUGCCAGCAUCUAUGAACAAAUGAUAUAGUACAUCAAGUACCACUCAUUGACAUAACCAUAUCACGAACAAUCUAAUCCUUGUCAUGCUUCUUAACGAGCAAUUUCUCAUGGAAACCUAAGAAGCUAGCAUUCAGAAAAUUAACUCGCAAAAGUUUAUAAUCCAAUGCAUAUAACCUGUCAAAGUUCGCUUGGCCGAAUACUCCAGUGACCUUAUCUGAAAUUGCUACUAGCUUGUUCACUGAGCUCAAACAGCACCACACGGCAAGCGAAACUAGUAGCUAAUAUAUUAUAACUGGUUCAUCCGAAUACAAAUAGAUUAUACUAGCGUUUGGGUUGCUCCGUUUCGCACAGGCACAGCAGGAAGGGAAGAGAAGGGGUGGGCAUACCUGGUGGGUGCUCGUCGCCUGCUCAGUGCUGGUGGCCGCGCGGUGAUGCCGGCGACCGCGGCGACCGGCAAUAAAGGGGAGGCCGGGGGGCGGGAGGGGAGAGGAGGGGCCGCGGACCGCCGUCGAGCCCGGCGGAGAGGAGCGGCGGCGGCAACGGAGGGGGAGGGUCGGAGGGAGCAGCGCGCGGCGGCUGCUUGGGGAGGGCUGAAAAAUGAGUGGGCUAGGGUUGGGGCAACCUUUCAUAUUGACCGGAGGGGGUGCGGGCCCUUAAUGGGCCGGACAACGUGCUCACCAUCAAAUUGGGCCGGCCCACAUACCGCAUAUCCCUUCGUCAUCGACUCAUUCGUCUUCCUUACGAUGCUGCUCGCUCGACUCCUCGAUCUGGAGCAGUAGAGCAGCUCCCGCGUCGCGGCUCCGAGGAGGCGUGCUCUCGGGAGGUGGAAGAGGAGGUUAGGGGGUCUUCGUUGCCGGAGUUAGGCAGGGCAACCGCGCAGCUACCUUCCGCUACUGGUGGGUCCGCUUCAACCUGCACGGUCUCGGCGUGCGUCGGUAAUGGUGGUGGUGGACGCGUCGGAGUUUGGGGCGGAGGGGUUCGAUCCGAAGCAGUGGAUCAACGCGGCGCUGGACGCGCGGCACCCGUCAGAGCCGCUCGAUCGCUUCCUCGCCGACGCCGAGGAGCGCCUGCGGGCCGCGGCUGACGACGCCGCGGCCGCGCUCGAGAGGGACAGCGGCGACGCCCUCCGCCGCGUCCCGCUGGCAUGCCGGGACGCGCUACGCCUCCGCGACGAUGCCGUUGCUCUACGCGCCCACCUCGCCUCCGUCCUCCAAUCCCUCUCCCUGGUACGCGCCUCCGUCCCUCUUCCUCGCUCCUUAUUGGAUCUAAAUCUCACUGUCACUGGCAUUCUCAUGCGAGCAUAACCCGAAAUCGAGACGGAUUACCUGGAGCUUUGAAAUAGCUUGCCGCGCUUAGUUGCUUUGCACGUAUAGUUCUACUGGAUCUGGAUCUCAUAUUCCCUGUCCAGUCAUGCCCCCCUUUUUUAUCUAGUCAUGUCACGUAUAUGACUUGCAUACAAUUAUAGCGUACUAGUAGUGCCAAAUUCACGACUGAGGCAUUAGUUUGAUCAUUCUGGUUUCAGGGUUUAUUGUCUCAUAUUGCUACUAGUUAAACAUUUGGUCUUAAAAUGUGCCAGGUUUUGUGAAACCAAGCUAUAUUCUGACAUAGCUCCAUUAGCAGACGUGUGAUAAAAUUAGUUUGGUGUGUAGCCAUUUUAUACAAAAGCUAACAUUCAGAGGAAUUCAGACAUUUAGAGCUGAUGUCCACACAACUUUCCAUAUUUUUCAUGAAAAAAGACAAUGAGUCCUGGAGAUCCAGUAAUGUUUACUUACUUCAGAUGAUAAAGUCCUGUAGAACGAGAUGCAAAAUCCAAAAAAAUAUCUCUCGCCCUUCAAUGCUGUGAGCACACUAGACUGAACUAAUCUCUCAGGCCCAGCCUCUCCCUCUGACCCAGCUCGGUCCAUCUUGUUACAUUGUAUCCAGUUCCAGCUAUACUUUGUCAAGGUUGCAGCUAACAAAGUAUUCAUGGUUAUAUUUCCAACCAGGCUGAGGGCUCAUCUGCUGAGUCAAUAGCUGCACUAGCGCAAAUUGAUACUGUGAAACAACGCAUGGAAGCGGCAUAUACAACAUUGCAGGUAAUGUCUAUGUAGAGUUAUGGGCCGUGAUACCUUACUGGAGUAUGUUCUACUAACAUGUUCAAUUCUUGUUUAUUAUUUAUAACAUUAUGUUUGAUGGAAUGGCAGGAUGCAGCUGGGUUAGCUCAGUUGAGCCAGAGUGUUGAGGAUGUGUUUUCUAGUGGCAAUCUUCCAAAGGCUGCAGAAACCCUGGCAACGAUGAGACAUUGCUUGUCAGCAGUUGGAGAGGUGUUUUACUCUCUGUAAAAAAAAACACAAACUGCAUAAAACCUGUUCCUUUUGCUUAUAAAAAAGUUUCUUUCAGGUUGCAGAGUUCGCAAAUGUGAGAAAACAGCUUGAAGUAUUGGAAGAAAGAUUAGAUGAAAUGGUGCAGCCUCGUUUAGUGGAUGCACUUUCUAAUCGCAAGGUAUCUCCCCCACAAAACAGUAGUUUAUAUUUGUUAAAUGAAGCAUCUCUAUUUUACUCAAAAACCUGAUUUUUUUGAAAGGUCGAUGCUGUGCAAGAUCUUCGUGGUAUACUGAUACGUAUCGAGAGGUUCAAGUCACUGGAGGCACAGUACACUAAGAUCCAUGUGAAACCUCUAAAGAAACUUUGGGAAGAUUUUGACCUAAAGCAAAGAGCCAGCAGGGUAGACAUGGAGAAGCUUGGUGGUGAAAGCAUUAAUGCUCUCUCAUUCUCAAGCUGGCUGCCUAAUUUCUAUGAUGAGACACUGCUUUACCUUGAACAAGAAUGGAAGUGGUAUGCUCAUUGUGAUCCUCUCCCCCUUUGUUCUGAGUUAAAAUAUACUAGUUCUAAAAUGGCUAAACAGAAGUCAGUUUUUGGAACCAGCUUUUAAGUAAUAUAUUUGGCACAAGCCCCAUCAGAACUGCAAUUUAACCUGUGGAUGCUCUAAAAUGGCAAUGCUAAUGCUCACAGGUGCUUGACUGCUUUCCCUGAAGAGUACAAAUCACUAGUACCAAAAGUACUUGUUGAGACCAUGAGUGAGUUGAAUUCAAGUUUUGUUUCUCGUGUCAACAUAGCAACUGGGGAUGUUGUUCCUGAAACCAGAUCUGUUUCCAAAGGUAAUGCAUAAACUGCUCACUAAUUUCGUAGUUCUAUACCCUGGUUGUAUCAAUUAUCAAACAUAUUUUUCUGCUUUGACGAGAUAUUAGUUGUGGUGCAUAAUCAUGCUUGUUUUUUUCCCCUCACAGUGAAUUGCAUUUUUCUUCUCUGUACCCAGGUAUACUGGACGUUCUAUCAGGUGACUUACCAAAAAGCACCAAGUUGCAGAAUAAGCAUCUUCAAGCACUAAUUGAACUGCACAAUAUGACUGGCACUUUUGCUAGGAACAUUCAGCACUUAUUUUCAGAAUCAGAUCUUGCAGUUGUGCUGAAUACUUUGAAAGCUAUUUAUUCCCCAUAUGAAACCUUUAAAGCAAGGUAAACACUUAAACAGUUUUGGCCUAUGCAAAAAACAACAACAACAUCAUGUUGCAUCGUAUUACCAGCUGCAUUUAUGAUUCUUUGACACAACUGAUGUACAAAACUAAGCGUUUAGUGCUGCAUUCUAUUUUUUGGGUGUCAUGUAGGUAUGGGCAGAUGGAGCGUGCUAUACUUUCUGCUGAGAUGGCAGGUAUAGACAUCCGUGGGGCUGUCCCUCGUGGUGUUGGUGCACAGGGUAUAGAGCUGAGCGAAACUGUUCGCAGAAUGGAGGAAUCCAUCCCACAAAUGAUAGUACUUCUUGAAGCAGCUGUGGAGAGAUGCAUUAGUCUUACGGGUGGUUCAGAGGCAGAUGAACUGGUAGUUGCUCUUGAUGACAUCAUGCUUCAAUACAUAUCUAAUCUACAAGAAGCAUUGAAAUCCCUGAGGAUAGUCUGUGGGCUGGAGAGUGAUGCCUUGAAGAAAGAUGCAGGUUUAGAGAAAAAGGAAGCACAACGAUUAGUAGAUGUUUCUGAAGAGGAAGAAUGGUCUAUUGUCCAAGGUGCUUUGCAGAUUCUUACAGUUGCUGAUUGCCUAACAAGCAGAACCUCAGUAUUUGAAGCUUCUUUAAGAGCCACGCUUGCCAGGAUUGGAACAAACUUUUCUCUUUCUGGCUUUGUUUCAAGCCUGGAUAAAUCACCCACAGCAAUUGCUGAUGAGAAUGCAGACUUGCCUCUUGGAGGACGGGCCGCACUUGAUAUUGCUGCUAUUCGCCUACGUGAUCUGCCAGACAAGUCUAAGAAGCUCUUAACUGUGCUAGAACAGGCAAGUGUUGUUCUAAAUUUCCACAUUUAUUGUUACAACACAGGGGUCAUCACUUGUGUCUCUUGACUGUCACCAAGUCCUGAACUAUUGUAUCUUUGGUCUAUGGUCCAGAUUGCAUCGAUUCUUAUUUCCCUGAGUCACCAUGUGUCUUUCUUGCAAAAGACAGAUUAGUUGUGUUGGAUGAAAAUAAUACAUUGUAGACAAAUGACAGAUUCGUUGCUUUUCUAUGUUUACUUGUUUCAGUAGUCACUGUAGAAACAUAAGGAGUACAUUUUAGGAUUCAUCCAAAAUAUCUGCUUUGACAGGAAAUUGAGUUCUAAUCAUUUUUUAACUUGCCUUUUCUGCUCUACUAGUUAUUUAAAUCUGUGUUAUAUAUUAGAACCUACUUGUGCCCUGCAGAUUUUCCCACCCAAGUUUAUUUACCCUGAUGUUCUACUACUAACAUUUCUAUUUAUUUUUUACAGUCAAAAGAUCCAAGGUUCCAUGCUCUUCCUCUCACAUCACAGAGAGUUGCGGCCUUCUCAGACACAGUAAAUGAUCUCGUUUAUGAUGUGCUCAUAUCUAAAGUUCGGAUGCGUCUCAGUGAGGUUGCUCGCCUCCCAAUCUGGUCAUCGGUGGAGGAACAGGGUGGUCUUCCUCUUCCAAGCUUCAGCGCCUACCCGCAAGCUUAUGUGACCAGUGUUGGAGAGUAUCUCCUCACUUUACCACAGCAGUUGGAACCACUUGCAGAAGGUAUCUCAGGCAACGAGACUGGCAACGAUGAGGCCCAGUUCUUUGCCACUGAGUGGAUUUUUAAGGUAAUAUAUGCAACCUUUCUACUUAUGUACCUGUGAAAUGCAAAAAGCAACCAUCCUUCAGUGCUUAUUGGGACAUUAUAUAGGAAGAGUAAAUUAUCUUUGAAUAUAAUGAUCACAAUUUAAUAGAAGAUUACUUCCUAUCUUCCAAGAUUUUAUCAUAAUUUGUAACAUCAUUCCUGUAUCGAUGUUUGAACAAUCCAGCUUUGAUUCUCAUCUCUGCUUCCAUGUAUCAGGUUGCCGAGGGUGCCACUGCUUUGUUCAUGGAGCAGCUGCGUGGAAUCCACUACAUCACUGACCGAGGCGCGCAGCAGCUUGCCGCAGACAUAGAGUACCUGAACAACGUCCUCUCUGCGCUCUCAAUGCCGAUUCCUCCAUUCCUGUCCACCUUCCACGCCUGUGUCUCGACCCCGAGGGACCAGGUCCGUGGUCUGAUAAAAUCAGAUGGCGGAAGCCAGCUCGACCUCCCUACUGCUCAUCUGGUGUGCAAGAUCCGGCGGAUCUCGUUAGAUUAGUGAAGCGAAUUUGUUGAUUCUGAGUUUUAUCUCACUUCUCACGCUUUGGUUUUGAUUUUUUGUUGUGACAAAUGAGUUUGACUUGUGUAAGUUGUAACCGUACUGCUUGCAGAUAGUGAAAAUAAUCAUAUAGGAGUACAGAAUAAUUCAUUGCAAAUUUCGAAAAAAAAUGAGGACCUGGAUUUAUGUGCACUUUAAAAUUGGGCGCUAAUAUUUCACUCAAAUGCGCAUCUCAUAAGAUUAACACAAAAGGAUGGUGAUGCAUCAUGCAUGCUUGAGAAUUGACAUGAGAAAUGGACGGUCAGGAUGAUGCACUAACCAACCAUUAACAUAAUUCUCAAUCUCAGCAAUCAUACUCAAGGCAGCUCAGCCCUUUAUUUACUAAGAAUAAGAAUUUAUUAUUGAUGAAAAAGGAGUGAAAGGGAAGUUCUUAUAAUAAUAAAUAAAAAAAGAAAAUUCCUUCCCCCCUUACCAAUCUCAGCCCGUGCCCAGUCUGUCCGUCUCCCUUCCCAAUCGCUUUCGAUCCGCACCUCCUGUCUCCGCCGCCGCUUCAUCCCGCUGCGGCCCUCCACCGCCGCUUCAUCCCGCCGCGGCCCUCCUCCGCCGCCGCCCCCAGCGACGACGCUGCUAAGUGGGCGGUUCGUGCAGAGGCGGCGACUUCGGCUGCCGGUAUUCUCUGCAACCACUCCGUCCCUCGGUCUCACCGCUCUGCCGCCCCUUCCUCUCCACUGCUCCGCUGCCUCCCGGUGGACGGAUCUGGAGUCGGCGGAUAGCUAGUACUGCUCCUACCCUGGCCUCCAGGUGGCGGCACCACUUCCCCGGCGGGUAAGAGCAAUUGAAUGGAGAGUUUCCAUAGGAUUCUACUAUUUUCUGCGAAAUUCCUGGAGAAUUCCGGUGAUAGUACGGUAUUUCGUCGAAAGUUUAUCUAGAAUGUUUGGAACCAGAUAUAAAACAUGCGCUUGUUGCCCCCAUUUAUUUUUUAAUCGGUGAGCUCCAUUUUGUUAAAUCGACUCCAUGGCACCAAACCCAUGCAUUUAACUGGCUUAAAUGUGCUUUUAGAGUUCUAGCAAGGAAGCGAAUGCUCAAAUGACCCAUUCAAGCUUUACUCGCCUCAUUAUUUCAGCCACUUUGGCAGAAGAGACUUGCUAUCCGGAUUCAAAUUUCGAAAUCAUCUUUUCAGAACAUGUAUACUGUGGUUCCUCAGAUUGGUGACCUGGAGCCACCAUACUCAUCUGUACUGCUAUUUGCGAAGAAUAAAAAGAAAAAAAAUGCAUGCAUACUUUCAUCAACCUUCUUGGGAAAACCAGCGAGUGUAUUGAAGUUUCCUGGGGACAUGAAAACAAGAGUUUUCCUUUGUAAAGCAUGCAAGAGUUAUAGUAGCACUGUGUCAAUUUGACUUAUUAUUUUAUUGCAUAUGAGGUACUAUCAUUUUCUUGUAAGAAAUAUUUUAUUUGGAUCAAUAUGUGAAAUGAUAUACUUAUCUUACAGGAACCCCAAUAAGUUUACUGCUGCCAUCAAGCUAAGCGAGGAAUUGCCUGUCUCCUAGAACUUCUCCUGAUCUUCCGUGGCACAAUCAUCCUCUGAGAAAAUGCCAUCAGUUUAUCUUUACAUACCUAAUAUUAUUGGUAUGCCUCUGGAUGGUUAUCUAUUUACCUAGCAUUUGCCAAACCCAGUUAAUAAUUUAUAUUUUUUCCUCUUAUUUAUAUCUUGAAAGUAACUGGAUAAUGACAUUAAUGACUAGUGCAACUGGAAACAUUCGGAAGCACCAUCUGUAUUGUAGUUCUGUUCCACUUUGCUACCCAAGAAUAGCAACACAAAAGAAACCAGAAAUUUAAUAGUGUAUAUAAUUCGACCAACAAGGCAAUAUGUGACUUAAAAUUCAGGAAUUGUCAUCGUGCAGGGUAUUUUAGGAUCAUCAUAAAUUUCAUUGCUUUUGCUGUUUGCUAUUCCAACAAGGCGCUCUUUGCUAUUCUGUACUUCUUCAGGUGAGUCACUUAGAUUUAUCUGCAGACUAGUUGUGUUCGAUAUGCUAUGCAAACUAUUUAUGUUUGUGGUUCUCACAUCCUUGCAAACUAUUUAUGUUUGUGGUUCUCACAUCCUUGCAAACAUGUCAGCUUUGUUCUUGAUGGCGUGGAUGGUUGGUUUGCACGGAAGUUUAAUCAAGGUAAUAAUUCAAAUUUCCCUUGUUUUCAAAUCAUGUAGCUUGUCCUUGCAUCAAAAAGGCUAAUUUUAACUUCUUUGCUAUGAUGAAAUCUCAUUGCAUAGUAUGCUUAAGAACUUUAAAUGGUUAUGCUGAAACACUGAUCUCAUCUAAAUCUCCUUAUUCCUGUUAUUUUCCUAGUGUAUAAGCUAUCUGGUAAGUUGUUGAAGUAUCUGAUCAGUUUAUCUCAUUGUAUGAAUCAGCAUCAACAUUUGGAGCUGUGUUGGACAUGGUUACAGAUAGGUACUCCUUGAAUUAAUCUUUAAACUCUGGAUACGCGGGGUGAAUACAUUCUACCGCCUAAAAUAAUUUCACAUCUCACAUUGCACUUCUUCAGGGUUAGCACUGCUUGUUUGUUGGCCCUUCUCUCCCAAUUUUACAGGUAUUAAAUUGCUUGUACCGAUUUGUCUUGAACAUGAUACCGGUUACAAAUUCUAAUUGCACAUAUUUUUACAGACCUGGCUUAGUCUUCUUAAUACUUCUUGGGUUGGAUAUUACAAGCCACUGGUUUCAAAUGUACAGGUCAGUUUUCUCUAACAUUUUUUUUUCAGUUUUUGCAAGUUCCCAGUUUGUUUUUCUAGUCAGCACCUCCCAUUGUUAAUAUAAUCGAGGGAUCAUAAUAAGUCUAAGUACCAAUUACGUUUACAAUAAUUGCCAAUGCUUUCAUGAUGCAUGUGUUAUGUGCUUAUUUGUUCAAGAAUUUCUUUUGUUCAAAUCAAUUGUUACUUUAUUACCUUCUAACUAUGUGCUGACAUAUUUUCUGUACUAGUUCUUUCCUGUCAGGCAAGAGUAGCCACAAGGAUGUAAAGCACACAGGCAAUUGGCUUCUGAAGUUAUAUUAUGGGUACAGACCAUUCAUGGCCUUCUGUUGUGUUUCUUGUGAGGUAUGUGAUCGUUCAUACAUUACACUAUCCACAAGAUCUAUGAUCCUGCUGUGCAGUUUCAAUCCAUGUGAAUGUAGAAAACUUGACAGUUGGAUGUUGUGUUGUGGACUGAGCAACAUCUCUACAGUCAGCACAUCCAGCUAGCUUUUACUCAGCUAACAAAACAAUCCUGUAUGUUUCACCCUCUAACCUAUUUCUUUUGCCUACAGGUUUUAUAUAUCAUUCUCUUUCUCUUUGCUGAUGAGAAGUCGACAAGCUUGCUUAGUGUAAGAUGGCAUCAUUUCUAUAUUUGCCUUUUUGAAUUGACAUCUGAGUGACUGAGUCGUAUAGCAUAUGACAUUUCUGUAUCAACUUUUUAACAGGUAUCCAGAGGUAUCCUGAAUCAAAGUCCCCUCAUUGUCUUGGUGUUUAUUUCCACUCUAGUUGGCUGGGCCGUGAAACAAGUUACCAAUGUCAUCCAGGUAUUCACACUUUUUUCCCAGCAGCCCACUGCUAUUUGCACAUUUGCAUAUAAAAGCUGUAAUUGUGGCACCACAAGAGAUGUAAAAAAGGUGAAAAAGGACUGCUGACGAUGCAGUAUUUGGCCCUACGGUGUAGUCAGGUUUUCCAUGACUAAUCUUUGAGAAACUGUCAUCAUUCCAAAUUUUAGGUCUGUGGAUGGUGCUAGAACUGUUGCAUGUUCUACAUGGUUCUUAAAGUGCACUAGUGAAUUCAAUAAGCUCAAUUUUGACACCGUGUAUUUUCCCGAAUACAGAUGAAAACCGCUGCAGAUGCAUGUGUUGUGUAUGAUCUGAAGCGCGGGAAGUGAAGCAUGAAGGCACCUGUUUUGUGUUUUGUAUCAACAUAUCCAAUUCGUGAGGCUUGUGCACCAGGGUUCGUACGUACAGUGGCUACUUCUUAUAUGCCUUGACAUCUUUCUGAUGAUGCUUAUCUGUUGGGGCGAGACGGCGAUCUUGCUGUGGGAAGAACAUAAAGAAAACGGAGGAGAUAAAUGUUUUGAGGAGAAAGUGGAGGCUGUUUAAAUUGUUUGCCAGUGUUUAAUUCGGUUAUACAAUGAUGAUGCAAUCAUGAUCUUUGUUAGGUAGUGUAGCCUUUUGAGUUGACCUGAACCAUGUUUGCAAGCCACAUGUUUCAAAUUUCAGGAAUACUAGGAUCGUGAUACAUAAAAAUUGUUACGGGCAUGAAAAUUGAUAUCGCUUUAAUAUAAUAUACACACUGUCCAAUUAAAUUUAAGAUGAUACAUGUUAUUCAAAUAAAAUUCAGAAAUAAUAGGAAAUAUACAUGUGCUUUGUGAUGAGCGAAGGGCCAACGAUUGAGGCUUUAUUUUAACCUAUUUAAUAGAUAAUAUUUCAAAAUAAAUCAAAUCGAAAAGGUAUUAAGUCAUCGUGAUAAUUUGCUCGCACCCUUCUCAAUCUGGGCUGUCAAAAACCACCACGGGCACCACCUCUGAAUGCUCCGUUGCCUCAAUCACAUGCACAGAGUUCCGGCAUUUUAGUUGUGCCUAUGGAUAUGUUUAGAAGUUCCAUCCAAUUAAUAAAUUGAAUUUCGCGAGGACUUGGAUGGAUAUUGCACCUUUUUUUACUAAAGUGUAAUGCCACGCUAUCCUAUAAAUUCUCUCUCCCUACGCAUAUUAAUCAUCAUCUUAUAAAAAUAUUUGUAAAAAAUAUAUAGUCACGGAGAUAUAUGUUUUCCCUUAAACUAAAGUGCGAAUAAUGCCAAUAGAAAUAAAAGCUCGAGGAAGAUGGACAAAACUUCCAAGUUGCGCCUCAUGUAGAAUGGAAAGCGGAAAAAGACGAGGAGACGUGCGGCACUGGCUGCUGAAUCUGCGAAUUUUCAUUCGCACAGAGUGAGCAUGGUAAGCUCGCCCUGGCACUCGGCAAUUCUUGUUCUCUCGAUACCUGUGGCUACAUGUAUUCUACCACACACUGCACCUGCUAUUGUAUGUAUACCUGGGCUGGAACUUUGGAUGUGCUAGAACUAAUUUUUUUAUCAGACUUUUUUUUUAGCAACUAUCGAUCGUGUUUGGAUACAUAAAUUAAAAGUUAGCUAUAAUAAUGAGAAUAGUCUGCUCUACCAUUGCCUUCUCUUAUCCUUGACCGAAAGGAUAAGACCUGGCCUCUGCCGAGCCGCCCGUCUUCUUGUCUCCUCGCCGCCACACUCCUACUCGUUGCGGCGCGCUCCUCCUCCUCCUGCUUCGCCGCAGGCACCGUGGUGCAAACGCUGGUCUGCACCGGUGGCUCUGGGCUCUGGCCAGGGCUGCCAACGGGUGCUGGCAGGGACGCAUGGCGUCCCAGGACGCCCCAUCAUUAGCCUGGGUGCAUACUGUGCCAUCGAGGACACCGUUUUCCUAGCUCGCCCGCGGCCUCACGAACCCAAGGCAUGCAAUUGCUUUGCAUGGAAUGGAUUUGGUGCACGGAAAAGGGUGGCCAUCUUGCUAGUCUGCUGAGUGUUGGAUUUGUUGUUAGGUUGGCAUUCCAUUUACUACUGCUCGAUUGGCCCGCUUGCUGCUACUCGAUUUGGGAUUGCUCGAUCCAAGACACUGCAGUAUUGUCCGGCGGCAACGAAGAGGAGCGAAUAUGCGACUGCCCUGUCUCAACCGCGCGUGCGGCCAUGACAUUCGCGCCGCGCCGUUGGCGCCGGACUCCAUCCACGGCCUGCCCGCACUUGGCCGCGGAACUCGCCCAAACGCUGCUCGCCACCACCGCACGGCACGUCCGGAGUCGGGGGCCUCCGGGCCCAUGGCGUGGCCGGCGGCGUCAGGGGCUGGCGCAGCGGGCUAGCGGCGUCGGGACCUGGCGUGGCGUAGCGCUCGUCUAGCGGGAGAGGUUUCCGGCGUCGGGCGUUUGCGACGGGCGAUGUCGGCCUGUCGGGCGGAACACCUGAAGUCCCGAACGCGGACAAGGAUCCGGUGCAGCGGCAGUAGCGACUGCAACUCAAGCAGUCCCGGAAUGUGAGAAGGUGCACUGUCCACCUUCUACUGUAGCGAUUCAUCUGGUUCGAUCAUCUGUGAAAUGGAUGCUCCACCAUGCGUGCAGUCUCUUAUUGUGAUCUGCGUCCCCCGAACGCACUGGAGAAGGACCGAGUAGAUAAGGAUGGCCACAAUGGUGCCAAGGGCAUAUUGCUCCGUUUACAUGGUUGAAUAGAUGAGAAAACACAAAAUGAUGUAGAAAAGCACGAAAAGGCAUUCUAGCAGGUUGCUAAUGUUUCAUAAUGGCAAAAUGGCGAAAUCUAUUUGCGGAAUGGCGCUCUGAUGAAACCCACUUUUGAGGAUGGUUUGUUUUAUCAGAUUGCAAUAUAAGCUAGGUAGUUAGGCAAUACACUGAGGAACACUAAGUUGUUGAAUCAUAUUCCAUCCCGUGGUUUCGAACUUUUAUUGAUCAGACCAACGUUUUCAGUUGCUCAUGGUUGAAGAUUGCAGUUUCAUUACAUGCUAAUAUCCAAAUAGUUCCAUGAUUACAUUUUAGGUGCGAGCUGCUAUCGAAGUUGAUGCUUUAUACAUCACUUGCUUCACGUCUUCUGGAAGACCUACAAGGUAAGACAGAAAAGAUUUUCUUUAUAGGCAUUUCCCCCUUUGGAACAAUAAAGCCUUGACUUCUUUUUAGUUUCUGACAGCCUUGUAUUCUUUCUUGCAAGCAAGACAAUCACUUUUAGAUACAGGAACUCUCUCCGAUGUUUGCUAAUCCACAACGACUUUCUGUUAAGUCAAUAAAUUUCCGAGACACAUGAACCUAUCUGUAAUUAUGGUCUUUAUUCCAUCCAGCCCAUGUAUCUUAUACUCAGUUAUGUUUGAAUAGAUUGCAUAGAUUUGAUUUUCCAUUCUUUACGCUAUCUCAUUUUCAUGUUGCAUUAACCAGUUUAGUUAAUCAAUCUGCCUUACUAUUCCAUCCAACUCUAUUGCUCUACUCCUGCACACCAAGUGUUUCAGGAUAUAUACAUAUGGCAAAGGAAAAACAGAAUCUCUUCUAAUUUUUCUUUUCAAUUUCUAAUUUGCCAUUUUCCUAAUUUGACAACGCUGAUGUUAUGUUGCAGAAUGAGAGGAACACCUGCUAUCAAAGAUCAGAUAUCUUCGUUAUCUUUAUAUGUAAAUGAAGACUAUCUAAAGUGGUUGAACAGAAUUGUAAUAACACAUGCUACUAGUAGGGAAAUGGUUUUCUGUACCGGUUGGGAACCCCUUUUAAUACCAGUUGUGAACCGGUACUACUAGUUCGGUACUAAAAGGUAUUAAAAAAUUUUAAAAAAAGAAAUCCCUGCUUAGGCCUCCCCUCCCGCCGGCCUCCCCCCGCCGCCCCCGGCCCCGCAUCCUGCCGUUGCUGGCCCGCAUCCCACCGCCGCCGCUCCAUCCACCGGAUCCCACUGCCGCCGCUCCAUCCACUGCAUCUUGUCGUCGCUGCUCCAUCCACUGGGUCUCGUCACCGCAUCCUGUUGCUCUCAGCCUCGCAUCCCGCCAGCCGCUCCGUGCCUCGAUGGUCGCCGCAGCCACGCCUCGCCCCGCCGCCGCUCCUCGCCUCAGGCACGAGGUGAGGGGCGAGCGGAGGGGGGAGGAGAGGGGAGGCCGGGGAGGAAGGGAGGGGGGUGGUGGAGGGGAAGGAGGGGCCGGGUUGGCACCGUCCUCCUGGAGUGAGGGAGCUGAGGGAGGGGGCCGGUGCGGAGAUGGAGAGGGAGGCGAAGGGAGGGUGAGGGAGGCGGAGGGAGGGUGAGAGGAUAAGGCUAGCUAGCAGAUGGAGGGAGGGAGGGGGCUGGUGCAAAUUAAAGUCCUUGCGUGCAGAUGGAGGGACGCGGAGGAAACCCUUUAGUACCGGGUGGGGACUCCACCCGGUACUAAAGGCCCUCAGCAGUACCGGGUGGAGCCUCCACUUGGUAGUAAUGGGUCACCUAGUACUGGGUGGAGCCUCCAUCCAGUACUAAAGGGGGUCACAGGGGGCUCCUCGGGAACUACUGAGCCUCGGGGUGAAUGCUCAGUUUUCCAAUAGUAUGAGAAAUGGAGCGUAUUUCCGUGAGAUACUCAUUUUGACCGGUUGAGUGGCCCUUUUCCUCCUGGAGCAAGCUUCACAAUCAAACCUCCUGUCCCAUUGAAACUGUUCCACUAAGCUUAACUAUUUUCUAUUUAACCGGUUUAGGUGAUUUAUGUCAUGUUUAAAGUAAAUUAUUGUUCUGCCAUAUUACACCAUCCUCUUAAAUCACAGUGUGGCUCUUGGUGGGUCAACUAAUGCUAGCUGUACUGCAUUUGAUUGCCAUUGCUCGGUGGGUUGUUAUAUCAUCUUGUAUCACAUGUGCUUAUUUGCUUAGGUAGACUAAGGCUUAUUAGUUGUGUUUCAGGUCUGUAGGUCUGCAUAUGACUCUUAUGAUUCUGAGAAGGUCAGUGAACAAGUUCCUUUCCUUCCGGAACUCAAGCCCAGUGGCAAAUAUGUCAUGGAAGAAGGUAAAUGCUUAAUGCUACUAAGAUUUAUUUGGUUUUGAGCACAUGUCAAAUCCACCUUAAGUUGUAUGAUGCUUAGCUUGUCUUUUCAUUACUAUUCUGUUAGGUGAUAUUUUUUUUCAUGCAAUCACACAUUUAAGUGAUUUUCUUCACAUAGCCUCUAAGGAAGUUUAAGGGCUCAAAUAAACAAAAGAGAAAACCCCAAAACCAAAAUUAAUCAAUACAAUUAAUUUAAGAAUAAGGCAUGUUACAGAUUAAUCAAUGUCAUGGUAUUACAUUACUGUAAGAAUGGUUUUGGAACAGAGGUAACUUUGUCUUAGAGUUGCUUUCUGAUUCAACCUGGGUUCAUCAAUGAGCUAUACAAUAUAGUUCUGGAGAAUUCAGCUGUAGUAAAAAUAACUUCAUGGUUUCAUGUGCAAAACCUUACCUAGUUCCUUCACGGUUAUUAGCUUGAUUUUUUCCGAUCACGUGCCAAUAAUUCCUUCACAGUUAUCAGCUUGUUCUUUUUUUGUUUCCGAUCAGGUGCCAAUGAUUCACGAGUAUGCUGCCCAACACCUGUGCUAACCAUUAAUCAUGUGAUCAUGCAGGAAGUACAAAACAACAUAUGUAUUGGCCGUAUGUGGGAGGUGAAUUGGUGAUGGAGGCGGAAGAGGUGGAUUGAAACCGUUCUCCUAGCCGCCAAGCCGGCGUGGGGUUGUAGGCAACGUCGUCCUCAGCCUGGGGUUGGAGACGAUGAACGCGCCGGGGUGGGAUUGGAGGUGACGGCAGCCCCGGUGUGGGUGUUGGAGAAGACGGCGUGGCCAUGGUGGGGUUGGAGGUGACGGCGGCUCAGGCCUGGGGUUGGAGAUGACGGUGCGAAUGCCGGAGAUGACGGCGCGGCCGUGUUGGUGAUGGAGACGGCGGCGGCGGGGGUGGGUGUGUUGAUGGCAAUUAGCAUGCCAGUUUGUGAACCGCAAGCGCAUGGAUCAUCGUAGCUUUUUUCUCAGAGUAUUCCAUCCAAGGUUUAUCAAUCCGUGGAUCAGCAGCGAACUAAUUAGGAUUUUCCAUCUAAGCUAAUGGAUCUAAUCCUAACACGAAGCAUAGAUUGCAUAUGAAGAGGGUAACCUUGGUGUAAAGGUAAAUCAUGAGAACAAGUAGAUCGCAUUUGUGUAUAUGAUAAAAUACCACCAAGGGUAGUAAGAGCCUAUCAUCUUCUAGUUAUAGUUCUAGCUAACAAGGAAGCACAACAUGCAUCUCGUCAGACGAAUCUUUAAAAUACUACUUCCGGUCAACCUCCCAAAAAUCCCCACCUUACACAAGCUAGAUCCUGUCACGAUCCUCUUUAUCAGCGUAGGCAGUUUAAGGGCACGAACACAAGUGAACAUGUUUAAAUAUCAUGAAGGGUCAACAUAUUAGAUCUAAUCACCAUGAUUACAUAAAGCAUGCUAUGAAGUCUAACCUCGAAUUAGACUAAGGAAUAAGCAUAUUCAUGAUAAGAAGAAAGCAUAAAAGGAGACAACAAGUUGCUAAUAGAUCGGAUGGCAUGAAAAAUAUUGCUCAUAUAAUAGAUGUAUUCAGAUUAUCACCACUGAGUACAUUCCAUUAAUGAUCAUAACUAGCUCCUAAACUCCACCAUGACACAACUGCGCAAAGAGGCCAUGGUAGCUAGGGUCGGCCUAAGCCAUCUCCUAGACAACUUCGAAGACUUGCAGCAGCCCUCAGCUCCCUCUGGUGGAUGUUCUUCAUUUCGUCGAGUUUCUCGUGGAUGGAUGCUAGGGCUCGAUGAAUUUUUGGGGUACUUAUAUUCCGGGGAGCGCAUGGCGAAAAUUAGAAGGCGAGAGGAGCAAGGAAAGCCUUAGGUCGAUCGGCCUGGUAGGCCGAUCGGCCGGGGUCCAGGCUGAUUGGCCUGGCCCUUCCUUGUGGCCUCUCGCGCUCUCCUUCGUCGCCAAAUCUUCUUUGAUGAUAUGAACACUUAUUUUUACUUGCAUGCGGGAAUUGCACGUCGAUAGCCUCGGGAUAAGGAUGGAUCUUGAUAUCGUUCCAAAGUCCUGCUUACUUCCAUCUUUGAUCAUAAAGUGAGUUUGCCAUAUCUUGUGAAACUUAGCCCCUAAAUAUUUUUGAAGGAGUCCUCGCCGAAGAUGAGCAUGAUCGGGGCCCUGAAGACCCUAUGCUGAUUGGCAUAGGCCUCUAUAGGCUGAUCGGCCUAGUCUCCUUCUGGGUCCAUUGGCCUUCGUCUUUCUCUGGGUUGUUGUUCGUCGAGGGUCUUGUCCAAUUAUGCUCCAACAUAGUCCAAUUUUCUGUGAAAACAGAAUGUCCUCCAAAAUACAAUGCAUAUGCGAAAAUAGGGUUAUUUUAGGUGCCAAGUGGCGGGUUAGUAUAAGAAUAUGUAUGAAAACACCACUUAAAUGGCACUAAAAGUGUGUCAAUAACGAGCGUCAACAGGUGAUGGAGAUAGCAGCGGUGUCGGGGUGGGUGCUGGAGAUGGUGGCGGCGCCGGGGUUGGAUCGAAGGCGAGGGCGUCCCCAAUCUACGUGCUGGAGGCGACGACAGCGGCGGGGUUGGAGGCGAGGCAGCGGGGGUGGAGGUGUGUGGGAUCGGAAGACGUUGCGAGAGUUGCGUGAGGGUUUAGGGUGGGCGCCCUGGCCCGACCUCAAUCGGAGGGACAUGGCGUGGGCGUGCGAGUUGAGGGAUGGCUGGGGUUGAUCUAAAUGAUCCACGGUAAAACGCGAAGCACGGGGUGGGAUGAGGAGAAAGCGGACGGCGUAAAAUGGGGCGAGACAGACCGAUCGGGUGCAGUAACAUAGUACAACGACGUUUUUUCUUCCUUUUAGUUUUUUUAGCUGUAGAGAAUAAAGCUUUAUAAUUGCAAAACUUAUUUCCUCCUUAAGCUUAAUUAUUGUUGCAAAUGUGAAAUGCCCCCUCAUAAGAGGCAACUGCCUCCUUUAGCGCUCACCACCGGCAUGUUUGCUGCGUAAAUAGGCAGCUGAUUUUUGGUUAUUUCUCGUUCGUCCUCCGUCCUAAAUUACUAUUCGUUUUGCCUUUUCUAGAUAUAUUAUUUUUACUCUGCGUCUAGAUAAUGUCUAGAUAUGUAGCAAAUACUAUAUACCUAUAAAAACUAAAAUGAAUAGUAAUUUGGUAUGGAGGGAGUACGUGAUGCUGCGCUGUUCACGCUAACACUCGUGUACUUGGUGGCACAACAGCUCCCGGCCGACACGAAGAAUUCUUCCUAACUUUUAACUGAAUUUUACAUAUGCGGCCACAAGACCCACGUGUGCAAGACAUCAGUGGCAGUGCUGGAACGCCUGAUGCUGCAAUGUGAAAUCAUGAAUUCCCCUGGGCGACACGACGACACAAAGGAAAAUGGACGGCUGGGUUACGAACAGCUAAUGCCACUACCAGCCAGGCAUCGGCACUUCUUCGCCUAGUCGGCCAGAGGCCGUCCUACCUGAAGUGAGUUCAGCAUCCACGACACAGAAGACCCCGAACUCCAAGCCUCCAGCCACAAAAAAAUGACCCAAAAAAAGCCCCGAGAUUUUUCACUUUCUGAUAUUUCCUCAUCCCAGGUAGGGAGGGGUAGGCAACUGCAAGCCUGCACAGCUCCCGUCUAUGUGGGCUCAUCUCUUCCUUAUCGACGCUGUGGCCGCCGAGCCGCCCACGUCGCCCCACCCUCUUCCUCCCCGAGACAAUCCCCACGCAACCGCGCACCGGGAGCCGGAUGAAACGGAACUAGCGGAGGGGGAGAAAAAUCUGCGACCCGUCCGCCUCGCCAGUGUGCUCGCCUACUUAUACACUCCGCUCACUCCCUCCAUCCCCUAGCUCCGCGGCCUCGCUCCCUUCCCCUCUCUCGGCUCCGGUCCACGCAGACAGGUGCGUGCGCGUCUCCGAUUCCCUGAUUCUGCGUGCGCGUUUGGGUUGUUGGUUCUAGUAAGUAACCGGUCUAGUGCCGUGUAAGAUUCGGUUCCUGAAGCUUCCUUUUAUCUCCUCCCUUAUUUUGGGAUGGGAGCAUGUGAGUGGUUAGUUUUUUUUAGCUUCAAGAGAGGGGGAAAGGUGAACUAGGAGUGUUGGUGUAUCGUGCUAAACUAGGAUCUGCCAGUAGGGUAGCGAUUGCUUAAAGCUCGUUCUGUUGAAUUAGCUUGUCGAUUUUCAAGGAGAGAGGAGAAGGCAUAAUGGUUGACUGUAUAUGGAUGAUCAUAUUUUAGUAGCCUGAUGAUUAUACUUGCAGUUGAGUAAGGAUUAGAAUGGUUUGGGGCGCUUGUAGGUAGUGGAAGGAAGCACUAGUAGCUCUUGAAUAGAAACUCUUCUAAUGAACCAUAUUCCGUGUUUACUUGCUCCGAAGCAUUUCGCAUCAUGUGGUUCUCCAACGUGACCUUCCAUAUACCCUUUUGCGAUGCAAUAGGGACUUAAAAUUGUACCUGUGCUUGUUUCAGUCAAAUUGAAUUGGAACUGAUGAAUUACAACAGUAAACUAAGCUCCUGGAUGAACCCAUUUUCUUUUUAGCUUUGCAACAAUUGUUCUUCUCUCUUGUUGACGAGGUCUCCCAUGAUUUUUUCAGUGAGCAAAGAUGGCGCCGCCAUCUAUGAGCCUUGCUGCAAAGGGUGUGCUUCCCUUCUCAGCCCUUACUUCAAGCGGCGUUACGCAAAGGCCAGUGUCAGUGACUGCUUCCUUGGACAAGACCAGCGAUGCCAGAAGGAAGUUCCUAAAGCUUGCGCUUGGGAACCUUGGUGUUGGGCUGCCCACCCUGUUGGGUGCUAAGAAAGCUCUUGCUGAUGAGCAAGGCGUCUCUUCCUCAAGGAUGUCUUACUCGAGGUUCCUUGAGUAUCUUGACAAGGAUAGAGUGAAGAAGGUUGAUUUGUUUGAGAAUGGGACCAUUGCUAUCGUGGAGGCCAUUUCUCCUGAGCUUGGCAAUCGCGUGCAGAGGGUCCGUGUGCAGCUUCCGGGUCUAAGCCAGGAGCUUCUUCAAAAGUUGAGGGAAAAGAACAUUGAUUUUGCUGCACACAGCAACCAGGAGGACUCUGGUUCUCUUCUGUUCAACCUUAUCGGAAAUUUGGCAUUCCCCCUUAUCCUUAUUGGCGGUCUAUUUUUGCUGUCAAGAAGGGCACAAGGUGGCCUUGGUGGACCCAAUGGUCCUGGCUUUCCCCUUGGUUUUGGUCAAUCUAGGGCCAAGUUUCAGAUGGAACCCAACACCGGUGUUACAUUUGAUGAUGUUGCUGGCGUUGAUGAAGCAAAGCAAGACUUCAUGGAAGUGGUCGAGUUCUUGAAGAAGCCUGAAAGGUUCACUGCUGUUGGUGCUCGCAUUCCUAAAGGUGUUCUUCUUGUUGGUCCACCUGGAACUGGUAAAACUUUGCUUGCCAAGGCAAUCGCGGGAGAGGCUGGUGUGCCAUUUUUCUCAAUUUCAGGCUCUGAGUUUGUGGAGAUGUUUGUUGGUGUUGGUGCUUCCAGAGUUCGUGAUCUUUUCAAGAAGGCCAAGGAGAAUGCUCCUUGCAUAGUGUUUGUUGAUGAAAUUGAUGCUGUCGGUAGGCAAAGAGGUACAGGUAUUGGUGGUGGAAAUGAUGAAAGGGAGCAAACUCUCAACCAACUGUUGACUGAGAUGGAUGGUUUUGAGGGAAACACUGGAAUUAUUGUUAUUGCUGCCACUAACAGAGCUGACAUCUUGGAUUCUGCUUUACUUAGGCCUGGACGCUUUGACAGACAGGUUAGUUUUUUAAUUUGGAAUUUUGGAUGUUAACAUUUGUUCGCAUUCUGUCUGGCAAUGCAUUCCAUUCCUAACACAGUUACGUGAGUGCUUGUUACAGUUAAAGUUGUUUGGUUCGAUCAUGAUUUACUAGUGAAGUUGUCAACUGCUUGCUUGAAAAAAUUAAGUCCACCCAUUUUAUAGCCAAAAGUUCAACACUCAUAUUGUUUCCUUUGUAGAUUACUAAGCUGAUCGCCUCCACUUAGUUCCUCCUAGGUUUGCCUUGGUUUCUUUCUUUCUUUCUUUUACUAAGCUGAUCGCCUAAUCCAUUUAGUUCAGAGCUUGAGUCAUCUUUCAUUCAGUACCUGAAAGCUAUCUAGAUCUUAACUUGAAAUUUGUUACAGGUGUCUGUCGAUGUUCCUGAUGUCCGUGGAAGGACAGAGAUUCUGAAAGUGCACGGUGGCAACAAGAAGUUUGAUCAUGAUGUUUCUCUUGAUGUCAUAGCAAUGAGAACACCUGGGUUCAGUGGAGCAGACUUGGCAAACCUUCUGAAUGAAGCAGCCAUACUGGCAGGCCGACGUGGGAAGACAGCAAUUUCUUCAAAAGAGAUUGAUGAUUCAAUUGACAGAAUAGUGGCUGGCAUGGAAGGAACUGUGAUGACUGAUGGGAAGAGCAAGAGUCUUGUUGCUUACCAUGAAGUUGGGCAUGCGAUUUGUGGGUAAGAGAUGACAUUUUCUUUGAAUAUUCCUCUUUGCUGAUCUUUUCUCCUUUGUCUUAAGCAUUGGAUUGGAUUUACUUUAGGUUGCUGGGUUUCUUAGAUGUCCUGUUAUGCAUUUGAAGUAUUUCUGAAGUAUUUCAAUUACUCUAUGUACAUUUGAGUGCUAAUAUGGUUUGUAAAGCUGGCUAGCUAAAUUUGUUCUCUUAAAUGCUCUGGUAAUUGGAAGGAUGAUAGGGCAGUUAUUUUGGUGUUGGAAUAAAGAACAACUUGUACUUGAUAUUUAACUCAAAAUGUUUCAAAAAAAAAUAUUUAACUCAUGGCCCAUUCCUUUGGUGUACUCCCUCCGUCCCAAAUUACUAUUCGUUUUGGCUUUUCUAGGUACAUAGCUUUUGUUAUGCACCUAGAUAUAUAUUAUGUCUAGAUACAUAGUAAAAAUUAUGCAUCUAGAAAAGCCAAAACGAAUAGUAAUUUGGGACGGAAGGAGUGUGUACUAAGUGGCUCCUUUUCUUUUUCUGUUUUUUGCUCUCUGAGAAUUAUAUGGUAUCUUUGCGGUUUCAGUUUUGAGUUAUUUAUGUGCCUCUUUUCUGUUCUUUUGGUAACCGUUCCAUGCCCUUUUUUUGUGCAAUCUCAUUCAUUUAUGGAAAUCUCUUCGCAGAACUUUGACACCUGGCCAUGAUCCCGUCCAAAAGGUUACCUUAGUUCCAAGGGGUCAAGCUCGUGGCCUUACAUGGUUUAUCCCGAUGGAUGACCCAACACUGAUCUCCAGGCAGCAACUCUUUGCGAGAAUUGUUGGCGGUCUUGGUGGUAGAGCUGCUGAGGAGAUUAUAUUUGGAGAGCCUGAGGUGACUACCGGAGCUGCUGGUGAUUUGCAGCAAAUUACCGGCUUGGCGAAGCAGGUAUACUUUCUUUAUGCUGCAGUUUUGUCAGCAUAACUUUGCAAGUCUUUGUGAACCAUUUGUGGUUUUAUUACUGACAUCUUUAUGAGUUCUAAGAACAAAACUAUGCUGCAAGCUCACAUGCUAUAGUGCUAUAAUUGGUAGCAAUCCGUAGGCAUCUUGUUUUACUACUGAACUUUGUUGCCAAUUGUACUGAGACCACAAUGAUCCUGCAGAUGGUCGUAACUUUCGGUAUGUCUGAGAUCGGCCCAUGGUCUCUGAUGGAGGGUGGAGCACAGAGUGGGGAUGUCAUCAUGAGAAUGAUGGCAAGGAACUCCAUGUCGGAGAAGCUCGCGGAGGACAUUGAUUCGGCAGUGAAGCAGUUGUCAGAUGAGGCCUAUGAGAUUGCUUUGAUGCACAUUAGGAACAACAGGGAGGCAAUUGACAAGAUCGUUGAGGUGCUUAUCGAGAAGGAGACACUGAACGGAGACGAGUUCCGGGCAAUUCUUUCUGAGUUUGUGGAGAUCCCUGUCGAGAACCGGGUUCCCCCAGCUACACCGGCGGCAGCUCUCCCCGCCUAAACUCUAGUUUUUUUAGGGACGAUAUUUGUUGUUGUACGAUGUUCAUAUUUUGGAUUCUUGGUAUACACUAACUCUACUUCACCAGCCGGAUUUUUGGUACACUACAUGUAACUUACUCAUGGUGAAUUAUAGUAACUGUAAUUAGCUUAAAAGGCUCUGCGCAACAUUUUAAGUUUCUAGCUUCUGGUCGAGUGAAAAUCUCUUGCUCGUCGGACGAGGCAAUUCCACGAUUCCUGCUACAAGACUUUGUGAUAAAACUGACUAAAAAAUGGGAUCAUCAAAUGCCACGAUCUUAACAACAAUUCUGCUUGCAACUGCCCUCACACUGUUAGGUAUGAUCGCAUUGCAAAAUUUGCAUCUCAAUCCGUUUCGAUCGUCCUACUCCUUACAAAGCCUCACCGGAUUACCCAAAAAUGAGGCUUCUUUAUUCACAAGUUGCUAUGGAAGUGAUGCUUUCCAACAACAUGCUUAGAUCAUAUUAUGAAACUGACCUUAUCAAUAGCUUAUCAACAAGCCAAGAAAAGUUGCCUCCAAAAACAAAAAACAAGGCAAGAAAAGGAAUAAAGCGCACAACACCAACACAUCACAAUUUCACAAAGGGAAAGAUGACAACACAAAAUACGGACCCAUAUGUAAAACUGAAGAAAUAUACGUAUCCCAAUGCAAAAAGGUCCUUCCUCCGCAAACCGAGACGAGACCAGACCGGAACAAGUCUCCAGGCCCACCACAGCGGCCACUCCUCCCCAUUCCCGACCAACCACCGACGCGGCCGCUCCACCAUGGCGCCCGCUUCCGCCUCCGCCUCGCCGCGCACCAGGCAGGAGCUCAUGGACGCCCUCACCGCGCACCUCUCCCUCUACCACGCCGCGGCGAACCCUAGCCCCGCCGCCUCCUCCUCCUCCACCUCCUCGUCACCGCGCGCCGCGAUCCUCCGGUGGCUCGCGUCCCUCGCCCCCGCCGCGCGCGCCGCGGCCGCCACCUCCCUCCUCGGCCCGGCCGCGUCCGCCGCUCUGCUCUCCAUGCUCCGCCGCCUCCGCCUCCGGGGCCACUCCUCCUUCUUCGUCCUCCACUCCCCGCCCCCGUCCACCUCCUCCGCGCGCGGGGCCGAGGAGCCCACCGUCCUCUCGCGGCUCUCCCGCGGCCUCCUCGCCCGCGCCGCGGCGGGCUCCCGGGCGCACGCGCUCCUCUUCGCCAACCUCCUCCUCUUCCCCUCCUCCCCCACGUCGUCGCGGUGCCCCGACGCGAUCACCGUCGCCGAGGCAUUCCUCGCCGACCUCGACGGCUUUGUCGCAGCCAUGGACGAGAUCUCCGGCGGGAGGUUCUUGUGCUCUGGGGAAGGGGAGGUGGACCUGGCCGCGCUGGCGUUCCAGGAUUUCCCCGAGCUGCCUUGGCUGAAUGAUAAGGGCUACUACGUGAUCGAGGAGUUUGUGGCCAACAGGUUGGAGAUCGCGCUGCGGAUGUCGUGGGCGGCAGCGGGGGGAGGUGGAGGUGGAGGCAGGAAGGCGGUGAGAGUUGGGAAGGGUGUGAAGGAGAAGGCUGGGCUCGCUGCAAACGCCUUCUGGAGGGAGAAGGGAUAUGUGGAUUGGUGGAUGAGGCUGGAGCCUCGGAUGAGAGCAAGGAUCAUGGGGGCAUUCUUUGGAAAAGGUGCAGUGGCCCUGGUAAUAUGCUUUCUACUCUGCAUUUUGAAGUAACUUACAGUCAUGGAUUUCAAAUACUAUGGGGUUGGAUUUCUUAGUUGUUUGCCUUGUUUGCAUAAGUGAACUCCAGAUUUUAGAAACGUUUCUGCAAUUUCCUUAGAUUUUUUUGGGUAUGAUUUUAAUUCAAUUGAAAUCAUGGUUUGAGAUAAGAUAUUUGGUUGUUACAUUACAUGAAUCUAUUAUUGAACUGUGUUGUCUAAUUAAAGGUGAUUUAGUUAUGAUGUGCAUGAGGCAAUAAAUGUGAUUUGAGUUUAUUAUGGGUGGUAGAUUCCAUACUGAUGCAUUUUGGGUAUCUAUUGUUGACUUGUCAUUGUAAUAAACGAAAGGUGGAAAGGCCGUUGAUGGUGAUGGAAGAAUGGAAAAGGUGACAGAAAUAACAUGGCAUACACUAAUUCCUUGCCAUCUUAUUUCUGAACUCAGUUGAGGGAAAACAAGCCAGCAUGCUUAACCAUGUUAUAGGUCCUUGGAAAGGAAGUGGCAGCAAAUUGCCUUUCUUGUGUUGAUGUUAACUUAUGCAAAUGUAGGUGCACCUUUAAAUAAGAAAACAAGCAAGCAAAUCUAGCAGGUUCUGAAGAAUUUUUGUCCUGUAAAAGUAUGUGAAUGUAGCAGUACCUGGUUCAUAAAUAUGACGGAAGAUAGAUUUCACAUAUAUAUUUAAUCGGAUUAAACAUUAAUUCUCCUCUUGUUUUGGAAAUGACAUACAGAAGUUGGUUAUUGUGUUAUGUCUGUGCUGAGAAAAAAGCCCUAUUUGCUGAAAUAACCACACUAAUGUGAUUCAACUAUUUGACAAAUGCUGUUGCUUUCUGAAAUAUGCAUGCUUUAUCUAACUGAAGUCUCAGAACAGUCCUAAACGAUUAAUGAAUCCAGGAUAUCUGUUAUGUAGCGGAGUUAGCACUAUCAUGCUUUUUCUAAGAAGUUAAAAAAACUGAAAAUCAGAUUGCAAAGUGUUCUUCUCUCUGGCACGUAGUCCAAAUGUCCAAUGAAUACAAUUUUGAGGCACUGUGAAUCAAAUGUUUCACUAGUAUUUAUAGGAGUGAUCUGUAUGAUUUUCUGUAAAAUGGUACUGGAAAUUAUCCUCUAUUUAGUGUGAAACCCCUCAUUUUUCUCGAAGUAAGCUAUGUCUUUCUUGAAUCUUGAUGUGUUUAUGUUAGCCCAACUAUGUUGAUGUGGGGUAACAAAAAGACAGCUCUUUGUCACCCCAUACAGGCUUGCUUUAGUACUGUGAUUGGGAGGAGAAUCACUAAACUUGGUGUGCAAUUGUCCUGAGCAUGUUGCUAUGCCUCGAGCACAUCUAAUAUGCUAAUAGUUCAAGUUUGCAGGCUAAUGAGAUGGUUGAAGGAUCAGAUAUUGCUUGGGAUAGUUUCUCCUUCUGCUUAGGUGAAUCAGGAUCAUUUGUGGCAGAUAAAUCUUGUGAAUGUACACGACAGUCUUUCUUCAGAAAGAAUCGGGCUUGUUCCAUUGACAUUGCAAACAUUCUAUCUUGUAGCAAGAAGCCUAUAUUUGCUAAAGAGUUGACAAGACUGAAACUAGUUGAGGAGAUAGUGUGUUUGAAGAACAACAUUACUUGCUGUGGCGAUGAUGCAAUCUUUUUCACUUCAUUAGCUUUGGCUCCUACUGCUGCUGGUGAGAUACUUAUGAAAUUACGAGGGCUCCUCAUGAUGGUGUCAACAGAAAGCAUAAAUCUUGAACUUAUUGGGGAUGGAGCUCCGAAAAAGAAAGAUGUUGAGAAGACCAGUGGUGGUUCUCGGAAAGGAAAGAAGAAGUCUAACACCUCGAAAAAGCUAACAGCAUCUGCUAAACCAUCCAAGGUAUAGUUGAUUGUUGCUCUGCUUGCUAUAGCAUUGCGAUAAGCAUAGGACUAUAUGCUUCACUGAGUAUAUUAUGUUGUUACUUGUUAACCUAAAGACUUUUUUUUUUCCAGGAUAAUGGAUGCAGUAGUUCGGAAAGUCGCAAUUGUAGGCCUUUACCCAACCAGUGCCCUGCAUCUGUUAGAGGCACUACUGAUGGACCUCCAUCUGAAGAAACUCCUUGCAAGGAAAUUAUACCCACAAUGAAGGUUGUAAACUUUAUUUCGCACAAUCUUUUUUUGUUUGGUUGUUCAUUAAUUCAUGAUUUAUGAGGGAUAUCCUCCAUAUUUUAGGAGCAAACUGUCGGGUUGGAUGACUGCAAGAAUCAAUGUAACAAAAAGAAGAACAAGCGUAAAGGGAAAACAAAACCAUCAAAUCUGAUGAGACCUGAGAGCCCAAGAUCUACCAAAUUGAAAACAGUUGUUCCCCAUAUUGCUACAGAUGCCUCACAUAAACCUGUUGAAGAAGUCGAUGUCUUACCUCAUCACCCAUCUUAUGUCCAUCCUUCCAAGAGUGAGAUCUCUGAAGCAGUUAGAUGUUCUGACCCUUCCAUUUUAUCUAAUGGAACAAAUGUAAUAGCCAGCAGAAAGGGCAAAAAACUUGAAGACCCAUCGUAUUCUCCUAGAGUUAGCUCAUCAGUUACUACAGAACAUUUUCAAAGUGCUGAUGAAUAUGAUGCCUCCUAUAUGGAUGAGCAGGCCUCAUCGUACAUCAGUCAAAGUGAAUCGGUGGUUCAGUCGUCGUCAUGUUUACCUUCAGGAAUCAACAAUGUCGCUUCCAAUAAUCUGAACGGAAGCUCUGUUGGCUCCUUGGUAAGAUCUGCACAGGAAAAAACUGGCUGUGAUGAGAAACAAUUGGAUCAUAAAUCUGUAGCAACAAUGGACAAAAUUUUACCUUCUGUUAUUCCUGCCAACAUGCUUCAAAGUGCUAUAACUGACAAUGGUGCAGUAAUGAAAAAUAGCGGCGGUGAAUAUUAUGUAUACAACAGGAACCUACUGGGAGGAACAUCAUAUGAAUGGCCCAGUGUAACACCACCUCAUUUUGUAUCUCCUGAAAUGCAACAGCGUCCAGCUGCAGCAGACAGGUUGCAUCUUGAUGGUUACAAAUGGCCAACUCAAUUCAAUCAACCCUUUCUUUCUGCGAACCAUCAGGUGAGGAAUCCGCCGAUUGAUGCUGGAUGCAAUCAAAUGUUACCUUCUCUAGCGGUGCCACUAAGUUUUGAUUGGCCUCCUGUUUUUAGAGGUUACGGUAAAAAUGCAGCUGUAAGUUAUGAUCCAUUGUACACCCCACAGAUGCAAUCUUCUGCUUGGUCAGGGUUCCCUGCUCAACUAAUGCAAAGAGGGGGUAUUUGCAGUGACAGUGACGUUGGGGAUGAUACUGAAAGCUACUGGUUUUCUGAAGAAGAACCAGAUAGCCGUGCACAUUCUGGAAGAGAUAUUAACCAAUACUUUGGUGGAGGUGUGAUGUAUUGGAACCCUGCAGAACAUGCAGGAACUGGUUUUUCUAGGCCACCAUCUCUUAGUUCAGACGAUAGUGCUUGGGCUUGGCAUGAGGCUGAUGUUAUACGAGUUGUUGAUGAUGUGGCUAAUGGGAUUCCAUCUACAUACACAAAUGGUGUAUCAUCACCACCCUCCACUCCAUCCUGUUCUCAAAACGAAUCUUUUGAUCCUGCUGCUCACUCAAUAACAGGGAAUGACAUCAAUAAUGAAGCUCAUACUUCUCCAUCUUCUAUGCAAGAGAGUCCUGAAGAUAAAACGACUUCAGUUGUCAAGAGUGUGCCUUGUGGCAGUGAAGUAGUUAAGGGAGAUACAUUGCCAUAUGCCAUGCUGCGGCCGAUAGUUGUUCCUAUAUCACGAAGGUCAUCAAGAUCUGAGAUUAAGGCUGGUCAUGAUCACAGGAGUCCAUGUGUACCAUCAACAAGGAGGGACAUACCUCUUCUAAGAAGACCUCCAUCACCAGUAGUGCUUAGUGUUCCCCGCGUGCCUCGGCCACCACCUCCUUCCCCUGCUGGAGAGUCAAGAAAAAGAGGAUUCCCGAUUGUUAGAUCUGGCAGCUCAAGUCCUCGUCAUUGGGGGAUGAGAGGUCUAUUUUCUGAGGACAAAAUUUUCCAUAGGGCUCAGUUUUGCUUGGAUGGUCCUGAAGUUGUAUGGCCUUCAUGGGGAAACAAGGCCACUUCUUCUGGUACAUUGGUGCAAUCAAUUGAGGAUACUGUUUUGCAGGACCACCUUGUUAAGAUUUCACAGCUAUCUCGUGAUCAACAUGUAAGGAUGUAAUUUCCAAUCUUCCGUCAGUAGCGAGAAUGAUCAUUUAUUCGUCCUUUCUGUCUUUCUAAAAUAUACUUUUGCAGCCAGACGUGGCAUUGCCUGUACAGCCACCUGAUAUGCUAAACGGCUCAUCUCACAAGACAUCCCUCUCUUCGAUGCACAAUGCUCUACAUGAAGAAAUAGAUCAAUUCUGUAAGCAGGUAUAUCCCUUUUUCUUCUGCCUCUGGCAUCACUAUUCAUUUAUUUAUUUUUUGGUAUGGGACCUUAAACUUACUCUGAUGCUAAUCAAUUUUGUGUCAUCUCAUGCCUAAAUUUGUGUCAAUAAAAGCUCCCCUUUUCUAAGCAUGUAUUGAUUCCAUUUGUACAACCUGCAAGGUUGCUGCUGGUAAUCUGGUGAGGAGGCCCUACAUAAACUGGGCUGUCAAAAGAGUCACACGGUGCUUGCAGGUUCUGUGGCCUCGCUCCCGUACAAAUCUAUUUGGCUCAAAUGCCACUGGCUUGGCUCUUCCAACUAGUGACGUUGAUCUUGUAGUUUCUCUUCCCCCUGUCCGAAACCUGGUGAGUUGCAUGACUAAUAACAGUGUAUAACAAGUUAGUUCAAGUGCAUCCAUAUUGUUGUGGAUAAUAAAGUUGUUGCUUUCAGGAACCUAUUAAAGAAGCUGGAAUUUUGGAAGGCCGGAAUGGCAUCAAGGAAACAUGUCUACAGGUAAUUCAUUUGGCUUACAUAUGGACACACAACAGACGUGCUUGCAUGCUAAGAGGACAAAGAAUUUUCCCUUCUUUUCACAUGAACCAUCAUUUUCCUUUCAGCAUGCAGCAAGGUGUCUUACAAACCAAGACUGGGUUAGGAGUGAUUCCCUCAAAACAGUUGAAAACACAGCUGUAAGUGGCUUUCUUUUGCUAGUUCAUUAGCUACUUUAUUUUCCUCAUGCUUAUGUUAUUUGCAGAUACCUGUGAUUAUGCUUGUAGCAGAUGUACCUUGUGACACAAAUAUGUUCAAUGAGUAUUCUUCAGUACUGGAUAGCUCACAAGAAUAUUCAGUUAAUGUGCUUGGAGAACAAGGGAGUCCUCCUCGGUCUGAUACCUCUAGUUCAGAAGGCAGCAACAUGCUGGUGUCCUCAAAAUUGAAUAAGGAUGAUUGUGACAUUGUGCAGUCAAUUCGUCUUGAUAUAAGUUUCAAAUCGCCAUCCCACACAGGACUGCAGACUACUGAGUUGGUAAGUCAGAAUUCUAUUGUCUGGAUAUCCAAAGAGAACAAGAGUUCCUCUCCAUUACUGUUAGUUCUAAGUUUGAUGGUCAUUCAAAUAUUUUGUUUGGACCUGUUUGAUUAGAGUUCGGUAGCUGUCUUGUAUUCUAAUAUAAAUUUAACAUGUAGCAAACAUUUGAAUAUUUUGGACCAUUAGUAAUAAGCACUACAUGAAUAAUCUAACAUAUGUGCAUGCAUAAUAUGAUGCGGAACGUCAGCUGGAUAAGUAUCAUCUUAUUUUGGUAUUCUGUGCGAUCUACAUGCAAUGUUGCAAUUUUUGGUGUUCUAAACAAAAUGAUUCUUUUAUCUUUUACCUUAGCUAUUUUUGCAGUACACAAUACCAUCAUGCAAAUCAUACAUAAAGUUGGCAUGUGUUCUUGCAAAUGGAGUAAUGUUUUCAUGUUGUUGCCUCCAAAGAUUGUGAGGACGAGAUAAGAAAUGAUAAGAAUCAUGUUACUUCUGGAGUGAUUUUUGCUUUGCAACAGUUUCAGAUUUUACGUUUUUAGCAGUAUGAAUGAGCAUCCAGCCAGCUGCUUAGUAGCUGUGGAACUUUCUGACUAGAUAAAGCACAUACCACACACAUUGUUGCUCAUGAUAUAUUAUUGACAAACAUUUAUGAGAAUUUUGCAAGAUGGAAUUACGAAGCAUUAAGCAGUAUUCCCUGCCUAUUUGCUCAUCUUCUUAUGUAUUUAUUUACUUAUUUAUUCUACAGGUGUGCGAGUUGACACAGCAAUUUCCUGCAGUUGUACCUCUUGCAUUGAUUCUCAAGAAGUUUUUGGCUGACCGGAGUUUGGACCAUCCCUAUUCAGGUGGUCUAAGCUCUUACUGUUUGGUAUGUAGCUUUUCAAAUAGCCCUGCAUUUGCUUCAUUGAAAAUUUAUGGCUAUUACAGUAUGUUUGCACUGGGCGGCUUCUUUCUUAUACAUGACUGAGGCGUUAAGCUUAUGCGGACCUAUAUGUACUCUUUCAGUUCACUAUAAAAAACAGAAUUGCAAGUUAAUGAUUAAAUACCUUUAUGUUUAGUAGAUUAAUCACGAUUCUAUAUUUUUUACCAUGAGUUUAUCAAUGGUUAGGUUAAUUUGUCUGAACUCUGGAUUAACCCUUUUGUAGAGAUGAUGCAGAUAUUAAUAUUUGUAUUGUUAAACAGUGAAACACAAGCAGAGCACAUUCUAGCAAACUUUUAUUUGCUUAUAUCAUGUGAUCUUUGGAUAGUUCAGUUCAAACUUACUGUCCUGUAUUAUUUUCCAUAUUAGCAUAUUAUGUUGAUCAAUGGCAUUUUACCUGAUCCAGUUUUUCACUGGUGUCACAUUCGUAUUUUGAGGACCUGUGAAAAAUAAAGCUUCAGUUUAAAUAUUAUUUGCAGGUGCUGUUAAUUGUUCGUUUUCUCCAGCAUGAGCAUCAUCUUGGUCGGCCUAUCAACCAAGUAAGUUGUGAAUCUUGAGCACCCUAGGUGCGUUUGAGUUACUACUCUAUUUUUGGUCUGGUUUUUGUAUCCUUGUAAUCAUUUCCAUUAUGUUUUUAAUUUGGCAGAAUCUGGGCAGCCUUUUGAUGGAUUUCUUAUACUUUUUUGGGUAAGAAAAUACCCCUGAAUUUUUUGUUUUUAGCAACUAUAUGGGGCCAAACAAUUGCAUCUAUGUGCCUGAAGCCCUGAAUGUUAAUACUUAAUAGGGCCUUGUGUAUGUUUUCCCUUUCGGAACAGCUACUAUUGUGUAUCUUGCAUAUAAUUUGUAAUCUUAAUGCCAGGAACAUAUUUGAUCCACGCCAUAUGCGUAUUUCUAUCCAAGGAAGUGGAAUUUAUUUGAAUCGUGAAAGAGGGCACAGGUAAUAAGUUCAUUUACUCCUGUCACCUACAAUGUUAGUUUUCUGUAUGUAAAUAUGCUUGAUUUUGCAGCAUUGACCCAAUUCACAUUGAUGAUCCACUUUGCCCUGCAAACAAUGUGGGCAGGAAUUGUUUCCGCAUUCACCAAUGUAUAAAGGUUAGUUACAAUUCUCUCUUAUUUUGUAUUCAGACAUAAAUAUCUGGGUAGGAAACUGCAGCCUGCAGGUUGAGAACUUAUACCAUUUUAUCAUGUAUAUGACAGGCUUUUGCUGAUGCUUUUGCUGUUCUAGAGAAUGAGCUACUACAGUUCAGUUCAGAAUGUAGCAUGCCUGAAUCAUCAUUCAAUAUACUAAAGAAAAUAAUCCCAAGUAUUGAUACUGAUGAGUUGUAGCUAUAAAAAGAGGUAGGAUUCCGCAAGCUACAUUUGGUGUCAGGUUGGAAUGACCUGUGCAGCCUUUUAAGCACUCUGAUGGCUAUGCAGCUGCUUAGAAGGUAAGUGUGGAUGAACACUCUGUUUCAAUCUUAAUCAUUACCACAUAUUCACUGAUAGAUUUUGACGUUAAACAUGUUACAGCCUCAGUCUACUGAGCUUGCUUCCCCUGAAAUGGGCGAAGUAGAUCUGCAAGAUCUGCACAGGAGUGUUCAUGUAAGUGUAACGAUGCAAGAUGCCUUGCUCCCUGAUCAAGCCUCUCAAUGUUGAGACCUCUGAUGGAGGCGGAUUGGUGUACUCAAGAGCACGAUGGUGGUGCACACAUGGUACGUACAUGGAUGGCUGCUCUUCUAAGUUUCUAGAAGAGCUCAUUCAUGUAAUGCUUGGUAAGUGCAUAUCUAAUGCUCAUCCAUCGAUAGACAAUUUCGCCUCUCGCCAAGGGUUUUUGUGUCCAAGGCACACCGCACACUACAAGGGAUUUCCCUUUGGGCGACAAACUUCAGUUCUGAGCUGAGGCCUCAUUUGCUUCCUAGUCCCUUGGUCAUGACAUACUAUUUUGUGGCAGAAAGGAACUCUUUAAAGUAUGACCUGCUGGCAGACCUGUAAGGUUACGGAAGGAGCAGAGUAGACCUCUCGGAACAUAUAGACCUGAGCAGCACCGGAGAUUGCUCUAGCACCGUCUCUGCAACCUGAUGGUCAAGAAGAAAAUGAGGAACGCUAUAAAGGAACCGGGAUUAGCAUCAGGGAGAUGCUAUUGGCGCCAAACCACGGUUCGUGUAGCAAGACACGUCUCCAGAUUGCCGAGCCGGUGCCGAGAACUUCCUGGUGACCGGGGACGAGAUGCUGGUUAGCGGACGGAACUGUGGCAAUGAUGCUCUCAGUACUCUCGUUGUCAUAUUGCUGGUUGCAGCUACAUCUCUCUUGCUUUUGCAAUUGCUCUGAAAUUUGAGCAGUUGCUCUUGUAUUGCUGUACUGUCUUGUAACUGAAGCAAAAUACAGUUUUGCUGCAUUGUAAUGAUUUUUACAGGUUAGUAGCCACCGAAAGUUUUUGCGAUACAGCUGUACAUCUAGUUCGCACAUACUAGUACAUUGUAAAACACUUAGCAAAUGUUGCUAACAUCGUGAUACAACUAAAAAAUACUAGGCGAAUUUAAUAGCUUUGGAGUAAAUGGUAAUUUUCCAGGAAAAAUAAGAAAACAAACUUGAAGAAUCGUGGUAGGCUGUUUCGAAUAACACAGCAUUUACGAAUCGUGACAUGGCUCCGGAGCUUGAUGAGGAGUCUGAGGCGGCGGCGACUAUGGCACAGCACCUACUGGCAGCUGCUGACAGGUACGAUGUUAAUUUUUCCUGCAGAAUUGAUUAUCCCGAAUUUCAGUAUGGAAGCAACGACCUACUAGGUAUAUACACUAGAUUAACUCCUGCAAAAUCUGGACCUCAGGCUUCUGCGUUGAACAACACGGAGGAUCUGGGAGAUCUACUUAACUCCAGUGCAGGUUCCAAAUCAGCUCGCGAGUGGUGCAAUGCGUGCUAGUCAAUUUGACCUGCAAUUGACAAGGGACUCAUAGGUAAACGUUCUUUGAUUAAACACCACAGCAGAUAGAUUCAAUGUAAUCAUACGAAGUAAAUAAAUAAAAUAUUAAUGGUAUGUGUCAUCGGCUAUGUUAGCCGACGGGCUAAGAUAAAGCAUUGUAACGCAACAGCCAUAAAAGGGAAUCCUUGUUAACCACGCGCUUAUCAGAUAAGCUAACAGAUCUAGCCAAUAUCUUGAUAAGUGUAUUGAACUCAGACAAGGUAACACGAAUGAGAGUGCACUGGCAUCAAUCUACUAACUUAAAAGAUUAGAACGUAACAACAAGGACCAGCCGAUGCUGAUUGUACGCAAUCCAGAUACAUCAACAGAUCUUAAUUAAUGUCUUGAUAAAUGUAUUGAAAUUAGAUAAGGUAACACGAAUGAGAGAUCAUUAACCUCCAUCUGUCAACAUAAAAGAUUAGAGCAUAAUCACUAAAGCCGUCUUGUCUACCGCUUACAAGCCGAUCAAGGUAACAAAAUAUGAUCAAUGUCAUGACCGUGUAUUGAACUUAGACAAGGUAGCACGGUAAGGGGGUGUUAACUUCAACCCAUUAGUCUUAACAGACAAGUUCGCGGCAGCAAGGCCUCGUACACACCCCUAUCGGCUAAAUGACAUCAUCACACUUUUGCGAGAUACGGAUAAGACCUGACCAAGGCAUCAGCUCUCAACAGUAGCACGUUGACGUCAAAGGCCAGACGGUUAGCAAUACGAGGGUAGGAGUAAAGAUCUAUUGAAAAGCAUGCAAGAAUAUAACACCCUAAUUUUCAAACUUUUGCAGAUUAAUAAAGUUUGUUAGAAUUUGUUAGAAUUUAAUUUCUUAUGUCUAAGGACUUAAGGAUUUUCUAAGGUUGCAUUUAAUUUAUUAGGCAUUUAAAUAUUUUUAAAAAUAAGUUAAUAAAUCAUAGGAUUUCAUUGUUGCAUUCAUGCUGGUGCAUUUUCUCUUUGAGUGUUGAGUUCGAAUUUGUGUUUCAACUCAAGUUUGAAUCAUGUUUGAUUUUCUUUUUAAAUAAUAGGAAAACCUUUCUCUUUCUUCUUUUUUCUUUUGGCCCGCUCCUUGUCUUGGCCUAGCUUCGCAGCAGCGUAGCGGCCCAGCAGCCGGCCCACCUUCCCGUGCCAGCUCGCCAGCAGAAGGCCCCCCACCACUUUACGCUUUCGCCUUGUCUCGCUGACCACCGAGGCCUGCCUGUCAUCCACAUCGCUGCGUCACACCCAAGGCGAACUCAAACUGGAGUCCCGGCUGCUUGCACACCCACCUCCAAUUCUUGGCACCCACGCCAAGGAUCGCCUCCCAGCACUAUAAAACCUACCGUCUCCAAAGUCCCCCAUCACCAAACCCUAAACCCCGCGUCCAAGCUUCAGCGCCGCCACCGCACGCCCACAACCCUAGCUCGCGCCUACCGCUCUCGAUCUCUUCCGCCACCGCCUUGCCAUCCACAAGAUCACCGCCUAGAGCUUCGCGUCAUGGCAAGGAAGCCACCCGUGAGGAUCCGUGCACUCCCACGCCUUCUUUCGCGUGCACGAGCUCGCCGGAGUCGUCGUUUCGCUAUAUAUUCAGUUGUAUCUCCUAUGUGGGAAUAUCUUAGCCACUUUCAGUAAAAAAAAUAGAGCUAUGAGUUUCUGCAUUGAAAAUUCAUCUUUUCUAAGGAUGGCAGUGGAUUGGGUUCGGGGUGGAUAUCCGCGGGUUUCGGUUUUGGUUCCUAGUUUUCGCCUAUGGAUUUGCGGGUUCAGAUACCCGAAAUAUUGCGGGUUUGGGACGGAUUCUUAAAUUCACCUUUGGAGCUCCAUCGGGGCCCCAAAACAUCCAGCCUACUAGAAGCCUACCUAGCAACCCUAGGUAUAUAAGGCUGAAAUCCUUCACCCAGCCGCGUCGUUCCGCACCCAGGCACCCAGCCAUCCCACCGUCCGCCCGUCCCGCACCGCACCCAACCGCGCCGCCAACAGCCAACCCCACCCGUACCAUCCGGCUGGGGAUCGACGGCGGAGACAGGCGACAGCGGGCGACGACGUGGCCGGGCGGAGGACAGCGUGGCGGUGGAUCGACGGAUGACGGUGCGGAGCGGGCGAUGACCCGGCCGGGUGGAGGACGGCAGGGCGGCGGAGACGGGGGCGACAACGGCGGGCGAUGGCGCGGCGGCGGCAGCGGGGCGGCGACAAGGUGGGCGACAGCGGGUUUAGGUUAAUCCGUCAGGUUUUGAGGAUCUGUGGAUUUCAAUUUCGGGGAUGGAUUUUCACCUGAAUCGGUGCUCGGGACGGAUUCAGGUUUUAGGUUCGGGUUUCGAUUUUGGGUGCCCAGACACUCCACUUGAUCCGAACCCGUCCCGUUGCCAUCCUUAAUCUUUUGUGUUGAGGUCUCUCUCUUUUGAAUCUUUGUCUUGAUUGUGCUGGGGAUGGCGCUGGCGAGGCAGAGGGGGAAGGCGGUGGUCGGCAUUGAGAUGGGAGAGACGGAUCCGACGGUUAGAAAAUUCGUGUGUGGGAGGGAUCUUCUACGUCCGAGUGUGGUGUAGAUAUACAAAAACAAGAAACAUUAAACACUGUCCUCUAUUAUCUCUUCUUCCUCUCUCUAUUGUUUGAGAGGUCUGAGGGUGGCACUUGAACCUCGAGGUGCCUCUCAGUCGUCUCCUCAAGCCGCGAGUCCUUGAUAAUAGUGACAUCGCACUCGAUCACAAGUGAGUCGUCCCGAAGGUAGGACGCUUCAAGCUCGCUUCUCUUCUUCCACCCGUUGGUUCCCCAAGCAUUGUUUGCAUCGUCGGACACAGUCAGCGAGGAGACGAGCGAGGACAGCCCAGUGGCUGGAUCGACCAGCGUCAAGUCGUGUAUCACCAUCACCAGCUUGACGUGCUCGGUGACGAAUAUGAGGAAGACAGAGGCGUAGUCUUUGCAAUCCUACUUGGCACCGUCGGGGAAGUAUGGGAUGCGCCACUCGUGGCCGCCGGGAUGGUGAAGUUAUCGGAUUUGAUCUACUUAACGAGUUAUGUUUGGGAUGCGAUGAGUACGAAAGGCUUACGACCCGCGGCUAAUCGUGCGUGCAUAUAUAUAUAAACACAUGAUUAUUCAUUGGUUGCUGACGAAAUCCCACGCCUUUCAUCAACUCACGCCGUAGAAAGUUGGAACUUCAGCCGUGCUCCGAUCCCGUCCUCCAUCAUGCAGAACGCCGCCUGCAUCGACCUCACGACGGCCGCGCGCUCCGUGCAGCGGUUCAGGAUCAACGGCUUCACGGCGACCAAGGAAAGCCUGGGGCUUCCGUCGAGGGCAUGUUCCGUCGGCGGACACAGCUGGCGAAUCGAGUUCGACCCCGACGGCAGGAACUCCGGCCACGUCUACUUCGGCGACCCCUGGGUCACGUUCCGUGCUACCCUGACCAGCAAGGCGCACGGCGCGGCGGCGUCGUUCAGCUGCUGCCUCGUGGAUCCAGUAAGCAUGGCGCCAGAUCCGUCCACUGGGAAGCUGGCGUCCUCUUCAUUCUACAAAAACAGUGGCCUCAAUAUCGCUCUCAUGGCACGGAGCGACCUGGAGGCGUCCAAGUACCUGAAAGACGACUGCGUGAUCGUGCAAUGCGUGAUCACCGUCCUACUCGCCGAGCCGAAGGACGCAACGACGGCGGCGGCGGCGGCGUAUGCCUCGCCCAGAGUUCCGUCCGCCGACCUGCACCAGCAACUCGGUGACCUGCUGCGGAGCGGGACGGGGGCGGACAUCACGUUCAUCGUCGCCGGCGAGUCCGUCACGGCACACAGGUCCGUGCUCGCGGCGCGGUCGCCGGUGUUCAUGGCCGAGCUAUUCGGGGACAUGAAGGAGAAGGCAUCGCAGUGCGUCGAGAUCGAGGACAUGGAGGCCGAGGUGUUCCGGGCCAUGCUCUGUUUCAUCUACACCGACACGGUGCCCGAGCUGGGCAACAAGAUGAAGGGGGAGCAGGCGACGGCGAUGGCGCAGCAUCUUCUUGAAGCUGCGGAUCGGUAUGGGUUGAAGAGGCUGAAGAAGAUAUGCGUGGAGAAGAUCUGCACCACCAUGAACGUGGACACUGUCGCAACGACGUUGGCGUUGGCGGAACAGCAUGGUUGCUCGAAGUUGAAAGCCAGAUGCAUGAAGUUCACCUUGGCGAAUCUCAGCGCAGUUUCUGCAACAGAAGGUUAUAAGCAUCUCGAGGCAAGCUGCCCCUCCGUUCUAACUGAACUUCUCAAGCUUAUGCUCGAGGGAUACAAGUAGUUGGGUAUGCAUUCUAUUGUUGGCAGACAGAAUGCAGACCUUUUUAUUUAUUUAUUUAUUUAUUUUUAGAAAUAUGAAUGACGUUUAAGGAUUAUCUGAAACCGACCAUUCUAAACUCUGACCACAUAUUUCUCUUUAUUACUUGUUCAGUUUAAAUGUUUCCAUGUGGAUUUGUUUUGACAAUUAGUUUUAUAUAAAAAUAAAUAUUCUUAUUUAUGAAUAACUUAAGAGUGAGUACUCCGAUCACAAAGUAUAUUGUUUUAUGCUUUAAAUUGUUUAGAAACGUUGUUAAUAUGUUCUUAAUAUUUUGACUUAACCGAUUAAAAUGUCAGCUCGUUUGUCCUAAAACAAACAUAUAGUAUCGUAAAUAUUAAGACAAUUACAAUGAUAAGUUUUUAUAGGAUUCACCUAAUUUUGAGACAACUUAUAACUAACAAUCCUUGCCAGAGAUAUUUUUUUAACCAUCCUUCAAUAAUUCUAUGCCUCCUUGAUUUACGGAUCAGUCGUAAAAUACACAAAACGCGGUAUCUCGAAGACAUAUGGUACAAUAAACUCAAGAGUCCAUGUCACUAGUAACAUUUUUUAAUGUGUAACUACAUAUUGAAUGUUUCAUAAUUCUAAUCGUUCUGUUGUUCUGGAUUAGGUUGUUUCCACUUUCCUCAACGAGGAUACCCCCAUGAUUUUUUAUACUCCCCAGUAGGUCUAGGAUUUGGCCAUGCUAUUGUUAGUUGUCGGUGGCAUAAUGUUUUCGUCUGCCUAGGAUCUUGGCAUGGUACGGUGAGCGUACAGCAACACACGAAGUAUCUACCACGACUAUAAAAGUGAAUUGAUCACAUUUAGCUAUUUAUUCUCCUCUUUCGUUUAUUUUCCCACACAUUAUAUUGGUACAAACUGGGUGGAUGCACGUGUACAAACGGCUUCAAAUUCGGCUCCCAGGAUCCGAGAAAAUGCUCGAGUUUGCUGUAGUCAGACCCUUUGAAAAUAGAAAUUCUCAUCCAUAGAACCGUGCGUAGCGCCGUUGGCAAAGGUGUAUGUGGUUCGCGGGCUAGCAUACUUGAAUCCGCAUGUUCACAGGUGCUUGAAAUCAUGAAUUCUCACCAAUUAGACCAUCCCCAAUCUUUCUUAUGCGCAACGAGCUUUGGUUCAUCUUUAACCUUCCAUGUUCUCUCUUCGUUGUGCUAUUUCUCCUUAUUGUCCUUGCAUUCCUCCAUCUCUGGCAGUGGAUGCUCAGCGAAUUGCUUUCCCCGCACUUAGAUCUCUCUCUAAUUUCUUCUCCCACCAUUAGCCGUCGUCUGAUGCUAUUAUAUCACUCUGAGACUUCCUUCUCUUCGCACCACUAGCCGUCACUCCAGCCAUUUGUGGUCGGAGGCACUGCACCCUUCUGUUGCCAUUAGCCUAUCCAUUAGCCGAGCAUUCCUCUAAGCUAGUCAAAGGCAAAAGAUUUUCUUUUGACGGGCAGAGUCAAAAGAUUUCACUUAUAUCAUAAAAGAAAUACUCAUAAAAGAAAGUAUGACGGUACAAAUAGGAAGGACAGGCAGAAAGACUUAUAAAAGAAUACAAAGGACAGUAAGAUAAAGUUCUCCACUCGUCAUUAGCCCCACAUACGGCCAUACAUGACAUCUUCGUAUAUCGGUGCGGUCGGUAAGAACUAGGAAGUUUCAAGCGACCAUUUCUAUUAAUGUUCAAGCACAAACGGGAAAAACAAAACAAAAAAAGGCCUUCUUUCCUCCCCCAACAGCAGAACGCCCAACUACUUGUUCCCCUUGGCCAUGAGCUUCAGAAGUUCAGUCAAAACCGAGGGGCAGCUUGCCUCGAGAUGCUUGUACCCUCCAGUUGCAGCGACAGCGUGGAGAUUCUCAGGGGUAGCCACGAUGAACUUCAUGCACCUAGAUUUGAGCUCCGAGCAUCCGUGCUGCUCCGCCAAAGCCAACGUGGUUGCAACCGUACCCACGCUGAUGCCCGUGCACACCUUCUCCACAUAGAUCCUCUUGAGCCUCUCCAGUCCAUACCGAUCUGCGGCUUCAAGAAGAUGCUGUGCCAUCAGUGUUGCCUGCUCCCCCUUCUGGUCCAGCUCGGGCACCGUGUCGGUGUAGACGAAAUACAGCAAGGUCCUGAACACCUCCACCUCCAUGUCAUUGAUCUCGACGCACGUCGACGCCUUCUCCUUCAUGUCCCCGAAGAGCUGGGCCAUGAAAACCGGCGACCUCGCCGCGAGCACGGACCUGUGUGCGGCGACGGACUCACCAGCGAUGAUGAACGUGACGUCCGCCCCCUUCUGGCUCCGCAACAGCUCUCCAAGUUGCUGGUGCAGGUCGGAGGAUGGAACGCUGGCCACGGCGUCGGACGCCGCCGCCGCAUCCUUAGCUUCGAGGACGGUGAGUGCACACUGCACAAAUAUGCAGUCGUCUUUCAGCUUUCGACAUCGUGGGCUCGCCAGGUCACUCCAUCUGAUGAGAAGGACAUCCAGGGAUCUGUUUUCGUAGAACAUGGAUGACCUGAUGUUUUCCUCCGGAGAAUCUCUCGGUGGGCUCGGAUCCACAAGGCGGCAGCAGAACGACGCCGCCACCCCGCCCGAUCCUUUGCUGAUCAGCCGAACACGGAACAUGAUCCAGUCAUUGCUGCCGUAAAGGCUCGGAUCCGAGGCUUUUGGAUGGAAUUCGAUUCGCCAGUCGAGUCCACCGACGGCGCACACCAUCGACGCGGUGUACCCUGGUUUCUCCUUGGUCGCCGUGAAGCCGCUGAUCUUGAACAGCUGCACGGAGCGCACGGCCCCCGUGAGAUUGACGGAGGCGGGAGUCAUGACGGUGGACAGGGGGCUGUGGAUCGCCGCGGUCAAUCGCGUGGGAAGCAGAGACGUCGCGCCGCGGCGGCGGCGGCGGCGGUUUCUACGGAGUACGGAAUGGGUUCCUUCAGGUUCAGGAAAUUGUACGUGCACCACUUAUGCACGUUCAGAUCGGAAUGGGUUCCUUCAGGUUCAGUAGAGAAAGGGAAAGUGAGGGAUGGACCUGACAUGUGGGCCCCACCUGUUAGGCCCACAUCGACGCCCAGUCAGCAUGCCACGCUUGCAGUUUAACACGGGUUAAGGAGAUUUGGACUUCGUGUGAACCGAUUAACAAGUUUAGGGAGUCAGACGUGCAUUUUCAGAGUUUAGGGAUCUGGAUGACACUCUCUACUAAGUUUAUGUACCGCCGGUAAAGUUUACUCUAUUGGUAGCAAAAAAAACCUUGAAAUUGGAACCACAUGUAAAUCAGGAGUAUGUAGAUAAAAUUUUUUUUAUUAGUACUUUAGACUAAAUAGUAAAUAUAUAUUUAAAUCACUUUAUUUUUAUCUUCAAACUAGAUAUUCAACCUGGAUCUCGAAGCCAGAGCUAUGCCAAACAGGCUCUAAAACGGUGUUAUAUUUUGUUGCGAAUACAAUUUCUUAAUGCAGUUUAAUUUACAUGUAUAUCUACACACAAUUAUUUAAAACGUUGUGCCAAUAAUAUGGAAGAAAAUAAACACAACAAGAGGGUAAAGGAACUUGAUCAUCUGCUUCUACUAUCAUGCUAGCUAUAUAAAACAUUGUGCCAUCAUAUUGUGCUGUACCACAUACCAUGCUCGAGGUAUGGCCCCAAAUUUUACCUGCAAUGUCAUGCUUUGGGCCAUGCCACGGACAGCCUAGAAACGGCACGGCGAAGUCCUAGGUUUGGGACUUUGGGAUUAUAUCAAUUCAAAGCUGAGGACUCUACUACCUGGAACUCAAUACGAAUGCUCAAUUCAAAGCUGAGGACUCUACUACCUGGAACUCAAUACGAAUGCAAAGAUUGACAUAGAUGGGUAUUCGGUAUCGAUCGCUAAAAUUGAGACCGAGGAAAGAAAAUUAAGUUUUUGAAUAAAAAAAGUUAAGCACCUAGGCAGCUCAGCCAUUGUAGAUUUGUGAUUGUGCCAAAGUAACAGUUAAAUCCAGAAUCUAUGGUAACAUGUGAACAGCAUAACUAUCAGAAUUAUGGAACAUUUGAUCUGUAUAUGAAAAAUGUUACUAGAUAGUGACAUGGACUGUGACCGGUUUGGCUUCAGGCCAGUGUUAGUGUAGUGUUUCAUCACACUGUUACCAAGAGUGCUAUACCAUCUUUUCAGUGAAAUGAAACUGUCACUCUCAGUGCACAGUUUCAUUGCAUAGUUUUAUAUAUAGCCCAGAUCAUUUAACUCUUGCAUUGUGUUAUGAUCAAAUGUGUCAUGCCAUGAAACCAUACCAUGCUCAGUGCUAGUUUCAUCGGGAUUUCAUGAGAUUUGGUAACUGUGCCAAUUGGGUUUCAUGGGAUGGAACUGCCCUCUCCUCUCUCCUCGUAAUUAACCUGCCAAGUCAUCAGUUUUGCUGAUGUGGCAUGAGAUUUGAUAUCCAUGAAACCCAAAUGACACUCCCAUUACGACUGGCCUCCUGAGCCACACUCUUUAUCAAGCUUGUCUUCGAGAUUAAUAUGUUUUCUUUUUCUUUCUGCUGAUUCAUAAAUUAAGGCGGCGUAGAAUUGCCUGGGGAUGAUCGAAAAGCAAUCUCUCACGCGAGUGUUGUAUGUUAAUAAGUUAUGAGACAGCCUAUACAGACAAGUCAUUGUAAUUGUCUUAACAUUAAGAUUUUAGUUUCAACACAAACGAACUAACUAGUUUCAUAUAUGUCGAAUCGAAAUAUUAAGAAGAUACCAACAACGAUUCUAAACGUGAUGACAGUAGGUAAAGUAUAAAUAGACAGUAUACUUUGUGAUUGGAGUACUCACUUCAGUCACGAAUAACAGGGUUUAUUUCUUAUGAAAUUAAUUCUAAAAAAAAUGACAAAUCCACUCAUAUCACUUCGAAGCAUUCAAACUGAACAAGUAAAAAGUACUUUGUGGUCAAAGUUUAGAAUGGUCGAUUUUCCCAAAACGUUAUUUAUACUAUUUGUGAAGAAAAACAAAUGAAAAAGGUCGAGAUUCUGCGCUCAACAACCGAAUGGCCAACUACUUGUGCCCCUCGACCUUAGUUCAGUCAAAACGGAGGGGUAGCUUGCCUCGAGAUGCUUGAACCCUUCCGUUGCAGAAACCGCACAGAUAUUGUCCAAGGCGAACUUCAUGCAUCUGGCCUUCAACUUGGAGCAUCCAUGCUGCUCUGCUAACGCCAACGUCGUUGCGACAGUGUCCACGUUAAUGGUUGUGCAGACCUUCUCCACACAUAUCCUCUUGAGCCUGUUCAACCCAUACCGAUCUGCAGCUUCAAGAAGAUGCUGCGCCAUCGCCGUCGCCUGCUCCCCGUUCAGCAGGUCCAGCUCGGGCACGGUGUCGGUGUAGACGAAACGGAGCAUGGCCCGGAACACUUCCACCUCCAUGUCCUUGAUCUCGACGCACCGCGGCGCCUUCUCCCUCAUGUCUCCGAAUAGCUCGGCCAUGAAAACGGGCGACCUCGCGGCGAGCAGGGACCUGUGUGCCGCGACAGGCUUACCGGCGACGAAGAACGUGAUGUCCGCCCCCUUCUGGCUCCGCAGCAGCUCACCAAAUUGCCGGUGCAGGUCGGAGGAUGGAACGCUGGGCUUGGCAUCAGCCGCUGCCCCCGCCGGCGCCGGAUCCUUUGGUUUGCAGGGCAGGACGUUGAUUGCACAUUGCACAAGUAUGGAGUCAUCUUUCACAUAUCGACGUUGCGAUCCCUGGACGUCACUCCAUUUGAUGAGAAAGACAUCCCUGGAAUGGUUUUCAUGGAACACGGAGGACGUGAUCUCCUCCAGAUCCAAAUAGUAACUGCCCGGUGAGCUCGGAUCCAUGAGGCGGCAGCUGAAGGACGCCGCCACCCCGCUCGCUCCUUUGCUGACCAAUCGAAGGCGGAACAUGAUCCAGUCAUUGCUGGAGUAAUGGUGGAUCGGGUGCGGCAUCUUCGGAUGGAAUUCGAUUCGCCAGUCAUGUCCUCCGACGGCGCAAACCCUCGACGCGGUGUACCCUGGUUUCUCCUUGGUCGCCGUGAAGCCGCCGAUCUUGAACAGCUGCACGGAGCGCGCGGCCUCCGUGAGGUCCACGGAGUCGGGAAGCAUGGCUGUGGAGAGGGGGCGGAGCACCGCGGAUCGUGAGAGAAACCAAGAACGGCGCGGCGGCGGCGGCGGCGGCUUCUACGAAAUGGGUUCCUCGGGCUCCAGAAAAUAUGCACGUACGGAUGAAAGGGCCCAUGUGUCUUUUAGUAUGAACUCUGGCCCAUGCUCAUAGCCCAGUAGUUCACGCCGGCCCUUUCAGCCUUUGCAAUCUCGAUCGUCCCUUCGCCUCCUCUCUCUAGUUCGGCAGCUAGACCUCAGCAAAACAGGCGCUCAGCUGCUCGGCGCUCCCCAUUCCCCUCCCCGUCAGGCCGUCACUCUCUAACCCUAACGGGAAACGGCGACGCUGCGGCGGAAAGGGGAGGCAGGCGGCGGCGACAUUGGCAAGGGUGUAGGCUAGCAGCCGGGCAAGCGGGCGGUGGCGCGCCGGCGCCCAGGCGCCAGGCGAGGAGCCGGGAAGGCGCGCGGCGCGGCCCUGUGGUCUGCACCGUGCCGGAGCCGUCGAGUGGGCCUGCCGCCUCUGUGCGGAAUCAAUUUUGGUCUUGUGGCUUGUGGGGUCACUUGUUGUAGGUAGCCAUGCUUAGAAGUUGUUCCAUCUUCCAUUCCCGACUCAGAUCCAAACGCAGGUUCCCUCGCCCUGUCGCCCAGAGCUUCUUGGCGAUGCAAAUCAGUUUGCAUAAAUCAGUUAAUAGAUUGGAGAGAAAGGGGAUUUCAAUGUAAGUUGUCCGCUCAAAGAAAGGAAAGACCAGUGAAUAGAUUGGAGAGAAAUACUAGAAGUGGUUAACUAGCUUUUGUGUGAAUUUUUGUGUAUGAAGAAUCUAGCAACUGAUGGAACUUGAACUUUUGAAAUAGCUUGUGGGAAAUAAUGUAGAGGUUAAUAAGGUGGUUUACAAAAAUGCUCAGAAAAUUACAUUUUGAUUCCCCUCUCAUACAAAAGGAAAUUACACAUAAUGGUGAUGACUUCCAUGGCUAUGAGAAUGUGUAAAGUGAAGAAUCUAUUGUAAUAUUGUGAUCUUCUAUUUUAUGCAAGGGACGUAUAUCAUAUUUGAACUAUUUAUAUUGUAGCUUUUGCAAAUUUCGGAAUAGUUUAUUAAAAUUACGAUAUUAGGAGACCUUUUAAAUAUAGUCUAGUGUUUUUUUUGGUAAAUCUGGUACUCGUACAUUGAAUUUGUGGUCUUAAGAAAUUUUGAAUUGCAUAGGUAGCGCAAAAAUCCUAGCUUCAUGACAGAUCUGAUCCUGCAUAAAUCCUGCAGGAACCCCGUCAUAGCAACAACUUGUCGCGUGCUCCGCCUCCGCUCAUCCACCACGCCUGCCUGCGUGAACCUCACAGAUACCUCACGCUCCGUGCAGCUGCUCAAGAUCAACGGCUUCACUGCAACAAAGAAGGCACCAAGGGUAUGUGCCGUCGGUGGGCACGACUGCCAAGUUGGGUUUCGUCCAAACAGCAAAAAAAACCCACCAAAGUAGUAGCGAUGCUGAUUGGAUCGGAUCAUGUUCCGUGUUAGUUUGAUCAGUGAAGGGCGGGGCAUCGAUCAGCUGCUGCCUGGUGGAUCAAAACAGCGCACAUCAAAGCACUUGGAAGGAGAAGCGGAAGUCCUCCAUGUUCUCUAAAAAUGGUUUCGUGGGUAUCUUUCUCGUGGAACAGGAUGAGCUGGAUGAAUCACGAUAUCUGAAAGACGAGUGCAUUAUUGUGCAAUUACAGUCCUGCUCGGUGAAAGAAAGGAUGCAGCGGCAGCUAAUGCCGCAGCCAGUGUUCCAUCGUCCGACCUGCACAACCAAUUUGGUGAGCUGCUGCGGAUCAGCCAGAAGGUGUGUGCUUGCAGCAAGGUCGACAGUUUUCAUGGCCGAGCUCUUUGGGGACAUGAAGGACAACUCCUCGGCGUGCAUUGAGGUCAAGGACAUGGAGGUGGAGGUAUUCAGGGCCAUGCUCUAUUUCAUCUACACGGACACGGUUCCUGAGCUGGAGGACGAGAAAAUCAUGUAUUAGUCAUCUACUCUGUCUGCCGUUGAGACUCCAAGGGGAGGACGGGAGGUCGAAGAUGAACAGUACUCGUGGUGACUGCUGAGGAAGAGCGAGCUCUGACCUUUCAUAUCGUCAGACCAUGAAUGAUUUUAGCACCUGACGUUUUUGUUUCGAGUCUUCUAGCAUUAGUCAACUCUGACUCUUCAAUCAUUCUGGAAAAAAUCAUCUCAAUUACAGGAUGCAGAGUACAGGGCCACGUCAAAAUGUCCAUUUCCACGUAUCAUAUUACAGAAGCCUCUUCUCUUGUUGUUUACGGAGUAUGCUAUAAAGAAAUAAUAAAGAAAUUGGAAAGAAGAAAAAGAAGCAACCCCUUUUUCAUCCAAUCAAUCUGGGCCGUCCAUGUGCCUCCCAGCCCUUAGGCCACCACGUGUUUCUUGUCCGCCAGGUGGCCACCACGUGUCAAUCCGCGUGUACAAAGUACAAACCCACGGCGCCGCACGCAUGAACCCUCGUGCGCUGGCCAUCCCAAGACCGUUACGACCACUGACUACGGGAACCCGCUUGUCCAAAGGCUGACACCUGGGCCCACUCGGCGGCGAAGCCUCUUCCCCACCGCUAUAAAGAAAGUUUAGCACCUUCCCGUGCCUUCCUCGUAUCCAAAGCUCUGCUUCGGUUCUUCUUCUUCCCACCUCGCACCCAACCGAAUCACCCCCCCAACAAUCCGAUAAGCUUUUUCCUGGUAUGUCUCUCCUUCCUCCCGAUCACUAUAAUUCAGUUGAUGCCUGAUAUCGCGCGGCAAUCGUUUCCGUGACAUGUGUGGAAUCGGAUUUGGCGCAGGGUUUAGGGAAGAAUGGCGAUCAAGAGGAGCGUGGGCACCCUGUCGGAGGCGGAUCUGAAGGGGAAGAAGGUGUUCCUCCGCGCCGACCUCAACGUGCCGCUGGACGACAACCAGAAGAUCACCGACGACAACCGCAUCCGGGCGUCCGUGCCCACCAUCAAGUUCUUGAUGGAGAAGGGCGCCAAGGUCAUCCUGGCCAGCCAUCUGGUGAGCAGCGGUUUUUCUUUAAUUUCGGUAUCCUGAAGGUUGCUUUUGUCGGAUUUGUGUUCGAGUUUGUGAGAUUCGAUGCUACGUUUAGGCGAUUGGGUAUUUGGGUGUGCUAGAGCAUCGGAUAUAGUUCUGUGCAAGAUUUUACUACUCUAUUUAUUUGCUUGUAGUGAACUGUAUUUAUGUGUCAAAUCUAUCAUCACUCGUCAGUGAAAAGGUGAUUACUUGAAAUUUAUAUGUCAGUUGGGUUGCGGUUACAGUCAGAGUGAUGAGUUCACUAAAAAUAAAAGGGGAAACUUGAACUGAUAGUGGUGCAUGGUGUAAGACUGCAUCUUUUUAAAUUGGAUAUGCCCCUUUGAUUAAUCAUACAUUCGUCUUAAUAAAUUGUUUAGUAAUUGUUAACUAAUAAAAAUUCAAAGCCAUCUCUGUAACAUUCUGCUCGUGGUCUUUAGUUUGAUUAGUGUCAGCUAUAAAACCUUCAAAAAUGAAAGUUUUCAUUAUAAACUAAAAAGUAUAGCUGAUAAAAAUUCUUUAUGCUCUGGACAAUUCUUUGUUCCUCCAUGUUGGUUUUUAAGCUUUAACUAAUCAGUUAUCUCUAUUUCUAAUCACUGAUCCAAUGUUAUUUUUUCAGGGACGUCCAAAAGGUGUCACUCCCAAGUACAGCUUGAAGCCUCUUGUCCCGCGCUUGUCUGAACUCCUUGGAGUUAAUGUAUGUCUUAUGAAAAGAUAAAUCCAUGUUUAUUUUUAUACAAAGUAUGAAAAAUUGGAACGAUAACCCAUCUUAUAUUCCCUUUAUUUGCUUAUAAACAUUGAUAAAGGUUGUUAUGGCCAAUGACUGCAUCGGUGAGGAAGUUCAUAAGUUGGCUGCUUCUUUACCAGAUGGAGGUGUUCUGCUUUUAGAAAAUGUUAGGUUCUACAAGGAGGAAGAGAAGAAUGACCCUGAGUUUGCCAAGAAGCUGGCAUCUGUUGCUGAUCUCUAUGUAAACGAUGCCUUUGGUACGGCACACAGAGCCCAUGCUUCAACAGAGGGAGUUACCAAGUUUUUGAAGCCUGCUGUUGCUGGCUUCCUCAUGCAGAAGGUAUUUGCUAAAGUUAAAUUAGUCCAUUUCUUGUUUCUCUUAAUCUCAGUAUACUCCAUUAAAGAAUCAGUACUCUUUUCCUUUUUCAAGUUCCAAGCUCCUGACUGAGAAUCGAUGUCUUGUAAUCUGCAAUUUAUUGUUUCUUGAAAGGUUUUGCCAAUAUAGUUUUCAGCUUUUAACUAAGAACUCUCACAUUCUAGGAACUUGACUAUCUUGUUGGCGCUGUUGCCAACCCGAAGAAGCCGUUUGCUGCAAUUGUUGGUGGAUCAAAGGUGUCAACGAAGAUUGGGGUGAUUGAGUCUCUUUUGGGGAAGGUUGACAUCCUCAUCCUUGGUGGUGGUAUGAUCUUCACAUUUUACAAGGCUCAGGGAUACGCUGUAGGAAAAUCCCUUGUUGAGGAAGACAAGCUUGAACUGGCAACCUCACUUAUUGAAAAGGCAAAGUCAAAAGGCGUCUCUCUCUUGCUUCCCACUGAUGUUGUAGUGGCUGACAAGUUUGACGCAAAUGCUGAGAGCAAGGUAUGCUCCUUAAAAUAUGUAUGUUGAUGUGUAGAAUUUCACCUGAAUUGUCCUAUGUAGCAAUUGAAGUACUGAACUAAUGCUGCAUAGACAUGAUCCUUGAGUUAGAAUGAUUGUCUGUCAAGUUGCAUGUUAGGUGCAAAAAUUAGCAACACAAUCAUGUACACUGUUUAAAGUAGUAAAGAGUUCUCCAGACGUUCGAUACUAAUGUUGACACCUGACAUCAUCUGCAGAUUGUUCCUGCAUCUUCCAUCCCUGAUGGUUGGAUGGGCCUAGAUAUUGGCCCUGACUCCAUCAAGACUUUCAGCCAGACGUUGGACACCACCAAGACUGUCAUCUGGAAUGGUCCUAUGGGAGUUUUUGAGUUUGAGAAGUUUGCUGCUGGCACUGACGUGAGUAAAUUACCUUUCAUAUGUAGUUAUCUGUCUCAUAAUUCUUGUUUCGUUUUAGCUAAAUGUAUUGCUUGCGCAGGCGAUUGCCAUGAAGUUGGCUGAACUCACUGCCAAAGGCGUGACAACCAUCAUUGGAGGUGGCGACUCCGUUGCUGCCGUCGAGAAGGCCGGGUUGGCGAACAAGAUGAGCCACAUUUCUACCGGCGGUGGUGCGAGUCUGGAGCUGUUGGAAGGCAAGACCCUCCCAGGUGUCCUUGCUCUUGACGACGCUUAGGCUGGUACUGCGGUAGUGUAAAUGCAAGUCCUCGUCUGCCAUCCAGGACUUCAUAGGCUUCUCUCUUGAGUUUUUGCUAUAGAUGAGCGGUGAAUAAAUUUGCCUUGCGUGGACAAGAGAGUUAUGCAGGGAACAAACGUAAAUGCUAUGGAUGUGCUCUAUUUUGCCGUAUGCUGAAGCCCUUUGCGCAUUUGUUUUAAAAUUCCCCUGCGGUGAUUGCUGCUGGUUUGGACUCCGGAUACCAGCCAUGCAUGUUAUUUCAGCCUUGCAGUUCAGUGCUUAUACAGAUCUAUUGGCGACAUCGCCGACAUGCUAUUGUUCCGGGAGACACAGAUCCUUUUCUUGAAGGAAUUCGCUCGCCAAAAUGCAGUUGGACCUGACACAGGCAAUCAAAUCGAAGUGGCUUAUCUGAUAUUCCUCUUUCACCAAACCAUAUCAAGCGCUUUGGUUAGAUUGACCACUUGUUGACCUGUGGUGGUCACCCUUGAAUUGACCUGUGGUGGUCACCCUUGAAUUGGAUGAUGAGUGAUUGCCAAUUCAAGUGAUUACCAACGUUGUGUGGUUGUUGACCUGUGGUGGUCAUCCUUGAAUUGGAUGAUGAGUUGGAUGAUGAGUGAUUGACAACGUUGUGUGGUUGUUGACAUGUGGCGGUCACCCUUGAAUUGGAUGAUGAGUGAUUGACAACGUUAUGUGGAAUGAUGUUGACCUAUGUGGUCACCCUUGGAUUGGAUGAUGAGUGAUGGACAACGUUGUGUGGAAUGAUAUUGCUCUUGGUUGUGAUGUUCAGGUGUAGGAUGCGACACGGUAGUCGAUGUGAUGUUCAGGUGUACGUGAUGUUCGAUGCGACAUGGCGGCUGACGGCGUGCGGAAGGUUAAGCGAAAAGUUUGUGCUGAUGGAUCAAGGGCGGUGAAGGGUGAACACGAGUAGACUUGGACUGAGGGACCCGAGGAGUUUAGGCGUAGUCAAUGGGCGAUCUACAUGGUGCACGGAGGAGCAAGAGAAUAUGAUAGGAUGGAAACGACGUCGGUCGAGUCAAACGGGACGGGCGUUAGGCUUGGCGGAGCCGGACACACGUCGACAUCGAGGAGGUCGUGUGGCGGCCAAGUGAAGAUGGACGAUUUGGGUGGUUUGGGCCUCAAAACCACCGUGUAGGCAAGUUUCCCACUUUGGACCUCAAAAUCGGGGUGAGUUCGGUGCGGCCAGAGCUUCGAGAAGGAGGGCACGUGGUGCCAUCGCAAAGCUGGCAUCGAGGCGAAGUGAGUCGUGAAGGCGGCGUGUCCGUCCGAUACAUCUAAAAAAUAUGGAUCAAAAUGUCCUUGUGUGGACGGUUAUCUUAGUUGUAGGGGUAUUUUCGUCAUCAGUCGUGGACUGUAUAUAUCUAUGUUGGUUGUUUGAGGGUGUGCUUGGAACCCUAAUUUUAUUUUGUUAGAGGCUGUGAUGUUGAAUCCUGAUCUUUCGAUGAGCAGGAGGGGAUAACUCGAUUGGUGGAUGGAGACGACAUUUACGGCUCGACUACAGCCUUCCAAGGUCGCUGCGCCUUAGCAAUUGAUACACCACCUCCAAUGACUACCUCGAUCUUUGUAAAGGGUGAUACCCCGGCCAUAGGGCACUCGUCUUGCAAGCAAUCGAAGAACUAGUAAGAUGUAAAUGAAGGUUUCAAAAUCAAUCUCCAAUAUGGUGAGGUUCCGAAGAUAAGAAGACGGACGGUUGAUCCAGCACGCGUGCUUACAAGCAAAUAGCAAAAGUUAAACUUAAUCUAAACAAAUCCGAGUGUUCCUGGUGGUGGCUAAGGAGUAUAAAAAUAUGGGAGGAUGACCACAAGGGUGUUGGGGUCGUGCUCCAACCCUAAUGGACCCAACUUGAUACACGGCCUAUUGGACCAAAAUAAGGCGAUGCAACACCUUGGAAAAAAACCUUUCGGUAGUAAUUUGAUCAUUGCAGCCGCCUCAAAAUAGAUAUGGAUAUGAGUCUAGAUCCAUAUGAAAAUAGACUUCAUAAGAAUUCCAUGAAGUAAUUGAACGCCCCAAUCCGAGCCCGUAUGCGACCGUGGUGACCACCACAAGUUGAUGUUGUUCUGUAGUCUGAAUUCAGCCUGCGCGAAUCCUUUUCCCUUUCGGUUUUCUCCAUGAUUUCUAAGCAAAACAAGAGUGCACGUAUCUCCAUGGUCUAAAUAUGAUGGACAUGAACUCAAGAGUGUACUCACCUGAUGGUUGAGUUGACGAGCACGAGCACGAGUAACGGGACUAGAAAUUCGUUCUUGUGUCGGCGUAGAUGUAUUGUUGGUGUUGAUAUCCUCAUCAUCCUCCUUUCUUGCAUUUGAAUAACCCUCAAUGCAAGCUCAGCUUGCUCUCCCAAAUACAGUUUUAAAUCUGCAAUAUUAAAGGUGGGACUAACCUCAAAGUCUGCAGAUAGAUCUAGCCUAUAUGCGUUGUCAUUAACUUUAUCUAGCCCUUUAAAUGGUUCGUUAACUCAAGGCAACAAUUUAGAUUUUCGCAAUUCAGGAAACCUUUCCUUUAUAAAAUGCAACCAAACUAAAUUUUCAGAUUUGAACUUUAGUUCCUUUCUACCUUUAUCACCAGCAAAUUUAUAUUUAGCAUUCAUACGCUCUAUAUUUUCUUAGUUGUUUCGUACAGUUUUAACGUCAAUUCAGCACGCUUAGUAGCAUCAAAAUUUAGUUUUUCAGAAGAUGGCAAAGGCAUUAAAUCAAUAAGAGCAUGAGGCAACAAAGUAUAAGCAAUCUGAAAUGGGCACAUCUUUGUAGUAGAAUGCAGCGAACGAUUAUAAGCAAAUUCAAUAUGAGGCAAACAAUGUUCCCACUUCUUAAUGUUCUUCUUUAAAACAGCUCUUAACAUAGUAGACAAGGUUCUAUUCACAACGUUAGUUUGACCAUCAGUUUGGGGAUGACAUGUAGUAGAAAAUAAAAGCUUAGUCCCCAAUUUUCAAAAAUGACUAAGAAAUUUAGCAUCAUAAUCAUAAACAAUUGCGUUGGCACACAUGCAAACGAAUAAUUUCUUGAAAGAACAAAUCAGCAAUAUGAGUGGUAUCAUCAGUUUUAUGACAUGGUAUGAAAUGUGCCAUCUUAGAAAAUCUAUCAACAACCACAAACACACUAUCACGUCCACUCCUAGUCCUUGGCAAUCCCAACACAAAAUUCAUAGAAAUAUCUUCCAGAGCACUAGGAAUAGGUAAAGGCAAAUACAAACCGUGUGGAUUUAACCGUGACUUAGCCUUUUGACAUGUCGUGCAAUGAGCAACAAAUCUUUCCACAUCUCUUCUCAUAUUUGGCCAAAAGAAAUGACCAACAAGUAUGUCCUCCGUUUUCUUUGUUCCAAAAUACCCCAUCAUGCGACCUCCAUGCGCUUCCUACAACAACAACACACGAACAGAGCUUGGAAUGCAUAGCUUGUUAGCUCUAAACACAAACCCAUCAUUAACGAUGAAUUUGUUCCAUUCUUUCCUAUCUUUACAAUGCAGCAACACAUCUUUAAAAUCAGCCUCAUAAACAUAUUGGUUUUUAAUUAUUUCUAAUCUAAAGAUUUUGUAAUCAAGUUGAUUUAGUAAGGUAUAUCUCCUAGACAAAGCAUUAUCAAUGAUAUUCUCUUUCCCUUUCUUGUGCUUGAUAACAUAAGGAAAAGAUUCAAUAAAUUCAACCCACUUGGCAUGUCUACGGUUCAAUUUUCCUUGACUACGAAUAUUCUUCAAAUAUUCAUGAUCAGAAUGGAUAACAAACUCUUUGGGCCACAAGUAAUGCUGCCAUGUUUCUAAUGUGCGAACAAGAGCAUACAAUUCCUUAUCAUAACUAGAAUAAUUCAGAACAGACCCGCUUAAUUUUUCACUAAAAUAUGCAAUAGGUUUGCCUUCUUGUAACAAAAUACCACCCAAUCCAAUUCUAGUAGCACCACAUUAAAGCUCAAAAGUCUUAUUAAAAUUAGGAAGUUGGAGGAGGGGUGCAUGUGUCAACUUAUCUUUCAGCAUGUUGAAAGAGUUGUCUUAUACUUUGCCCCCAACUAAAAGGCACUCACUUCUUUGUAAGCUCAUUCAAAGGUGCAACAAUGAUGCUGACGUCCUUCACAAAAUGGCGAUAUAAACCAGCAAGUCCUAAAAAACUCCGCACAUGUGUGAUAGUCUUUGGUACAAGCCAUCCCUGUAUAGCUUCUACCUUAGCUUGAUCAACCUCAAUUCCUUGUGGAGUCACAACAUAGCCAAGAAAAGACACUCGAUCGGUGAAAAAGUGCACUUCUCAAGGUUACCAAAUAAACGUGCAUCUCGUAAAGCAUUAAAAACAGCACGUAAGUGAUCAAGAUGUUCAUCCAUAGAUUUGUUGUAAAUCAAUAUAUCAUCAAAGUAGACUACAACAAAUCUUCCAAUGAAAGCACGCAAAACCACGUUCAUUAAUCUCGUGAAAGUGCUAGGUGCAUUAGUUAACCCAAAAGGUAUGACUAACCACUCAUAUAAACCGAACUAGUUUUUCAUUCAUCUCCCAAUUUCAUACGGAUUUGGUGGUACCCACUACGCAAAUCAACCUUGGGAAACACAACAACCCCACUCAAUUCAUCAAGCAUAUCAUCUAAACGUGGAAUAGGGUGUCGAUAUCGAAUGAUGAUAUAAUUAAUAGCUCUACAAUCAACACUCAUACGCCAUGUUCCGUCUUUCUUAAGCACUAAAAUAACUAGAAUAAUACAAGGACUAAGAGACUCACGUACAUAACCUUUGUCGAGUAGUUCUUGCACUUGUCGCUGAAUUUCUUUUGUUUCCUCCGGAUUUGUUUUGUAUGGCGCACAGUUUGGCAAAGAUGCACCAGGAAUAAGAUCAAUUUGGUACUCAAUCCCUUGUAUUAGUGGCAGUCCUGCUGGUAUCUCACUUGGAAAAAUUUCUGCAAAACGUUAGCAAUAGUAGGGGCAAGAAUGUUGCAUACCGUAAAAAUUGAAAUCAAACCAUCCUUGCAUACCAAAGCAUAGGCAACAGAACUGGAAGCAACCAAUUCAUUAAUAUCAGAUUUAGUAGCAAGCAAGCAAUGUCAUUUCAAUCUUAUCUCAUCUUUCUUACUACCAAUAGAUUUGGUAUUUUAAUUGCUCUCAGUUUUGGCUUUUGUAGCUUUAGCAACAUCACCACGCACAAUAGCUUCAGGAGACACAAGAAGCAAAAAAAUUUCUUAUCAUGGUGUAUGAGGGAAAACUGAUUUGAUCUACCAUGAUGCAUACAAUCUGUAUCAAAUUGCCAUGGUCUACCUAACAGAAUAUUACAAGCUUCCAUAAGCACAACGUCACAUUCAACAACAACAUGAUACGAGCCAAUAGCAAUAUUAACUUGUACCAGCUUGGUUACCUUUACCUUACCACUGUUGUUCAGCCAUCGAAUAUGAUAUGGAUGUGAGUGCGGUUUGGUUGUAAGUGCAAGCUUCUCCACCGUAUCGCUGCUAGCCAAGUUGUUGCAGCUACCUCCAUUAAUGAUCAAAUGGUACGAACGCUCUUUAAUGACACACUUUGUUUGAAACAGUGUAUGCCGCUGAUUCUGCUCCACCUUCUCCAUUUGUGCACUAAGCACACGCUGCACAAUGAGGCUCUCAUAAUAUUCUGCAUCCUCUGCACCAAUCUGCAAUACUGGUUGUUCCUCACUACCUGCAUGGUCAGCAGCAAGCAAAGCAAGUGUAUCUUCAUCAAAAUCACUAGUAGAGGAAUACCCACCAUCCUCUUUGACUACCAAAGCACACUUGCUUGGACAGUCACGUUGCACGUGUCCAUAGCCCUUGCAACGAUGGCACUGAACAUCUCUUAUUCUACCCGUGGAUGCAAUUGAAGAGGUGCUAGUGGCUGGUUUCUAGACAGACUUGGUUGCUAAAUUUGUGGGAGAACCACAUGGUUUGUCGUUGGAGGGAGGCGGUGGUGCUGGUUGACUCAGCGGGGGAGUGGGUGGAGGUGCACGUCUAGUCAGGGAAGUAGUCAUGCGUGGCUGCCAUGAUGUAGAUUUUCCUGCAUAAAUAUUAGACUUUGCGUUAGCACGUCAUCCCUGCACUUCCCUUUUAGCUUUACCAGCAAGAUGAAACAAACAAGUUACGUUAUUAUAAUCUUUAUAAGUAAGGAUGUCAUAAAUUUCUCUAUUUAACCUACCCAAAAAUCUGGCCAUAGCAGGUUCAUCACCCUCCUCUAAAUUACAACGUAACAUACCCAUUUGUAAUUCCUGAUAAUACUCCUCUACACUUUUAGUACCCUGUCUCAAUUGUUGCAACUUAUUUAACAGAUCACGUGCAUAGUAAGAAGGAACAAAUCUAGCCCGCAUGACCCGUUUCAAAGCAUCCCAAUUUUGCGGCAUGUUAUUAGGAUUUUUCUUGCCAUGUGCUAUCUACCAAACAGAAGCAAAAUCAAUGAACUCACUAGUAGCAGCCCUAACAUGUGUAUUCUCAAGAAAUUCAUGACAUGCAAACUUUUGAUCAACAGCAAUCCCCCAAGUAAUGUACGCAUCAGGAUCAUAUUUACCAUCAAAAUGAGUUAUCUUAAAUUUUAUCUUACUGAAAGCAUCAUCAUUAUUAUGUACCUCAUGUCGCCGAUAGCCACCCAUACCUCUAUGAUUAAUAUGUAGCCGUCGGCGAUCAUGAGCGUCCUGAUCAUCUUGUUCAGUAUUAGCAACAUAGUCAUCACAAUUUUCCUCAACGCGCUCAUCCUUCUUGUUAUCUUGAUCACGCCCAUCAAUGGUUUUAGCAUGCAUCUCAUCCAAAUGCCCCAAAAGCGCAGCAAGACACUUGUCAAUACGAGCAACCGAUGCUUCCACCCCUUCAAGCUUGGUGUUGGUGUCGAUCUGUGUGGCCUCCAAUUGCCCAAUCUUGUCAUUCGUCACCUGCGAGUCAUUAUCAAGUCCUUCUGUGUGCCCCUUCACUAGCUUUUCAAAAUAUUGUAUGAUGCCCUUGGUGCGGGGAGAACGUGGCAUAUUCUCACCAUCCUCUAAUCCUGUCAUGGUUAGAUGAACAAAGGCAACAAAAAAAUAGGUGAAGAAAUAAAAACCCUACAACUAUUAGGAUGUAGCUACUGCAAGACGCUCACUCUCAACCUGGUACACAAGCUCUUACCAAUUCUUACCUUACUCAACAGGAGAGAACGGCAACCAACAAGUCUCCAACCAUGGAAUGAAGUGUAUUGGUGCCGUAACAACAAGACCUGUCAAGCAUAGUCGAAUAUGUGGAGUUAUAGGUGGGCUAAAGCAAGGAAGUACUAGCACCAUGUUAGUCACAAAAGCAAGCUGAGUAAAGGUUCAACGGUGGUACUGUGCUGGUCCUAGGCUAAAACAUGCUAGAGACGUGAGCCUAGGCACAAAGAUAGUCAUAUAAAAGAGCAACUAGCACAGCACGAAGAAAACAACAGAUUCACAGAUUUAGCCCCUUCUUUCUUCUCCUUCUCCUAUCUUUUUUUUUUGCUUUGUUUUUCUUCUUUUUCUUUCUUUGUUUUUUUUUGCGGGGGUCUAAAUCUUUUAUGUGGUACUAUGACAACCCAAACAAUAAGGCUAUUGCACACAGCCCCUUCGAAUUCAGAUUUAACAACUCUUGUUAAUACAGCAGAUGCGGAAAUCUCUAGAAAGAUUGUGGAGCGCUCGGAAUGAAUUUUGCAGCAAGGUUAGAUCCAUUGGAAAGAAGAUAACUUCAACUUUCUGGAUUGUAUUUAAACUUCAAAAUCGGACAUCAUAUGGAUCCGUGGUGGCAAAAAUGCAGCAAAUAUGUAUAUGGUGAUAGUGGAUCUCGUGGUGACCAAAAUGUGAUAGAACUCAAAACUCUAAAGGAAUGACACUAAGACUAGCAGUUCGACACAACUGAUGCAACCGAAGACUCAAUAAGCCCUAACUAAGCAGCACUAGUAAAAGGCUCAAAGGGUCUUUAGGAUUAAGGGAAACUAAUCUACAAAUUUUUUUGAGCUUUUUUCUGGACUAUAGGAAAUUAAAAACAACGAAGGAUUGGAAAUCUCUCACCUAUCAACCUUGCUCUGAUUAUCAACUGAUCUUUUGAUGAGAGGGGAGGGAUAACUCAAUUGGUGGAUGGAGACGAUGUUCACAGCUCGACUACAGCCUUCCAAGGAUGCUGCGCCUUAGCAACUGAUACACCACCUCCAAUGGCUGUCGCGAUCUUGUGGAGCGCGACACCCCGGCCACCAGGGCACUCGUUCUGCAAGCAAUCGAAGAACUAGCAAGAACAAAUAGAACAAGUACUAAAUUGCUAGAUGUAAAUGAAAGUUUCAAACUCAAUCUCCAAUAUGGUAGGGUUCCGAAGAUAAGAAGACGGGCGGCUGAUCCAGCACGCGCGCUUACAAGCAAAUAGCAUAAGCUAAACUUAAUAUAAACAAAACUCGAGUGUUCCUGGUGGCGGCUACGGGGUAUAAGAAUGUGGGAGGAUGACCACAAGGGUGUUGGGGUCGUGCUCCAACCCUAGGACGCGUCCCUAAUGGACCUAACUUGAUACACGGUCCAUUGGGCCAAAAUAAGGUGGCGCAGCACCUUGGACAAAAAAACCUCUCGGUAGUAAUUUGAUUAUUGCGGCCGUAUAAGAAUAGAUAUGGACGUGAGUCUAGAUCCAUUUGAAAAUAGACUUCAUAGGAUUCCAUGGAGUAAUUGAAUGCCCCCAUCCGAGUCCGUAUGCGACCGUGGUGACCAUCAGAAGUUGGUGUUAUUCUGCAGUCCGAAUGCAGCCUGCGUGAAUCCUUUUCCCUUUCGGUCUUCUCCAUGAUUCCUAAGCAAAACAAAAGUGCACGUGUCUCCAUGGUGUAAAUAUGAUGGACAUGAACUCAAGAGUGUACUCACCUGAUGGUUGAGCUGACGAGCACGAGUGCGAGUAACGGGACCAAAAAUUGUUACUUGUGUUGGCGUAGAUGUAUCAUUGGUGUUGAAGUCCUCGUGAGGCUAGCCAAGUGCUUAAGAGAGGAGAAAAGGAAGAUGACAGUGUGAGCACCUCUUUCUCUUGAUUUCUUCAUCGUAGGGUGAGGAUGAAGGUGGAGGCUAGACCUCUUGUUGUAUAGAUGUUAUCCUCGUGACUUAGUUGAAUCGUCUCUCAAAUCGUGGCUAAAUCUCGUGUUCUUGAGGUUUCUCCCAUUUUUCUUUUUUUGGGUUUUCGUGGGUUUUUUCGUUCUUCGCGUUUGAGUCUAAAUCUCGCAAGAUUUGUUGGAGAAAGUUAUUGCUAGGACCCUUGUGAACAUCUUUGAUGUGAUCCCCUCUCAAAUUUUUGAUGAAUUUAGCUUGGAUUUAAUGUUUUCCCCUAAAACCGUGUUCUUGGCAGGGUUUCGGAUUUUCUCCAAAAUCCGCGAUGGAUACUUUAGCUUUUCAAGAUCUUCUUCCUAGAUCUAUUAGCCCUUGAGGGGUUUCAUCCACGGCUCAAGUUUCAUCUCAAAUUGUUUGAAGUCUCGUGUGUUUCUUCUGUUCUUGGCUUGUUUCCCUCUCUGUUUGUGCGCAGGAAAAGAGGCGAGCGUCGGGGAGCAGCCGGCCACCUUGUGCUGCGCACGCGAGCCGCACGUGCGCCAGGCACAGCAGGCCGCGGUGGGCAGCCAGCCCAGCGGCAGCGAGCAGAGCAGGCCAGCCCAGCUCGGUGGGUUGCUUGCGGCCCAGGCGGACGGCGCCACCAGGCCGGGCGAGCAGGCCUCCAACAGCACGGCCCAGUGCGCGCACCAGGCCACCAGGCCGGCAUCCAGACAGGUCCAACUAAAGGUCGCUUUUUGUCUACAGUAUUCAAUGAUUUGAGUAUUUACUAGCUCUCGCAUGCAUGGCUGAUAGUACUUCUUUAAUCCAUAUAGUUGCUAGUUAAUCACAGUUAUGGUGUUGAGCUACUUAAUCAUAAUCAGUAGUAUCUCGUGCUAAUCAUGUCUAGUAUUUAAUUAUUUUGAGCAUGUUUAGUUAAUAAGGGGGUGUUUGGGAGGAGGGGGUUAAACUUUAGUCCUGUCACAUCAGAUGUUCGGAUACUAAUUAGGAGGACUAAAUAUAAGCUAAUUACAAAACUAAUUGCAGAACCCCUAGGCUAAAUCGCGAGACGAAACUAUUAAGCCUAAUUAAUCCAUCAUUAGCGAAUGGUUACUGUAGCACCACGUUGUCAAAUUAUGGACUAAUUAGGCUUAAUAGAUUCGUCUCGCGAUUUAGCCUAGGGGUUGUGUAAUUAGUUUUGUAAUUAGUCUAGGUUUAAUACUUCUAAUUAGUAUCCAAACAUUCGAUGUGACGGGGGCUAAAAUUUAGCCCCCUCCUCCCCAACACCCCCCUAAGUGGUUAGUAGUGGUUUAGCUUGGUUUUUCCUCUUGUGCAAGCUUUUCGGCAUCUUGUCUUGCUUUGCUUCCGUUAUACUUUGAGUGUUUCUAAUCGUUCCUAAGGUGAGCUUGUCACAAGUUGACUUGUGUCCUCUUGGCGAUUAGGAGUGAGUUGUGUUUGGGGUGGCAAUCGGGAUAUAGACUUUGUCCUGAGAGAGAAUUUUAAAGACUCCCAUUCACCCUCCUCUGGUCGCCCACUCCGGUCCUUCACUUGUUCACCCUCCUCUGAUCGCCCACUCCGGUCCUUCACUUGUUCACCCUCUUGCAUUUGGUAUGACUAGCGGAUGUUUAUACCCAUGCUUCAACACAUGUUGCUACAUGUUCACCCUCUUGCAUUUGGUAAGACUAGCGGAAAUGAUGACUUGUGCUCCCCUUUCAAGCUCCAACGUGGAAUGAACUUUUGUUUGCAAGGACUUAGCCCAAGGCUUCAUUGUCUUGCCAAUAUGAUUUGCUUGUUUGACUGCAUAAACGUUGAUGAAAUGUAAUCUCAAUUGUGUGAGAAAUCUAAUUAAUUUGAAUUCCCUGUCCACCAUCAUAUUCUGUUAAUGUUUCUUUUUUUAAAAAAAAAUAACGGCAGGUUUGAUUUCUCUUGUAGUGUUUAAUUCGACCUUUUAAAGAAACAUCGAUACUGGAUUAUGCAGUCCAUUCUUUUGCAUUGCCUCUGGUAUUUUGAACGCCUGGUAUUCAGUUUACAUGAACCAUGAGAAUGUUUUAAAGAUUAGACAAAACAUGGUUUGGACCAAAUUUAUGAUCAUAACAGAGGCAACAAUAAUUGAUAUCACAUAUAUAUAUCUUCAAGUUCAACAAAUGUGUACGGUUCUUUCCUUGUAUUUCUGACCGUUGCUGUAUAAUGUAGGCCGAAUCAGAAUCCUUCAGGAUUAUUGUUCACAUGAACAUAUGCUUCUUCUCUGAAGAUUGAAAUUGUACAUCCUUGGUGAUCAGAAUGCCAGGAUGACAAUGCCAUGUCUCUCUUCCACUAGUUUGAAUCGGGAUCUUGAAAUUCCCAGGAUAUUUGCUCACAUCCACACAUGCUUCAUCUCUGAAAAUACAAAUUGCUCACACUUAUAGUUCUCUCUUCCAAAAAUCAGAACCUGUUCCGUUGUGUCCAGUAGCAGGGAAGGACUGGCCGUCAGUUUGGGUACUCGUCGCUUCCCUGCCAACCAUUCACUGAAGAAAUCGAUGCGCCAUUUCCGGUGAGAACCAUCUGAAGCUGUGCUGCUGCUCACAUUUGAAGAAAAAUGAGUUGCGUUUUGCAGGCACGCUUCCAGGAAGAACGGAACCGGCGGCCCGAACGCGGCGACGCUCUGGCGAGCGGCGGCUGGACGCACAGGUGUGUCUCUUUUCCUCCCAGGGGAGCGGAAUAUAGACUAUGAGCAGAGAACCGCCGCCACGUUUGGGGCCUUUAUUGGAUGUAGGCUCGCCUGGGCGGUCGCCGGCGGCGGCGCGGGCUCGCCGGCUGGCUUGCGGACGGGCCAGACAAUUUGCAGGAGGCCCCCUUGGAACUUUUCAAAACACCCUCCAGUUUGGAACCCUUGGUUUGGAAUCGCGAUCCGAUUAUGUGCAUAGCAACUUCAAGAGACUGCUAAUCUUACCCCCAAUACCUUUUUUUAGGAAAAAAGAGAGAAAAAAUGAACUCCAACAAUCCACCUAAACCUUCCCCAAUUUUUUAGCGACGCUAAAAAACAGCCUGCCACCGCGUAUAUUUUAGCGUUGGUGUUCCUCCCCCAAUCCUGAUUCUCGCACGCCCGCGCGUCCCUUCCGAUGGGCCCAAUACGAUGACGUGGCCCGUGUUUGAAAUAUUGGGGGCUAUUUAUUAGCAAUCUGCUGUGGAGUGAUAUGUUUUUGGGGGAAAUUUUUUUAGGAGAACCCCCAAUAUAUAGUUUUGGGGAAGAAUUUUUUAGGAUACUCUUGGAGUUGCUCUCCCCCCUGUUUCGGGCCCGGUACCACCCUGGUCAGAACCGCCUCUUCCUCCCGCCCGUCCGGUGCCGCGCGCCCGCCGCCGCCCUCUCCGCCGGAAUCAUAAAGCUCCAUCCUCGCCCUCUUCCAAUCCUACAUGCCUUUUCUCCGAUUCCUACAGAAAGCGACGAGCCGGCCGGCAUUGGAGGACUCUUCCAUGGCCUCUGGAUGUUUCCAGUACGGUUUACUUUUUGUCGCCACCGGCGGCGAUCCGGGACCUGCGCCUCCUCAUCUUGCCGGCAUGUGAACAGCGCAAUUCCGGCAGAAUUAUUGGACAUCUCAUUUACACCUUCACCGCUGACUGGGGUAAUCACGCUUCGUUCACAUGUCUUUGCGUUUGCGUUUAAUUCAAUCAUGCAUUGUUAUGCAGUGAACACUGAAAACAAACCGACUGAAAUGCAAGCCCAACUCAGAAUCUGUUAACGCCUGGAAUAUCUGUUGCUACUACUCAAGAACAAAUGCUGUCUACAAGUUGCAUCUUGCCAUCUUCAGAGAAGCAGCGUGUGUGGAGAUAUUGAAAGACAUCUUGAAGAUUGCAUAGUUCUGACUACAGUCUACAGUGCUGGUAAGGAAUGCAAAGAAUAACUGUACAUAUUUUAAGAUUGCUACGAGACUCAGAUUUUUCAUCAAUGGGUAUUCACAAACGCAGGGAAAAAAUUGACAUAAAGACAUGUCUGCCAUCUCGGGUUAUUGUUACCUCUGCAAUAAUAAUUUUGGUCAGGUCUGCAGUUUGGCGAUCCUUUUGAAGUUUUCGUUGUUCAGUCCUUCUCUUGUGCACCGAAGGGGAAAGACUCCGACAGCAGUAGACACUUUAAGAUUACAAUUGAUCUUAAUUUCUCUUGCUGACGACACAUUUCAUCCUGAUAUCUUACAGUAGCAACUCAUAUGAGGGUUAGUGUAUCUCAAAAAUUCUGAAGAUGAACCAGAAGAUGGGGUUACUGCAGUCCUAUCAACUUUUGGCCAGUCCUAUCUACUUUUAAAUUUCCAUAUUUAUUGGGCCCUCAACUUUUGCUCUAGUUUUGACCCUGUCAUUCAUAAUCCGCUAGCUGUUCCCAGCUCAGGAGCCAAAUUAAAGUGGAAUUCACAGCUGGAGGUGUCAAAAUUAAACAAUAUUGGAGUUCGGGGUUACAAUUAGACAGCUGCAUGAGUUGAGGGCAAAAAUGGACUUAUUGCUAUAGGUUUUUACCAUCUUUUAAUAAUGUAACUAUCAGUUAGCAAACUGAAGUAUCAAUUGCUCGCAUCUUGUGCGGUACGCAUGGGUAUUACAGUUGUCUUUCUUCAUAACAAUUUGUGUAUGCACAUUACUUAUUUGGAGAAAAGCUAACUAUUCAUAUAUGAUUAUCCAUGCUCACUACUUUAUUCAGAGAUCUGUCGAUGUUUACCACCUUUCUCCUUGAACCUAAAUGUUUCAACUACAAAAUUAACUUGUUUAUGGGCAAGAUACUAAACUACGUGGUUAUGUUGUUUCCAUAUCAGCCAUCGAAAAAUACAUCCCACAACUAGCUUCAAGUGGUCUGAGUUGAAGGGCGCUACAAAUACCUUCUCAGAUGGCCACAUCAUUGGCCAAGGUGGCUCUUUCAUUAUCAACAAGGUAUUUCAUAUAUAUGAUUUGGUUUGUAACUUUGUUCAGGAUAAUUUAUAGAGUGAUAAAAAAUACCAUGUUUUGAAGCAUAUUGUUACUUUUCUUUAAAAAAGCAUAUUGUUACUUUGGGUCAUGUUUAAUUUUUUUCAGCUUGCAAUUGAUAUAGUUCGAGAAUAGCCAUGGACCUACAUGUAAGCCACACAGAUAGCUUGAGUGUGCCACAGGGUUGCCACAAAGAGAGUAACUAACAUGGUGGGGGUUCUCGACCAUUGACGUCAAUUAGUAGAAGCAGGUUUUGAGUGACAAGCAAUGUCUGUCGAGAGUAGAGCAUUCAAUAUAAAAUUUGAAUUUAUUCUACUGAUGACAUUAGCCCUAUUUAAAAUGUACCUAUUAUGGCAAAAUUUGAUAGAAGUUUAAUAAUCAAUUGAACAAAAAGAUUCAUGGUGCAAACAAAAUGAACAUAAGUGGUGCAUGCUUUUUGUUCCCUUUUUCUUGUAGUUUUGAUCAUACUAAAAAUAUGAAAGCAAUAGGCUUUGUUUGAUAGGCAGAGAGCCGAAGAAGUAUGCAUCAUAAAGUUUAUCAGCUUACUCUGAUACCUGUCUGAAAAAGCAACAACUAAUGCUAAUCUAAUGUCAAUAUACUUAAAGAUAGCUAGAUCAAAGACAAACUGUAUGAGGAAACAGGAACAUACCAGCAUCCUACUCCAAUGCAUAAUGCUCAACCAGCAUAAACCGGUGAAAAAACUUACCAGGCAGCCUCCACGAGAUGCUUUGCUAGUUGCGAGGGAGUGAAGCUACAACAUGAUCUGGUGAAGCUUCUCCAGCCACUUUAGAGGCCGGCGUUUGAGCAACCAGAUCAUGCUGGCAGCUUCAACCUCUCACACCAGCAAAAGUGUUCUUCCCCACCCUGAUUCCAGGUGCCCAAACGAGGAGGAGAACAAGGAAAAGAGGAGAGCCAGCAGAGAAAGAUUUGGCGUGUGCGAGGGCGAAAGGGGACGGCGAGGGCGAGACGAAGCCAGAGCUCGACUGCGCGAGCCCAUGCACGGAGGUUGUUGAGCUGAGCGCUCUGGAUGUCCAUCCGCAUGGUCCCUCGGCGCGCCCACCACUCCUCGUGACGCUGCCGUUUUGCCCCCGAGCGCUGUCGUCCUCGCUGCAACCCUGCACGUAUUCGUAUGCGUCUCUGUAGCGUAGCCUGUCCUGAAUCCGUAGCCAGACGUGUCCUGCCAUGGCCGUUUCGGCACCAUCUGCUACUGUGACCUCUCAUUGCAACUAACCAUCGAUCUGUUCUGAUUGCAACGUCUCCUCUUCUAAGGAACUCGAUCUUUCAACGAUUCUGUGUCCUCUCGCUUCCAGACGAUGAGAGACGAGCGUGUUCUGGGUGAAGGUUAGCAUCAUGCAGCAUUCCCAAUUGCUGGUAGAGGACAUGGAAUGGGCAGGGAAGGCGCACCUUGACACCGGAAAUGAGCUGUGCUUGACCUGAAGAUUUGGUUUUUAGUACGCAAUGAUUCCAUUAGAGUGAUGAUGAUGGCCUAACCACCUGAUAACACUUUUGUUUUGCUUAUUGUAAGCGCUGUCAAGAGUUAUGACCCGUCACUGUUCUUGCCGGGAUCGAAGUUCUUGUAUUUCCUAUCAAUCAUUAUCUCAUCAAACUUACCCGCGAAGUUUAUCACUGUGAGGUUUGUGAAUCGCAUAACGGUUUUCUAGCAUAGUAAAAUCUUGGGAUCAGUUACCAGGAACCAUCGCCUAUGCAUCUUGUAAAAUGUCACCAGACUGCAGUUAAAUCUGAUGCUCUGAACGUGCAUAUAUGUCCUUCAGUUUAUAGCACUUCGUUUGGAUUUUGGAUCCAGUUCCUUUUAUCUGAACUCCAAGACAGAAGAAUGAACAAUCUUGUUCCACACUUAGGGUAUAGAGCUCCAUCUGAUUUUGAUUUUCUAUGAGAGCUGAUUAUCUGAGAGAAGUGAUUCUAUGGUUGAAAGUGAUUCUCUUUCAUUCUCCAGCACAAACUCUUAAAAUCAGGAUGAAGAAUCACUUCACAGAAUCAGGAGAAGCUACUUUUUCCAGCUCCUAGCCUCUUAGUUCAUUUCAGUGAAUCACUUCAUAGAAUCAGCAGAAAAUCACUUCUAUCUGAAAAACUGUUUGACAAAGCUACUGCUGGAAUUAGCAAAGAAUCAACUCUGGGAGCCUUAUCAAACGGACCCUUAGCUAGCUUAAACAAUCUUGAGCAAACUGCGUCCUAUGCUUGACUAUAGAAAUAUGCGCAACUGGGAACAAUUGCCAGGAUGAUCCUAAACCAGUUUAAUGUUCUCGCAGAAUCUGCUGCUAAAGUUCAGUAACCACAGAGAUGAGUGCUCAAAGGGGAUCUUCACAGGGGCAGAUAGUAGUACAUCGCUCGUUCUCUUUUUGGAACAACAGUCAGACAACCGGUAAAUUCAGAAAGAGGGAUACAAAAUAAAGCAAUAUGUCCCGCCCUCUGUAAUUUAACCAGCGGGCCACUUCAUCUGCCUUCCACCGAGUACAUGCAAGUGCAAAUGAUAGACAGAUUGACCUGUGGAUAGAUAAAUGAUACAUCAUUAGCAAAAAAUGGAAAUAUUUGGAUAGAAGAAACAAACUGAAUUACAUGGGACAAAGGUUGCACAUGAGGUCCUUACAUCCUUCAGGCCCAUUGUUUAUGACAACACGGUACCCAUUUGCCAAACCUUCCUUCUCUGCUACUACUUUCACUGCGCAAAGAAGCUGGCCCAGAAUUUCAACAUGCCUUGGUUCAGCCUAAGAACAGGGGAUACUGCCAUCAAAUUCAUGAUGCAAUGUUUUACAGAUUAAACCCCCCUUUUGUUUCACAAGAUUACAUACCUUGCUUAGUCCAGUUAGUCCAUCUCUAACUUUUGGGAUGACUAGAACGUGCACAGGGGCUUGUGGAUUAAUAUCUCUAAAUGCUAAGACUUUGUCGUCUUCAUAGACAAUGCUUGAAGGAAUCUCCUUUGCAAUGAUCUUGUCAAAACUGAGAAAAGUAAACAAAGUGAAUAUUCAGUGCCACAAAACAGAAUAUUAUAAUAGAGUGAGCAAGAAUAUGAUAUUUACAUGGUUGGUCCUUCAGUAUCAGCAGUGGCAGCUGCUGCUUUGGCAGCAGCUUCCUCAUUCGUUGAUGAAGCAAUGUGGCGCACAAAUCUAGAGUAGCAGGAAGAAAUAUAUCAGAAUUCAACAUUGAGCUAAAAUUGAUAGUUCUGUGAAAUAAUCGGUAGAAAUUCAUAUGAUUAGGGACUGAAGCUUUACCGAUUCCCAGACAUGGCAGGACCUGGUUGAAUUUUUUAACUGAAUAAAUUUGCACACACACAUUUGUAUGACCAAUAUAACAAACUGGGAUUCCACAAUGACCAUUUUGUGGAAGUCUAUCUGGAACUGGUAAGACAGUUUAUGAGCCCUUCCCCACUACUGACUACCAGCUGACAGAAAUCAAGAAUAACCGCAGAAGACUAAACCACUUGAGGUAUUUGUGGUGUAUCCCAGAAUGAAUCUCAACUCAAACUUGUAGAUUUCUAGCUAACCUGGAUAUGAGCCUUUCCCCACUACUGACUACCAACUGCCAGGGAUGCAUUCAGAUAUUGCAUUUCGCCUUGCACAAAUUUUAGUCGACUCUUCAUUGCUUGCUACAUCUGAUUGUUUGAACGCAUAUAUGCCAAUGAUCACCUUGCACCGUCCAUGUCUAAGCAUGAGGGAGUGUCUCUAGACCCAAAUCAAGUGUUUAACUGACAUCCAAUGCUAAUAUUAAAACAACUCUAACCACGGUUAUCCUACAAAUUAUUCAGAACCAAGCGCAUCUUUCAUCAGCAACCGAGCAGUGAAAACAAAUUAUUAUGAAAUCAUUACGAAAUCCCAAUAGGAUGUUAUCAGCAAGCAGGUAAAUGCAGCAGACGGUAGGCCACGACCACCCAAAUCCAAAAGGAGCAUCUCGCAGAUACACAUAUCAAGCAGCCGAGCCUCGCAACACAAUCGGCCGUAACUGAUUCCAGAACAAAUUUACCACCUUUGGGGAGGCAGGCGGCGGGGGACCCGGAGACCGUGCGGCCGCAGCGAGGCAGAGCGCCUGUAACAGGAGUGAGGGAACGCGUUAGAUCGGACAGGAUUGGAUGCGAUAACUGCUCGAAAUUAUUGUUUGAGGUUCGAAUCGAAGAGAUUACCUGAUGAGAGAGGACGUCGCUGCCGUUAGCGUGGCUGCCGCCGCCCUCGUCGCCAUUGGAGGCGAAGCUGGGGAGUGGAGUGGUGGGGCGCCCGUGCGUGGGGAUGACGCUGCUCUCAGGCUCCGCGCGGACGGAGUGGGUUGUGCGGGCCUGCUGGGCUCUAGCGCUGAUGGAGCAUUGGGUUCAUGACAAAACGAGCCCAAACUACUUCGUGGUGACAAUUAGUUAGCCCAUUAAACUGAGCCCAAAAGCCCAAAUCACUUUGCAGCGCGCCGAUCAACAUCCAUGCUACUACUUCGACAUAUGGUGACCAUAUUGGUAUUCCAGAAAAUAGCCAAAAUCAUAGCCAACCAAGAAAGGUCAUAAGAAAAAAGGGCUAAAUAUAAACAAGGAUUUUGUGCUUGAGAGUCUGGUUGCCUUCAGGAGCUUGAGAGCUACAAGAAACUCAAUUCAAGCAAACUGAGAGCUACAAGCAAGGUAAGUUAGCGCAGAUGGAAAGAAAUGACCCAACAACGACCCAACAACGAGGACACGGUUCCAGUACAGUUGCAGUAUGUAAAGAACGUGGCUCCAUUAUGCCAUAGUUUGUAAUUUUGAUGAUUGGGUGAUAACAUAGUCAUUGCGAUUAAUGUUUUGCCUAGCAUGAAUCUUGUAAGUUUUCUAGGUCCGAAGUAUGCAAACCAAACCAUGUCAAGGUUCAAAUCAUGGUAUUCAAGUGAUCCAAAUGAUAGUACUUUUCCGUAUCCAAAUGGUGGUAUUGAAGUGACCUAAGUCAUGGUAUCUUAGGAUUAUUCUAUGGUAUUCAAGUGUCCAAAUUCAAGUGUCCAAGUGACGGUAUUUUCAGUGUGCAAGUGGCGGUAUUCAACUCAGAAAAAUUAGUAGCACCGAAUGAUCCGAUGGUGCAUUGGAGAAAUUGGUACAACUGGAAAAUCAACUUGAGUUGCAUCAAGCACCGGAUGAUCCGACAGUGUAUUUUUAGAAGCAUCGAAUGAAUUAUGAAGCGAAGGCAUGGAAGACUGAAGCACCGGAUGAUCCGACGUCUAUGUGAGGUGAUCGUCGGACGAAGCAUAUUUUCUUUUCCAAGUUUCAGAGAGAUUUUGGCUAGAAAUCCUUCAGCACUGGAUAUCCCGAUGGUGCAUCGGAUGAAGCGUCAGACAAAGCAUCGGAGUGAUUUCAUCAGGGGGUCCAACGGCUACUUGCGGCAGUAGGGGGCACCGGAUGUUCCGAUGGCUACCAAAAGAGAACAUCGAAACAUCCGAUGGUAUACUUUAACGGGACGUUGGAGUAAUGGCUCUUUGAGGUCUUGGGGCUAUUUAUACCCCCACCACUCACCCAUUUGAAGUUGCUGGAGUGUGUAGGAAUCCAUUGGAGUGCAAGACACAUCAAAAACACAUUCAAGCCACCAAAAGUGUAUAAGUGAUUAAUCAAAGGCUUAGUACAUGCUUAGAGAAUGAUUAGUGCUAGAAUAAACAUAGAGAGAGUGAAUGCAAGGUGCUGCUACCUUGUGAUUGGUUCAAGGAGUGAACCACCAUUGUAAGCUAAGUGUGCUGACGCCUUGGAGCCUUGGUGGCUCGUCGGCUAGUCUUCGACCCUCCGGCUUGGUGUGGAGCAGUGGCGACAACCGUGUGCGGGGAACGAGGAGACUCCUUCCUUCGUGGAGAAACUCCGUAGUGGAUACGACGUCAAGAUGACCAGAAGAGAGGGAGUGGUGAGCCGCCUUAGUGGCAAGCUUCUCAUCCAACUUGGUGAGAGACUUUGUGGCGAGUCCAAGACCUUGACCGAGAGAGACUUGGUGACCAGGAGCAUAUCCUUGAUGGAGCUCCAACGUGGACUAGGGGUGGCAUUUGCCUACCAAUACCACAGGAUAAAUCGUCGUGCCGAGUUUGCAUCCUUUCUAACCCACUCCUUUAUGUUUCCGCAUGUCAUACUUGCAACUUGAGUGCCUUUACAUUCUAGAAUAGUAUUGCACUACUAGAAAAAUGACCUUUCAUCCAUUCUCUUAGUACCGGUCAUGGUCCAAAUUUGGGAUCCCCCGGAGGGACACUUUUAGGACUGGGUGGUGUUAGGACCUGGUACUAAAGGCCCUCCAUGGAUUACUUCAAAAGGAAAGCAAAUCUACCUCCAUCACAUGCGCUUAAGAUCGUGGGUUCGAAUCCCACGGACCGCGCACGACGCGAGACUUUAUUUUUUGGUGCAAAACAAGUUAGUGCCAACCGGUACUAAAUGGAUCCCUUUAGCAAUACCAGUUGUACAACCGAUACUAAAGGGAAGUUUGGAACCGGUACUGAAAGCAUAAUCCCCGGUAGUGUUGAUAGGAUUGACUCUAGGUUGCAAAACUUAUUUUGGAUGGAAAGUUUAUACUAGAUCAACCAUAGAUGCAUAUCUAGAUAGCAUGCUCUAAUAUAUGUUUUGAUACUAAUAGUGGAAGCCAUAGGUUAGGAAUUUUAAGUUUGCCCAAAUAGACCGCAACUUAAGCAAUCCCGGGAGCAGAGACACGAUCAUUACACAAUGGCCAGGUGUGUUGCGAAGUUACAGGAGUUAGACGUUCUAUCAGCACCAGAAUUGAUGACGACGGUCAACUAUCUCCAGAAAGAUAAAAUAAACCGGGAGAUAUUCAUGGCAUUUAAUGGCAAUCAUAAUUUUGUGGAGUUCUUCAGUUCUUUUCCUAUGUUAAAUUUUAGGUGAAAUUUGCUAUGAAAUAUUUCGGUUUGGUAUUUAAAACUCAUUUAUCACUUAUGCAUUAAGCCAUUCUUCAUAUUUAUAUUUUCAAGAAUACCACCUAAGCAAGUGAGCAUUUAGUUCAUGGAUGAAAUAGGUCCAACAAUGCAUUAUUUCAUCUUUUGUUGUUUUCAAGACUACAUGCAAGACACAAGUUAUGUUGUAAACAGUGUACACAUGGUUUCAUCCCCAUGAAACUGGUUUCCUCUCUCACUUCGUAAAUAUUGUGCCACGUCAUCAAAAUUAUCUACAUGACAGCUUAUUUAUUGCCCAUAAAAUCCCCACUGAGAAUAGUCUUAUUAGCAUCUUGUUAGCGGACAAUUAUUUUGGUUAUUCAUUUAUCAGAAGUUAUUUGUUACUGGAUUGGUUGUUUCCUCGUAUAGCAUUUAUGUCUCAGAUGGUGCAUAUUCGGGGAGAAAGAUUACAUUAUGCCAAAUAAUUGAAACUACAAUUAUAUAGCCUUUAUUGUUCAAAAAAAAUACAAAUCAAGCACCAUUUCUUCUGUUUCGCUGUAGAUAAGCAUUGUAUAGUCUUUCCACAUGUCAUCAGAUAUUUGUCCGAGUACGCAAGAUAUAGAGCGGAUAGCCCUUCUCUACCGGUGGAUAUACAGGUGGAGCGGCGUGGAGUUGACCGCUGCAGUAAUGUGGGUGUCAAAUGGAAAGCCUGCCUACAAGCUGGCUGGAUUGUAAGUUGAUAUAUAGUACGCCAUUGGAUAUGUAUGUGUGUGUAUGCCAUUGGAAGCGAGUUCAUAAUUCCUUAAUCUCUAUAGGUUGAUCCAUGUUAGGAACGGGUCAGCCCAUUCUAUCGAGCGGCCCAAGUCACCAAAGCCCAGGCCAAGUAUCUUCGUUACAAAAGGAGCAGCAUAGCAGAAGGGGAGGCAUCGAGGAAAUUACCAGAACAAGUCUAUCUCAUGUUCUUCCUCAUCUCUACUACUCUUUCCUUCCCUGCAAUCUGAUCUUCUUCCUCCGGAUCUCCCUGAUGCAUUUCUAGUCCUCUUCGAUCCCCUUGCUUUUCUACCUAUCCCAAACUCUAUUUCCCUCAUACUUGUGUCAGCUACUAUUGUAUCAGAUUGCCUGUGUUGUUUGUAUUGGAUUAAGGGGGUUGCUAACAAUCCAUCCCGCUAUGGAGACACCAAGGCACACUUUUUUGUUUGCUGGACGGUAUAAAAUCAAAGCCACCGGUUUUUCGUUAUAUAGAUAUCCAUAUUUUCAUAAACAUUUUUUCCUUUUGUUUUGCGGGCUGAUGGAUACAAAUCAACUGGAUUUUUUAACCUGUAACGUAAUGGUUUUGUACCUGGUGCUCCUAUUACACCAAGAAAUACUUUAGAACCGGCAAAUGGCCAAUCUAAAUUAUCAUUCAAGGUAUUUAAGGUAAUGUCACCUAUAAAACCUUUUACUGUUUCAUGACCUCAUCUCCUUACUUUGUAAGUUUUCUCCCCUCGUAAUUAAUUGUUGGUAUGUAUUCUUAGCUCGAGCACAGCUAUUCUAUUUCAUUUCUAAACUAAGUUUUUCUUUAUAUGUAGAUUUACUCCUCUUAAUUAUUCUUCUUUUUGAGAAACUUCUCUGAACUAAUAUUUAAAAAAGGAUUGUAGAAUGAAUAUUAGAAUGGAAAAUAAGGACUAGGGAGGCACGGAGGAUAAGGAGAAAACAUGAUGAUAUGAGAAAAGAGGAGACAUGGUAGAAAAGAAAGUAAAUGUUAUACGGCUCGAAUUAAUGUUCUUAAAUUGUCCAACCAACUUGGCAAACUUCACAAGCUAAAAUUAUUACCAUAUAGAAAGGAUAUGUGCAUAUGGCCAAUGUAAUUUUCUUUGCAUCAACUCUCCAAAUGUGUCACUAAUACUUGCAGUUCCAAAUUUAUACAGUGUGAUGAACUAGUAGUCCUUAAGGUGUGGUGGGAUUGCUGUUUGCCUAAACAGCCGCUUUGACGAGUUACGCAGCGUGUAAACCCUACAUAUGGUGUCCAGUUGUGUUCACCUAAAUGACCAUUUAGGAUGAUCACGUGGCCUUUUAGUCCGACUAAUUAUCCGCUUUGUCCGACUAAUAAACUGUGUAUCUUAUGUAAGCACAUUUUUCCUGUGGGAGGGGUGGCCGGAAAAUUCAAUAUGCCACUUGCAAUUGACUUCCUGAAUAUUGACAAUAUUUCUCUUUGAGAAGCCCACUUAUAUAAUAAAUUAAGGUCUUUCCUCAAAAAAAAAUUAAGGUCUUUUCUCAAAAAAAAUUAAGGUAUUAAGCUUGGUCUCUGUUUUUUUAUUUGGAGCAAUACAUUCAUUAUAUUUCCAUUGGCAUCUUGGUAGUCGUUUCUAAAAAAGCUCUAUCUCCAAUUGCAAAAAAAAGGCAACAAAGCAAAUGGGGCGUUUUUAUUUUCAAAAGCGGUCAUCUAAGAUCGAUGGUAAAAAGUUAAUUUCCCACUUUAGCUGUAGAUACUGAGCCUGCUUGGUUGGUGGCCUCCGCUCGCCACGCCACAGGCUGUGGCGCCAAAAUAGACCGCCACAGACUGUGGCGUGGCCAGCGAAGGCUGGCAACCAAUCACGCCCACUGUAACAGGGCCUCACGCCAUGAUGACGAGGCGACGAGGUGGACAUUGUAACAUUCCAUCUUUUUAGAGCAUUUAAAAAUACAUAUUUUUUUUAAAAUUUUUCUUUAAACUAAACCUACUCUCUCUUCCCAAAUAUUCAAAACUCUUUUUACAAAUAAACCUUGCGUGAAUAUGAGCAUAUAUGUUGCAUUUGAUUGCUCUAGAAACAUUCCUCCUGAUAAAACUCUUCCUAGAUUAAUAUUUGAAUUUAAACUCAUCCAAACCCUACACUAAAUUCUUUCUAAAUAUUAUCCAAAUAUAACAUUCAAAUGUCCAAUCUAAUCCUUUCAUCAUCAAACCCAAAAAUUCCCUCCAAAAACUCCCUCCAAAAACCUUCAUCUCAAUUCUAUCCCAAACUCACACCUCAUCUUGACUCCUAUCUGAAAUUUCUUCCAAACUUUAAACUCAAAUUCCAUUUCAAACAAAUAGGAAAAUCCUUCAAAACCGUCGCGGGCCAACAACCUCCUUUUUGGCCCAAUCCUUCUUUCGACCCGGUCUACCACCCACCUUUCCUCCCUUUUUCCGCUGCAGCCCAGCCCGACCACCAGGCCCAUAUGGCCUCCUCAACGCAUCGGCCCAGCUCCUCUCCGGCCCACUGCACGCCUGCGGUCCAGACCUGCUCCCCUUCCCCCACGUCAGCAUCGCUCCGCUGAUGCCAGCGCCUCCGCUAGCCUCCCUCCGCGCCGCCGUGCGCCGCCGCGCGCCGCCACAUCAUUUCAACCAUGCCGCCGCCAGUGCACCCCCUCUCGCUCACCUGACAAGCCCCAACGCCACCCGAGCCAGCGGCGGUGCGCAUGGCGCACAUGGUGGCGCCGCCCGACGCCGGUGCCACCCCACCCUGCCAUCACCCCCCGUCCACCCUCCGUCCCGCUCUCUCUCUCCCUACCAUGUGGGCCCAAGGCCAACGCCACCACUAAUGCCGUCCACCUUCCCCUCCAAUGCCCGCGUGCACUCGGCUCACGUGCUUCACUCACCCCUAGCACCCCUGGUCCACCGGAACAUGAACCCAGUCCACAAAACAGUACGACGCACCCCCACCUACCUGCGUUAGCCCCUUUUUAAUUGCUAGGCACACCCAGUGAGUGUACCCCAACUUCUACGUAGAUCCCUUCUUCUUCUCCAAAAAUUCCCCAAAAAUUACCAAAAAUACUACAAAAUAUUAUAAGCCUAUACAUGUAUUAUUUUCCCAUUGUUCAUCCCAUUCAAGCUCUUUUCCAAAAUAUCAUUCCCUCACAUAAUAGAAAAACCCUAUUAUGUGUACACCAAAUGUCGCUUUGCUAUACUAAGAUCUUAAAACCCCAACCAUUUUAGGAAAGAUGUCGCACCACCUCCACCGGUCGUGGUGCCCUAACCCAUAGGUGCCGGGUCGGGCCGAAGUCGAGUGUGCCGUGCGACCUGUAGCCACCUUACCCGCGUUGUUAACAGCACCCAGCCGGCUAUUCCUCGCUACCCUAUUGUCACCGUUAACCCCUAUCGCUGCCGCGCAUCCACCUAACCUUGUACCGGCCCCUCUAUCUCCAUGUGUACUAUCCCCUAGCAUCGGGACAAAGUGGUGCCCGUUGUACGAGCUCUCUGGUUUCGAUCCCACUUGAUCUUGCCCGACUGUGUUUGUCGCCAUGUGUGCUAUCCCAUAGUGCCGGGACAGACCAACUGUCGCACAAGCUUUCAAGUUCUACUCUUUAGGAUCAUUCCACAAUUCCCUAGUGACCCCAACCCCUUAAGGAUCUACUCAGAUCUCUGGCCCGUUCCGCCACAUAGCUGUUAUGCUGCUCAAACAGAACCUUAGAUGGCCUCCUAGCAUAACUGCUAUGCUACCCAACUAGAAAUCCAAUUCUCAUCCAAGCACAACUGUUAUGCUUCCCAAUUAAAACCCAAAUAUCCUCCCAACCUAAGCCUUUAUGCCACUUGCCCAAAACCCAAAUAUCCUCCCAACCUAAGCCAUUAUGCCAUCCGACCAAAACCUCAUAAAACCCCAGGAAAAUUAUUCAUUAUUUUCUAGAACUUUCUUUAAAACCCAACCAUCUAAUUCACUAAUUAUUUAGAAAUCUAAUUCUAAAUAAUUAAUGAAUUAUCCAUCGAGUAUCCGGGGAUUCACCUUUAACUACUAGGUAAUUCCUAGGGUGCUCUUCAUCCUUCUUCCUUUUCAUUCCUUAUGCAUUGAUUGAUGUAUUGUUAGAUUCAUUGUUAUUUUAUAUGCCUUUAUAGUUGGUAGACGAUCAGACUCCACCCCAAAGCUGAGGAUCCAAAAGGAUGUGAAGCCGAAGACCUGGUCACCCUAGGAAGCGUUAAAGAGCAUCAAUGAAGGCAAGUCCUAGCACCAACCUCCUUGAUCAUAUUUUAUUCUAUAUUUUUAGAAAUAAUAAAAUCUACUAAGAUAGUAACUUGAACUGCAUAUUCUGCAAGGUUAUAGCAGCAACCCACCUCUAUUCCCUCCUCGCCUUGACUUGAAGCCAUUUCUAGCCAGAAAUCCUAUUAAUGACCCCGGUCAUGACUAGAUCGAUGACCGACAGGCAUUUCGAAAUAGAAUUCUUUAGAAAUAUCACAAUUAUUAUGUUUUUAUAGAAAACCCUAGAAGGUGAGAGUUUAGUAAUAAAAUCAACCAACUAAAGAGUUAGAACCCAUUAAGGACAUGAUAAGAAAGUAAGGGGGCAGCCUCGGUAGAGGAUCCUGUCCCAAAAGAUUACUUCGGUCGCAUAAGGAUCAGCUCACGGGAAAGUCUUUCUAUUGAAACGUGCAACCAUACGUGCCAAAAUGUACAACUUUUGGGAGUGCCUGUUUAUGUGAGGUCUUAGUUCACACCCCGCUAGCUAAACCUAGAAAUCCAUCCCAAGGGGCCACAGUGGGCAACAAAGAUGCUGGAGCAGGACCUUCGCAUAGUCCUAGGUCUAGUCGGCACGGGUUGACUGAGAGGGUCGGAGACCCUUAGAGCAGAGGCCCUACUUACUAUGUGCACAUUUUCCCGAGUUGAUAUCCGCGUAGCGGAUGAUAGUCACCCCUGUUUAGACUCCAGCAUAUCCAUGGAUGGACCUAGGGAAUGCUGCCUAGAGAUAGGCACGGGCAGGUAUGAAUCUCGUAGGUCAGUACCGCCUUUCGAGCUAAUCGGAUGUAUGGGUAAAGUGUACACCUCUGCGCAGAGUCAUAAAUCUAUCUGGAUAGCUAAGGCUCACGAUUAUGAGCCCACAUAGUUAAAGCUCCCGUCGAUUAGCAAUCAUGACUUAGGGAUGGAGAGAAAGGGCCGAGGCCCUAUGAGACUAAUACUGGAAUAAGGUGUAAGCCGGCCCAAAAGGACCCUGAUGUCCUCUAGAGCUGUUUAAAACUUGGAAACUGCUAGGGGAGGUAAGACUCCCCCUCUAGGGCCACCAACACAAUAAAAGAUGCCUUCUUCCUCCUCUUUUUCCAAAAUUUCACCUCACCUUGCAUAAAAUAGGUUUAUUAUCAAGCCUCAUACCCUACCCUUGAUCUCCCUGGCAUUUAACAUAAUUUUAACACUAGGAUUUGCUGAGUACCAUUCAUAAGUGUACUCAGCCUUGCUUUCAUUGUGCAGGUAUACGCCUCCAGGUGUUUCAAACCAUCUUGUUAGUGGAUGGGCACCUGCACUUCUCUUCGCUGCGUUAAGGUGAAUUUGAGUUCUUAUUAAUUUAUACACCUUUUAUUGCUUAAAUACUGAAUUGUGAUGAUAAUUGUAUUAGCCUACUAAUCCAGGGACUAAUACAGGCGAUCAACAAGACUUUCAGAGUAAGGCCUCCACAGACACAACAUGACAGUGGCCGUGGAGCAGUCCUACUUGUACACUGCUCUUGGCAAUUUAAACCACCAAUCAAAAGCCAAAGGCCGCGGAGUCUAUCACAAGCCUCUGAUUUUCACAGGUUAACAUAGGUCCAACAAAGAAUCCACCUAGAAAUGCUACGAGUACAUACGAAGUUCUACCACUCUAUACGAGUACCAUUAAUAGACAAGAUCCAAGUUCUAUAAUAAAUAUAUAAAGAUAGUGUCUCCCUCAUGUCCUAUCCUACACCACAUGAUCAGACGACCUCCCUACCAGGGGUGGAUCUACAUGGGGGCUCAACCCCGCCAACCCUCACCCCCCUCCCUAAGAAGAAGAAGAGCAAGUCCCCCUAACUUUAAACCUUGGCUCUGCCACUCCUACACCUCAGACAGGCAGCUCUAGUGCCGUCUGUGAUCCAACCUGAUCUCCCCGUACAUACUCCUCCAUGCAAAUAUCGCACUCCUCAGCAGCCUCAACUUCAAGUCGUAACAAUUAUCUUGGCGAUUGAUUGUCCCCUCAUGUCUUGAGUAACCUGACGUUGUCUCUUCUCACGCCAGCUUACGAAUAGGCAUCUCUAGUUCUGGCCCAUCAUACUCUCAAAGCAAGACAAGUGACCUCCUUCACCCGACACCACUCUAGUUUUUUCCUACAUGGCACUAACAUGGAAGCAAUUUUAACAUGUGUAGGCUAACGUGGCAACAUUAAAAUAUUAAAACUAACAAAUUAUCUAUUAAAAAUGCUAGACCCUUUAUUCUACUCUGUUUUUUCUCCCACCCGAUGCCAUGGAUCCUUUCACCACGCUCACCUCCAACUCUGGCAUCUUUGCCUUCACCCGUGACCUCCCGUCCUCCCACUACCCCCUCUCCUAGGGGUGGAUCCAACGUGGGGGCUAGGGGGCAGGAGCCCCCCUACAAACACAUACUCGAAUUAUAGUGCAUGGAGGUCAAUAAGACUUUUCCCCCUAAAUAUAACCCAGAAGUUAACAAUAUAAUUAACAUUGGCUACUAGAUCAAAAGGUACUGAGAUGAACCCUCACCAGAGACUGCGCUGGCACAGCGGUGGGUGCGGACAUGUUGGCAGGCGUUGUCGCGGCGACGGUGACCUCGAGCGGACGGUCCAUCUUCUUGCGGUGAGGAUGGCUCUUGUCAGGGCCGGAUCGAGCUGUGGGGCGGCCGGGGCUUAAGCCCCUCCUACAGCUCUAGACGCAAUGGAGCCCUCCCCCCUUGAGCCCCUCCUACAAUUUUAGCCAUGGAUGAAGGAUAAGAAGAAGAAAAGAGGGUAAAGGAAGAAGAAAAGGAGGAAGGGAAUAAAGAGGGAGGAAGAUCGAGGAAGAUGGAGCCCUCCUAGCUCAUUGCGCUAGAUUCGUCACUAACUUUGGUCCUUCUUCUUGCGGCCGCCACAGCUGCAGACUGCGUGGUGGACUACUGGAGCUGCCACCACCACCAACAAUGCUGCCAAUGUCAUCGUUGUCGUCGUCCGUAUGCGGCCACAAUUUCAGCAUCAUGCUCGCCGCCAACUUCUCGUUCACGUUUAGGAGUUUAGGAGGUACGCGAACGACGGCGAUGGCGGCUGGAGCUGUUAGUGGAAUUGCUGGGCUUGCUGGUAGACAAUUUGGUGCUGAGCACUCAUUUGAGUAGGGUUGGCUGCAAAUGAUGUGGUUGCCCUGGUUCUAAACCAGCAGUGCAACGGCUAUGAUCUUUCCAACACUGCAAAAGAAGAUAAGAUUAAUUUACCGAACCUAUUUGGCAUAAUCUAAAUUCAUUAUUCAGCAUGUAAGUUUACAAAAAGUGACUUUAGAAAUGAGUAUUAACUGAUAUGAUAAAAAGAACGUGAUAUAUUCUUUCACUCUGAUACGCUCAACAAAUAUAACAAACAAGAAAAACUAUAUGUAUUACAGCUCAUUUAGUUUGUGAGAUCAUUUAAAAUGAUCAAUUAAGAGUAACUAAUUUGGUUAUGAACACAAGAUCAAUAGGGAAAAUCCUGCAUUUGUGCCUUCAUUUUGUUAUUUGGGAUACCUAGCAUGUUCAUUGAUACUAUUCUUGAACCAGUUGAGAGAAAAAGGUAGAAUGUCGCCAACAUAAAUGAGCUAACAUGGGUAACAUGGGUUGAUCGGCUAAAAAUUCAAAUUCCUAGCCUGUGGUUCAUCUUUUCCCUUACAUUUUCCAUUAUCCACCCACAGCGAUAGAUGGGCCUUACUAAGGGGGUGUUUGGAUACGAGAUGCUAAACUUUAACAGUGUCACAUCGGAUGUUCGGAUGCUAAUCAGAAGAACUAAACAUGAGCUAAUUAUAAAACUAAUUGCAGAACCAUGUGCUAAUUCGCGAGACGAAUCUAUUAAGCCUAAUUAAUCCAUCAUUAGCAAAUAGUUAUUGUAGCACCACAUUGUCAAAUCAUGGAUUAAUUAGACUUAAUAGAUUCGUCUCGUGAAUUACACUCCAUCCGUGCAAUUAGUUUUGUAAUUAACCUAUAUUUAAUACUCCUAAUUAGCAUCCAAACAUCCGAUGUGACGGGUGUUAAAGUUUAACAACCAAACAACCCCUAACAAUGGCAAGAUAGAUCGGCCUUAAUAACAAAGGGCAAUGGAAAGAUAAAUAGGUCUUCCUAAACUAAGCAAUUUGAAGUGUGAAGGUUUUGCUUCGGUAUAGAGCAACUUAUCAUUUCAUCUUUUUUUUCUUUCUUUUGCCAUUUUCUUAAAAGAACGUAGAAGUGCAUUCACGCAUAGUUAACGUAAUACUCCCACCGUUUCAAAUUGUAGGUCGUUUUGACUUUUCUAUAUUCAUAAAUGUUUGUAUGCAUCUAGACAUACACUAUAUUUAGGUGCAUACUAGAAAAGUUAAAACGAUCUACAAUUUGGGAUGGAGGGAAUACUAAAGAAACAUGAUAUCAACGCAUCAGAUUUCAAUGUGUUGCACGAGCCUUAGCAUUACACAUUGUCAAAUUUAAGUUCAGCAGGUAGAUCAUGCAUUCUUAGAGGCUUAGAGCCCCUUUACCCGAGCACCGACCGUUCUAGCUCCGUUUGACGUGCUCAUUGUAGACGUAAUUUACUGUUCCAAAGAGAAAAUAAACUGAAGGAAAGAAGCCGGCGAAGCCCUAAUUUCUGUCUCCUCUGGCUCCGACGAAGCGUCGGGUACUCGAACAGCUUGCCGCCCUCGGAGAAGAUGACGACGCCGACGUCGACGUCGCAGAGCACGGCGAGCUCGAUCGUGUGCCUUCUUGAGCGGGUCCUUAAUAGCAGAACAUUGGCGGCCCUUGUGGCGCUUGGAGAAGGCCGGUCACCGGCCUGCCGGCUCACGCGGUUCUCGAUCCUCUUCAAUGCCCCAUUGCUCGCGAGCGGCCUGAACGGCUGAACCCGAUCACCUGCCCCAUCAAAAACCCCAAUUGAUGAAGGAAGGAGGUCAGAUUCCGGAAGAUUUCUGCUUUUCUAGUCGAGAUUGCCAAGAGAACGGGAGCACGGCAGCUUACAAAGGAGAGCACGCCGCCGCGCGCCCCUGCCAAGGGCUUCCUUUCAGGCUAAGGAGAAGGGUCCGGCGAGGCGAGUGCAGCUGAAGCCUGAACAGCCCUUGACGUAGAGCGCAGCGGCCGCCUAGCGCUCCCGGACGUGACGGCCCUUGUCAGCGAUGCAGCGGGACGAGCUAAGAAGCUUUAGCACACAAUGCAUCGCAACAAGCUCGGGUGAGAAGACUUAAAGAGAUAAUUGAUUCCAUAUCAAGGAAAAAAAGUUCAAAUUACUACCCUGAAGUAUGAGCAAAGUCUGGAUAACCUCCUAAACUAUCAAACUGUUUAUUUAACCCCUCUGAUUUCUAAAACCGGUACACGGUACACCUUUUACCUCUAAUCAAAGAUGGUUUUGCUUAUGUGGCGGUGGUUUAAUGCCACAUGACCUGACUAAUGGGAUCCACAUCAGUUAUUCUACUUCUCCUCAGGGUUCCUCCCUCCUCUCACCCCCGCUGCCCUUGGCCCGCCUCCCCCUGCUCCCAUCGCCGCACGCCGUGCCCCACCCCGCUGCAACGCCACCACACCGCCCCUCGCAUCACGCAGCCACAGCAGCAACGCAGUGACGUUCCCAAGGAGCUCACCGACGCGGCGACACGUGCCUCCUCAAGUUCGUCGGCAAGCGCACGGAGGAGUGGUCAAGCUCAAGGGCCCCAUCAAUGUCUGGGCGCGCCAGCACCGAGCGGUGCGAACUCUCGGGGCGGGGCAAGUCGCGGGGCGAUGGCGGCGCGAAUCGAGGUGUCAGGCAAGCGAAUCAAGCGAUGAUUGCGUGAUUUCGGCAAAUGGGAUCCUGAAUCACUGUUGCGUACAUGCACUUACAGAAACCAGUAUCUCAACAACAGAACGUGUACGUGCCGCUUUGCCUGCUUCAGUAUCCGCGGGGCGUGAGCAAUGCCUGGCAGCAUCGGCGAGGUGAGCACCCCCAGGAGGAACCAGUUGAGGCUCAGCAGCGCCAUGGCAUUCGCGGUGAGCCCGUCCCUGCGCAGCGCGGCGCACCACCACGACACGAUUCGCAUGGACACGCGCACCACGGCGAAGAGCCCCGCCAGCAGCGGCAGGCACGGCGUGUGCCGCUGACCACGCCACGCCGCCCACCGCCACCAACAUGCCUAGGCUUUGCGCAAGCGUCCUCGAGCCCGAGCUUCUCUGGCGGACGGCGGACAACAGCUUAGGACGGCGGAUCCUGCGCGUACAGCGGCGUUGGGGUUUUCCAUUAAGGAAAAACAUUUCAUUAAGGAAAGACAUUUCAGCAAAUUAAGUGGAAACCUAGUCACUGCACGGCUGCACCCCCAUCUCAUCUGUCUCAAAUUGGAAGACGUCUGGGAGCAGCAUCCUAAUCCUUCCGCUUCGAUCCGGGUGUCUGCCUCUUUUUCUCUUUUUUUUUUGGUUUUGAUAUCUCCAGUAUGAACAUCACCAUGACUUGGUGCCCAGACUGUCCAGUCAUCAAACUUAGAAAACUUAGAAAACUUCCAGUCAUCCUAAUCCCUACCCAGCUGCGCGUGACUCCACAUACAAAUGAGCCCUCGUUUAAAUCUCCAGCGGAUAGCUAGAGACCACACAUGUAGAGGGACAACAAAAUGGAGUAAGAUAAUCACAAACCAUAUUCCUACUAUAUCUAAGCAUGAUCAUAUAUGCACAAGGAACAUAUUAAAAAGAUUACAGAUGUGAUAAAAAAUGGUAGAAAUAUGUGACUCGCAGAUAUUCACAUAGGAAGUAUGACAAAUAAAUCUUGUGCAUGGAUACAAUCAAACCAGUCUUUAGCACAAGUUUGUCAAGACCCUAAUGGUCUAGUGGGACCAGGAGAUUGGAUCUAUAUCCCAUAAGAGGAAUGCUUGGUAUAAAUAAGCCAUUUUUGGUCUUGUCCCAUGUUUGAUCUGUGUUGCUGGUGCAGUCUAAAUUUGAUUGCGAUUCAUAUGUUAGGAUUGUGAUCUUUUGUUCCUAUGGACAGAUCACUGUCAACUGGAAAACAGACCUAUCUAAGAUCACAAUCCUGAUAAACCUUCCUUUGGCAAUUUUUUUAAAAAAAGUCUCAGAUUGGAACACUGGAAGAUGGGAUGCAAUCCACAACCAAUUCAACCCUAGUGGCAAGACAAGCACAAUCACAAGUAUGCCCUCUUUCUUAGAAAAAGGAAUGACAACAAAAUGCAUGCCGAGAUUUGUGUAUCCAAAUCAAAGCAAAUCAUGAAAGACGUAAACAAAAAUCAUGUCUUAAAUAGUUUGUACUAGCCCAAAAGAAUAUACUAACAUAAAUUUGAAAUAAAUAUUGCAUUGACACAUAACAAAAAAAAAG